AUUGGGGAGCCUACACCCCUUACUGAGGCUACUCCUAGGUCGUCUCAGGUGCCCGCAUCAUCGACGUCAUCAGUGUCGGUUCAGCCGCUCAAUGCACGGCGGCCCCAUCGGCGCCGCCGCCAUCCGGAGCUUUCUGAUCACACUUCCUCGGCAUCCACAGUCGAGGGUGGGGGCUCCCAGCGAGGUAGUUUUUUCUAAUUCUCACUACGUUAUAUUUUUUUUUCAUUUUAAAACUAUUAUUUUUUAUGAUUGUGAAAAUUUGCUGGAUUGUGAAAAUGUGUUGUGGGUGUGAAUUACUGUUAUUUUACUGUUUUCAGGUUUUGGGAAAUGAUAUACUAGUAUGAGAGGUUUUGUUGAAUUUUCUGUAGAAAUUUAAGAUUAGGGUUUUCACCAUUUAAGUUUUUUUGGGCAGCUAAAAAAAAGUCCAGGGGGCCGAAUCGAAUGCUGAAGCCGACACACACCCUACAUCUAUCCAAAGAAUUGAUCAAGAUUGCAUAUGACUCGCGACAUCGUGGAGCAGCUACCUCACAACAGCAUAGCAGCGUCGCUACCAGCUGUGGUUUUGUUAUUCGGUGGCAUUGUCCUAUGCAGUGGGAGUCUUGGGCAGAAAUUCCCGAGAGGAUGAAGAAACUGGUGCGGCAUGAGUUGUUGGUUAGUAUAUUAAUUUAUAGCCGUUAUCAUUUUUUUUAAUUUUGUUUACAAAUAUUAUAAACCAAAGUAUAUUAUCUCAAUAUUAUUAAAUUUCUUACUAUUAUUUUACUAUUUUUAUAUUUGUAGGUCAAUUAUAAUCUUGAUGACAUAUCCCCCGAGGCCACCGCCUACUUAGAGGAGAACUUAGCAGCCCAGUAUAAACGUUGGAAGUGCGAACUCCACGCGCAUUUUAAGAAAUGGGAUGAUUCAGAGAUUGCUCGCCUAGAGGGUUCCCCAGUCGAGUUGUUGGAACGGCCGGAAGAUUGGGAGUGGCUUUGCAAACAUUUUACGGAUACAAAAUUUGUGGUAUGUACAUAAUAUUUUAAUAAUAAUUUAUUAUUGUUUUAUUUUUUUUAAGUUUUUUUAAUAAUUUCUUUCAAAUAGUCACACUAACAUGUAUAUUGUGUGUUUAGCAGAAAAUUGUUGGCAAGAAAGCUCGGGAGUCAAAGACACUUUUUCACCAUUCUGGUUCAAUGCCCUUCUUGUAUAGGGUGGAUCAGAAGCUCGAUCGUCGUCAUGGCAAGGUUGUUCGGGGCAUGGGGAAGGUGCAGGUUCGUGAGAUGAGUGCCUCCUCUUCUAAAACAACCACAGAACAGGUCAUCGCCCUAAAGAAGGAAGUGGCAACCCUAAAAGAUAAUAUUGCGGCCCAUAAAGCAACCUGGGAUGCCCAUAAAGCAGCCUGGGAUGCCCAUAAAGCAACCUGGGAUGCAAUGAAAGCUCAGAUUGCAGCCCAGAUUGUAGCCCAAUUUCGGCCCAGGACGAGAAGAUGAGCAUGAUCUUACGGGCCUUACAGAUGUUCGGCCUCCAAAUCCCAAUGCCAGCAAUUGAUCUUGCUCCACCUUCAACCUCUCAGCCACUUCGCCCAACCGAUACCCAGCAACCUGAUGCAUCAAACCCAGACGACUACUUGUAGUUUUUUUCUUUCUGUUCGGACAUCUUGUACGUACAUUUUCAUAUAUUUUAUGAUUAAAUAUUUUUCCUUGGUUUAUUAAUUAUUGUUUAUAAUUUAAUUAAAAUAUUUAUAAAUAAAAAAUCUUUCGUAAAAAAAUGAAAAAAAAAGGGGUUGCGCAAAGAUGACAAUACAUGCGUUGCGCACCUAUCUUUGCACGACAACGAGAGCAAGAUGUGUCACGCGAAAACUUUUGCGCAACGCAAGUUACGCCUUCGUCAUGCAAACCUUGCUUUCAUGGCCUCCGCAACGCAGUUUCCGUUAGGCUAAUUUUUAGGUGACUUUUUUUACUUUGCACGACACACUAAGUUAUUUGAACUAGUGAUGGCGUGUUUAGUUCGUAUGUAGGGGGUUUUUGAAACACUAAUUAUGCAAAACCUCUUCCGUACGACGAAAAGAUUUAAUAGAAUUUUUAAGCGGAAUAUCACUAAACCAAUAACAAGUUCAUAUUUAUACUAGAUUUAAAUUGACUUUCUUGUAUGGUUCUUUCUGUCACAAGUAGGCUAAAAGCACUCGUUUCCAAAGGAAUUGCAAAACUAGGUAGCAGCAGCAGUCUGAGGUACGAACCUUCAUAGGGCUUUGCUCUCCUGCGCACGAAAGGGCAAAAAGGAUCAGCAAAAACUAGAUAGCAGCAAUCUCAACCGUUCGCUCGGGAAAAAGCAUAUGCAGUCAAUUUCUACACCUUCGUUUCCCAAGUUGCUUUGAAAACAAUUUGGGCCUCCAUUUUCUCAAUUCGGGCUUCACAACAAACCAAACCCAUCUCAACGAAGGGCAUUAUAGUAACUUUCCACAACUAGGGUUUCGAUUGGUUCUCGUCUCUACUAUUUAAACCCACCUCCGGAACCUCACAUCAACCAUCUCAGUAUGCGGUCAACCGCUCCUCCUUCCCCUCCUCCUUCAACCCACUGUUUUUUUUCUGGUGGUGAAAUUGGCCGGUGAUAUCGUAUUGUCCGUACCAUCUGAGAUAUUUUGGUAUCUUUGAUGUUUGAAUCACUAGCCACUGACCCCUCCUACCCUUUUAAUUUGUUCUUGAAAAGUAUUUUAAUUUGUAGAUUUUGGGUUUUCGAAAGAGAGGCCGUGAUGAUUAAAUCUGUAUACCAUCAAACUUUGAGAGCUCUGGAUUUUGGGCUUGUUGAUGCCAACUUAACUUUACACUCUGAGCCUUCUUUUCUUCAUAUUUUCUUUUGAUUUAGGCCAAGUUGUAGUCUUUUUUCGAUUGGGUAAUCUGGAUGAUUGGAAAAAAGCAUUGAAAUUGGUUGGAUUUGGUGAUUGAAAAAGGCAACAAAUUAGAGUCUCUGAUUCGCUUGUUUCGAUAGCGUAAUUAGUGCUGUACGUUGCCGAUAAGACGCUGGGAACUGAGAUUCUGGCAUUUCCCUCUAACUUUCAAAAGGGUUUAUGCAUUCAGAUGUUCCCACAUUCUAAAAUAAUUGGGGAUUGGAAAGGCAACAAAUUAGAGUCUCUGAUGUUCUAAAUGCUGUAGGGCUUUCAGUGCUGUACGUUGCCCACAGAGGUUGGGAGUUGAGAUUCUGGCAUUUUCCUUUUUCUAAGGUUUUAUGCAUUCAGAUGUUCCCACAUUCCUUCAGGUCAAACUGUUAAAAUUGAACCAACUGAAUGUGAUUGCGGGUAUGGCCGCAGGUUUUCUUGUAAAAUUCAUAAGAACAUAGGGAGGCAGAAUGGAUUCCCAUUCUUUUAUAAAAAUGAAGAUUAGUUGUGGUUCACAGUACAUCAAAAUUUUAACGAUCUGAAUUGUCUAUUUUGCAAAUUACAAUCAUUCUUGCAAUAUGCGAGGGGAGUGGAUAGUAACUUCCUUUGCUUAUUGAAUAAAAAGGUUGUGGCAUGUCUUUACUUGUAAGUGAGGUUUAUGUUCGAUUCUCGCUAAAGGUAAAUUUGAGUCCAUUGUGAGACUAAACUUAUCUUCUCCCCUUAGACCUAUUCUAACCCCUUGAAUAAAACUCAAACUCUUGGGGGGCAAAUAUAAGUUUUAACCAAAAACUCAUUUCUAAGGCAAAUUUACCCCACGAUUCCUCUUGGCGCAUAUGUGUAUUUUUUAUAAAUUUAUUGAAUUUAACGAUUAAGAUCUAAUAUGAUCAAAUCCAACCGUAAAAAGGGAAAAGAUCUAAUGGUCUAAAUUUAAAUUCAACAUCUAAAGUAAUAAAAACAAAAAUUAUCUUAUGUGUUUCAUAUUCUUUCGUAAACCUCUGCUCUUGUUGAUGGCCAACACAUUGCUUAGAGUUGAUGUCUGAGUAGGCCUGUCUCUGGGGCUUCGUCCUAUUAAGUUUUCCGUUUGCUAACUUCUUCCAAAUGGUCGAAAAGUACUUUCUGGAUAGCGCUCAUCUUCUUUGUUGAUACUCGAUCCAUACCAUCGAGCGGUCGUAUGUAGCGAUCGGAGUUCCUUCUUAUUGGGCUAGCUUAGAAGCAAUACUUUGAUCUUCUUCUCAUUCUCCAAGCCCACCUCAAUGGGUCCAUUUUAAAUAGAGUCUAAAAGGAUCUUGCGUUAACGUCAUAAAAUUUAAAUUCUCCCAUUUAAACACAAGAAAUAACACCAAAAAUUAGUUUUUUUUUGUUUUGAUAAUUUUAUUAUUAUUAUUAUUUUAACAUUUGAUAUUAUCUACAUUAAGGUGGAGGGGUGAGUUUAGCCUCACAAUGAGCUAUCAAUAAUGUAAUUUGAAUUUGCAUUUGACAAGAAUCGAGCCUAAGACCUCUAAUUUACAAGUGAAGAAAAAUACCACCAGACCUUAGUACUAAAUUGCAACACCAAACAUUAGUUAACGUUAACAUGGAAUAUAAUGUAAGGUGUACAAUUGGUAUAUCCUAAAAUGAAUGUGCUUCCUCAAUUCGAAGGUACACAAUUGGUAUAUCCUAAAAUGAAAAAAAGUGGAAUUGGAAGGUACACAAUUGGAAUGGGUAUAUCCUAAAAGGAAUGUGCUUUCUGAAUUUGAAGAUUCUUGGGAAUGGCUUAACCUUUUGCAUCGUUUUGUCAUUCUUCCUACUUGGGUUCUUCUAACCCUUCCCAUCUACAUUCCUAUCAAACUAAGAAGGCAGACAAUAAGGCAUGAGCCCCACCUCAUAGACAAUUGUGCACUUAUACAUUUCUAACUCAGAUUUGGUCUUCACUCUUGGCCCUUGGGGAUAAGAUUUCAUUAUCUUCUUCGAUUCCUAUCCUCCUACCAUUCAACAAGAAAAUGGGUUUAGGUCUUUCACUUAUUAUUAUUAUUAUUACAAACGAUAUUGCUACUCUAAGUUACAUUACAGGAAGAGAGUUUGAAUCUGAAAUGUAGUGGGUUGAAGAGAAAGAUCAUAUCCGCCAGGAUAAUCGGUUUGGAUGUUAUUAGAGUUUUGAAGGAAGAUAUGCUUUGGUUUAAUACCAAAAGGUCUAAAGAGCAAGUUUACUUUGGUAUUCUCUUUCUUGUGAAAGGAGGCAUCUUGGCUAAAGACUGCAUACUAGUAUUAGUAUGUGUUUGAAUUGAAUACCCAUGAAACGUGAAACAAACAUUAAUCUCGUUGUUGAAACUUCUCAGUUCUUUAUAGAUGACCAAUGAAAGUGAGAGGGGAUGUAGUAGGAUGAGAUCAUCAAUUAGAAAGUCUAGGUGUUUAUCUUUUAUUUCCCAAUACAAGUGAUAUUAACAGAGGAGAAAUCAAACCGAAGACCUUGAAUGCGGGAAAAAUAUUCUUUAAUUACUUGGAGCUAUAAAUUAAAUCCUGGGGUUCAAUUCUUUUUUGUUGAAUGGUUUAGAACUUAGAAUACAAUUGAAAGUUGAAAAGAAAGGAAGGGUCUUCUUUAUUUAUUUUUUUAAUUUGAUUUUAUAUAAAGAUGAGGAAUUCGAAAUUGAGUGUAGAAGUGGAAACACGUUGUUUUAGCCAAAGUGGCUAAACCCAUGUUUGACAAGCCUGCUGUAUUCAACUUUGCCCAAAGAGAUAUCAAACUAUGGUGCAUAAAUGAAACAUAUCAGCUCGUUAACAAGUAUGACUAUGCUCACGUCUUUAAAGGGGUUAAUAAGAAAGUUUUAAGAUGCCAACAAAGUUAAUUUUUGGAGAAUAAAGGGGCUUGAGAGCAAUAAGAUUCUGCAUGUCUUGAUACCAGAAUCCAAAAGAAAAUUGAAAGAAAUAGAGCAAAGUUAAGGGGGGUGAAAGUGCAAGAACCACAAAUAUUAUUUCUUUCACUUUGGUCCACUUUCAACUUUGAAGCCCUUCCAAUCAAUCGGAACACGAGACACAUUCAUGGCCAUCUUCAAAACCACACAAUAUAUAUAUCAACACCAAUAUCAAAUUGUGCUCUCUCCUCCAACCCACACGCACACACAGAACACAGAGCUCUCAAAAACCAUCCUCUCCUUCUCUCUCUAGAACUGUAAAUCCUCCCCUUUCUCUCUCUAGAAAGCUUUUCACAUGAGCACGUGAACUCGGAGACCAGAUAACAGAGAGAAGGCAAUGGCUUUUCUGCUACCAAAUUUCUCUGCUUCCUCCAUACUCCUCCAAACCAAACCAAAAGAAAAACCCAUUCACCAAAUGCUCUCCCAGACAAAACCCAGUUUCUCUUUCUCUCACCUCUCUCCUCUGGCUAGCGUACAGACGCCCACUUUGUUGGAGGGUGCGCAGCUUGACGCCUCCAGCGUUGCGCAGGAUAAGCAGCAAAGGGACGAUUUUUAUGUCAAUCUUGGCCUGGCUGUACGGACGCUUCGUGAAGAUGUCCCUUUAAUUUUCGCCAAGGACCUUAAUUAUGACAUUUAUAGGUAAUUUUCUCAUAUGGGUUUCUUGAUUUUUCUUUGCUAGUGUUUGGUUUAUCAGAAUGUUUAUACAUUCAUUGAAAUUUUUUGAUAGUUUUAGAAUUGACAACAUUGAUUGAAUUGUUGUUUGAAAUUUGAUGAUUUUGUAAUUGUUCAAUAUGUUAUUGGAAAUGUAGAGUUGCAUUUGAUGGGAUUCAUUUGUGGAAUUUGAUGAAUUUCAGGGAUGAUAUAACAUUUAUGGAUCCUUUGAACACAUUCACUGGCAUUGAGAAUUACAAAUUGAUCUUCUGGGCAUUGCGAUUUCAUGGAAAGAUUCUGUUCCGCGAUAUCUCCCUCGAGGUUUAUAGGAUUUGGCAGCCUUCAGAGAAUGUGAUACUGAUAAGGUGGAACAUGAAGGGUGUUCCUCGAGUUCCAUGGGAAGCGAAGGGUCAGUUUCAGGGCACCUCGCGGUAUAAAUUGGACCGAAAGGGCAAAAUAUAUGAACAUAAAGUCGAUAACUUGGCGUUUAACUUUCCACAGAAGCUCAAACCAGCAGCAUCAGUGUUGGAUUUAGUGGCAGCAUGCCCUGCUAGUCCUAACCUGACAUUUCUGUGGGGUCCUGCAGAUGCGUACUCAUCUUCGUGGUUGGAGUUUUAUCGAGCAGUGAGGGGGACUUUGAAUCGGGAUAGUUACUUGCUACCACAAGAUGGUUUGGUUAGCUGAUUGAGCUACUUGUGAUAUUAAUCUAUACGAUAGAAUAUGUAACGUAUAUGUACUUGUGCAUUACGUUUUGUAUUAUAUGUUGGUAGAUAGCAGAUAAUGGUUUUUGUUGAAGAUCACGGUUGUAUAUACAUAGGGAGAUCCUGCAGAGUUCAAUACAUACUUCUUGUGGUGGUGGAGGCAAAGAAGCUAGGGUACAUUUUUUGCGCUUAUACAGGUCGGAAUAAUAUAUAUGAAAUCUUGUUUCUUUUAGUAAAUUUUGUUUUCCAUUUAUAAUGUUCCUUUACAUGAUCGAUUCUGCCUCCUCCAUCGCUUCAUUAUCUGGUCCGGUUGCUGUUAUCAGUAGUUUCUUGUCAUUGCUAGUCAAACGCACGUAUAUUCUACUCGGAGUUAUGUUUCUCUACACUUGUGACCUUUGUUUCGCUUCUUUACUUCAAGCCUAUCAACCAUUCGGAAAAUGUUCCGCUUGAUAUCCUCCAUCAGGCUUCAUUUCUUGACAGAAACGGCUUUCUAACUAACUGCAUCUCGGACAAGCCAAUUUCGUGCACAUUUCAGAGCAGACAAACCUGUUAUGGAGUCGAAAAUCAGUUGAUAUGUCCAAGGUCUUCCUGCAGUGAAGAUCAGACCGUGUAAACAAGUACGAAUCAUUAAAUCAGACCGUGUAACACUAAUUAAGAGCUAAUUUGGAUCUAUCAAAGGAUAAAGGGAGAUAAUGAUUAAUCAACGCAAUAUGUACCAUUAACAAGAAACUAGAUUCACACAGCAAUAGUAGGUCAUAAUUUCUUAGCAACAACAUGAUGUUGUUACACUUCUGUGAGAGAGAUCAUAACAUAAACGCGUGCAACACAACACAACAUACGUAUGUGACCUUCAAACUUCCCACUCUUGCAGCUUUGUGAAAUCUUAAGACCAUCUCUGCAACAAUCAAACAUCGAUCACUAAAAUUUAUUCUGAAGCAAGCACUAGAGAAGGAAACAAAGUUAUUUACUUGUCUUUAAAGCAGUACCUGAUUUGGGAUACUUCAUAACGAGUGUGUUUGCAGAGCAGCGGAGUCCAAGCCGGAGUAAUCUGCAGGGUGCACCUUGCAACAUAUAGGGCUGCUGCGCACAGCCAUGAGGGCUUGAACCUUAACGGUUCAUAUUCAACUAAGCACAACUCAAUAAGGUAGAAUGCCAAGUGUUCAAGCUGAAAAACAGUCCGCAAAGUAACAGACUGUUAGCAACUUUGCUGUUAUCUAAUCCAUAUCGAGAAGUAAUAUCCACUAAACUCUGGCAUGGCAUGUCAAUCUCUUUCUUUCUUAGUAACGGUGUUAAUCAUUAAUCAAAGUUUAUGUCUGUUAGAAACUACUGAAUACCUUUGUUUCUGACUGAGCAGCCUUGAGAAAUCUUAACAUGAAGACAUAUGGAAUAGGUGCAUUAAGACGAAACUUCGGCUUUUUCAGAAAGGCUUUCUCCUGAAAAGCAAAGACGGUGUUUAUUUUAGGACAAGCGAAAAGGGAACUAUAGAAUGCAGCAUUAUUCAUCUCAUAAGAUAUGCACCAGGACAUUUCCAGAUUCUAACAAAACAGAUAUACUGAAUUAAUCCGAGUCUAAUAAAAGCACAUACCAUUCCAAGCACCUGUACUCUGGUGUAUGUCUCAGAUGAGAUGAUAAUUAAAUCUUUAACCUGUAAUUUUUCUUGUUGUAGACAAUUAGAAAGAAAAUCACGAAAAAUGCAUACGAGUUGAGAUAUUGAUCUCUGACCUGUAAUCCUCUCACUUUUACCGCUCCUGCAUUGAAGAUGGCCCAAAUUUAGAACUUCUUAGCUCAAAAUCCAAAAUGAAGGAACUAUAUGAGCAAAUGAAAAGGCACCAACAUUUUUGUAGAGGCAUCACCCCCUACAAUCCAAGAAGAGUUGCUUUUGACAUUGCUGACAUCGGCCAAUGCUCUUCUUCCAACAUUUGCAUUUGCUAAGAUAAGGACAACAAAAAUUAAAAAAAAGGAACCGAUUCAAGAUGUGUAACUCCUCAACUUUGUAUAAAAAGUAGAGUCUGGUUGAACCUUACCUGCCAAACUACAAAGUAUGCCCUUUUGCUUCUCCAUACUUUUCAAACCAGCCUUGAUAACAAAACAAUUUACAGACAGCAGUAAAUACAUAAUUAAAACAAAAACUCCUUAUCACAAUAAACAAAACUCCAUCCCAAUCCACCUCAUUAGUUACCUUUAAAGCAGCCGUAUUCUCCACAGCCGAUACUUUGUUAACUGUUGCAUAACUCCUGAAAUUAAAAGCAGCACACAGAUAUAAUUCCCCCUUACAAUCUAGGUAAUUGCCAAGAACUUGCAGGAAGUGGGCAGAUACGGAGAUCUAAUACUUUUUGGCCUCUACUUAGCCACAUCAUUGUACAGGGCUCCCAUUCUAUUUGAAUUGUUAGCACAGUUUACAUACAAAUAAAAAGCCCAAGAUUAAAAUUUAAAACUACAAUUACCUUAAAACUUGAACACCAACUGUUUAAAAUAUCGAAAAACAAUGUCAGAGGUAAAUAAAUCACCACCACAAGAACUUAAACCCAGCAGAAGAACCAAGAAUUGCGGUUCCACACCUUAGCAGCCAACAUUUUGCUUCUCUCUUCGAGUGUCAUAGUGCUCUGCCGAGAGAAUUUCAAUCAAUCAAGAUAAAAUCCGCGAGAAAGCAACUUCCACAAAAGAAACCCAGAAUUGUACGAACAAUAAUUCAAAUUUCAAAACGCAGCCCUAAUUGAAUUGAUUUUUUCGAAUAAAUUCGAUUUUUCAAGAAUUACAUGGAAACGAUAGUUUGUCGAUAGAUUCGCAUACCUUAAACGAUGUCAUUUUGGAGAUGUCUUUUGCUCUUCUGGGAUUAUGAUCUUCGGAGAUGGAGGAGAAUGAGAACAGUCGACCGUUAUAGAGGUGACUUGUUAAACCGGCGGUUUUUAUUUUCGUGUUUUGAAAUGAACACGAUUUUACGUUACUACCCUUUCAUCGUUUUAAUUGGUCAACGAUUCCCCUGCUUUCCUCGGUAUAUAUAUUUUAUUAUGCGAUUGAUAAGUAGAAACUAGAAUUUUUAUUAAUUCUAGAUUAGUACAUAAUUAUUUAGUGAUCGAGAGAAUUCUUUUAUUCGAUACAUAAUUUUCAAGUACCAUAAACCAAAUAGAAAGGAAACCACAAAUAUACAUAAUAGUAUCAAACAUGAUAAAACAUUCUUCGGAAACGAGUCACUUUUAAUGCAAUUGCUAGUGCUACAUUGUCUUUGAUGUUGUCGAAGAAUUGAAAAUAGGCAUACCUCCAUGAUGUCUUUAAGAUUAAUGUGCCGCAAACUCCCCAAAAGCCUACAAUAAAGCCAAGUACCAUGCUGACAUAGAACCACAACGCAUCAUUUCCACCUUCAUUCAUGUCUUUUGUAUCCUUAGAUGGGAAAAUGUCAUCGCCAGGGCACUUAGUUGAGAGAGGAACGCCGCAUAACGAUGGAUUUUCCAUAUAAAUGGAAGAAUCAUUAAGCGUUUGAAGCUGGUUUCCUGAAGGAAUUCUUCCAGACAAGUUGUUGUAAGACAAGUUCAAGUGGUUUAAAAAAGUUAAAGAUGACAAGCUUUGAGGAAUUUGUCCUGAAAGGUGGUUGUGUGAAAGAUCAAGAGUUUCAAGCAAGUGCAAGUUUCCGAUGUUGAAUGGGAUCUUUCACGUUAAUUGAUUCCUGGAUAAGUUCAAGGUACCGAAUUGAAUGAGGCUACUUAUUUCUUCAGGGAUUUCACCUUGUAAAUUAUUUGAUGAAAGAUCAAUGCUCUUUACAAGAUUUAUAGUCUUGUUGUACACAAGUUCUCUUCCUUUUAGUGUCAGUGUGAUUUGCUCAAUAGCACCAAUAGUGUCUGCAUUUAAAUCGUCCACCAGCGAAGCCAAAUUAUCCAGACACUUGGGAAUAGUACCUGAAAGGUUGUUGUGACUAAGGUCAAGGAUAUGAAGAUGUCGAAGAUUGCACAGUUGCUGGGAUAGAUGUCCACUAAAAGAGUUGGACCGUAAUUGUAUCCAGUACAACACGGAUACAUUUGGUCCUCCUAUCCAUAGAGGUAUGUUACCAUAUAACUUGUUGUCUCCGAGAUCUAGACUUCUCAAAAUAGAACAAUUUCGCAACGAAUUAGGAAUUUCACCCCCAAAAUUGUUGUUGUUGAGCUUUAAUACUUGCAGUGAACUUAAUACCCCCAAUGAAGUGGGAAUAUUACCAGAGAGAUUGUUCAGACCAACAUCUAGAAACCACAGUUUGCUCCCCACAUUCCAUGCACGAGGCAAUUCUCCAUAAAAUUGAUUGCUCCUUAGAGACAAGACUCCCAAUUGCUGCAUGUUGCAAACGGAGGGAGGAAUAGUGCCAGUCAAAUGAUUCUCAGAAAGUAACAAGGCAUCCAAAUUGGGCAUCAUUUGGUCAAUAUUAGAGGGAAUUGGCCCGAAAAAUAGAUUGCUUUCGAGAUCAAGCUUCUGCAAACUUUUAAACAAUCCUAAGGAGGCAGGCAGUUGGCUUUCCAGCUCACAAUAAGACAAAUCUAGGGACUCUAAUGCUAUAUUUGGACAAUUCGAGAAACUCCUCCAAAACUCUUCAAUACCCCCUUUAAAUUCGUUUUGAGAAAGGCUUAAGACCUUUAGCUUGCACAAAUUUCCAAUGACUUUUGGAAAAUUACCAUUGAAAUGAUUCCCAGAUAUAUCAAGUGUUAUGAGGCUGGUGAGAUUAAAAAGCCAGCUGGGAAAUGAAGAACUAAACAUAUUAUCUGACACAUCAAGUACCAAAAGUGAUGUCAAAUUAAUGUGUCGCAGUGAGAUGAGUGGAAUGAUUUCAAUUCGGCAAAAAGAUAAGAGUAACUCUGCUAAUGAAGGAAGCAUAUUAACAGCAUACACCCAAUUGACUGCUUUGGUGCUAAGAUCCACCGAUCCGAGAUCAAGGUAUUUAAGAGAAGAAAGGCGAGACAGCCAAUUCAACUUUCUGGAAGUUAAGCCAAUAUUCCACCCAAGAUCAAGAAAAUUGAGGCUUGACAGAUUACCAAGAGAAGGGGGAAUCUCUCCUCCAAAUGACGCAGAGGAGAGAUUGAGAUAUUGCAAACUUUUAAGCUCCCCGAAGAAGUUAGGAACUUGAAUGCUAUAAAAAUCAUUAUUGCUUAGGUCCAGGUAAUUUAAAUGUUUCAAGCUCAACAGAGAAGCAUUUAUCUUACCUCCCAAGCGAAACUUUUCAUACAUGUCCCGCUCUUCAUACGGAUUCCGGAGGUCCAUCUUCACCACAUGACCGGUCCGGUUGUUGCAUGAAACACCUUUCCAUUGACAGCAAUCGUGACCUACCCAAGAGGAAAGCCUGCCAGAAGGAUCAACAAGAUGUUGUUUAAAGAUGAGAAGCGCUUGUCUUUCUUUGUCGAUGCAUGGAUUUGUUUUCACACUGCUUGAAAGUGCACCACCGGCCAAACAGAAACAGGUUUUAGUAGUACUCUGCAUGUAGGAAGAGGUCAAAAGAACAAGAAGGAAAUAGUGAGCAAUACUGAGGUGAUGGUGGGAAUCCAUUACCACACACAAUUUUCUUUGCUAUCUUUGCUGAUGAUGAUGUUUAGCUUCUAAAUUUCAGAAUUUAUAGGAAAAGAUUAUCGAUGUAGGUCAGGGAGUUGAAAUGAAAGCCGUCUGAUGGAGAAAAGAAAAAAGGGUAACUGAAACGAAUGGCGGGUCUUCACAACCCCUUUUACAACUUAUCAUCCUAUUUACUCUUCUUUUCUUGUGGCAUAACAUUACGAAAACGAAUUUAGAUAUGUUUUAUAUUUUGUUCGAAGGAAAACGGAUAUAGAUGUGUCAGGUUCAACAAGUUUGGAAGUCCAUCGCCUACACCACACUUGCUGGUACUCUCUACUUGGAUAUGACUGUCGUGUCGUUAAUUACAAAUUUUCUAAACAAUGGAAUUGUUAUUGACACUCCAAAAUCGUCAUUGUCACAGAAGUCGGUUUCUCAUUUGUUUUUCACUAAUGAGAAAUACAGAGAUUUUUCUAUGGAAGGGCUGUGUAGUACCAAAUGAAAAUGCAUGCAUGAUCCGCGGAAGUCUUGGCACACCAAUUAGUCUUUGGUGGAAAAUCCAUAUGCAGCUAAGACUUUGAAUUGUGAGUCUUCUCGAGUGUCUGUUAGAGAGCUAGAGAGACAUAAUUCGAAUGUUUGUUCAACAACGCAGUGCAAGUAUACUUGUAAACGGAAUUUUUUGAAAUGUCCAAUGAACUUGUACACAUCCUUCAUUUUGUCAUAUAAACUAAAAUUUUAAGCAAUUUGUAUACCAAUUUCCCGAAAUCAUUAAUCUGUCAUCUCGCCAUAACUCUAUUAAGUUUUCUAUCUAAAAUAAGUCAUCUGCCUCCAUUCAAUUUGUCAUCUCAUCCUCACUCCGUUUAAUUUGUCAUCUCCGCCUAACUGAGGUGAUAGUGGUUGUCCAUUAUUACACACAAUUUUCUUUGCUAUGCUUUGUUGGAAAUGAUGUUUUUGUUUCCUACAAAUUGUAGACGUAGGUCGGGGAGUUGAAACAAAAGUCGUCUGAAAGAGAAAAGAAAAAAGGGCGGGUCUUCACAACCCAUUUUACAAGGUAGCAAGUCCAUUGUAGACACAGCUGGGACCUGGAGACUUCGAAUUAACGGUCUUCAUCAGCUGGGAACUGUUCUCUUCUUGUGGUGUAAAAUUAUGAAAACGGAUUUAGAAAUGUUUUAUAUUUUGUGCCAACGAAAAUGGAUAUAGAUGUGUCGGUAUGAACAAGUUUGCAAGUCCAUCGCCUACUCCUCACUUGCUGGUACUCUACUUGGAUAUGACUGUCGUGUCGUUAUUUACAAAUUUUCUAAAUAAUGGAAUUGUUAUUAACACUCCAAAAUUGUCAUUGUCACACUAGUCGCUUUCUUAUUUGUUUUUCACUAAUAGGAAACACUUAUUUUUCUAUGGAAUUUUCCGAAUUCUAAUGAAGCCGUGUAGGAGCAGAUGAUGACGAGUGCAUGCUGGAGAUGGCUAGCCAUGGAAGUGUUGGCCCUCCAAUUAGUCUUUGGUGGAAAAUCCAAAGUCUGUCGGAGAACAGAAAAUAUAUCAUAAUUACAUUAUAUUUUUUCAGUUAACAUCCCACAAUCCAAAGUCUUUGAAAGGGUAAUUCUAUUAACAUCCCACAAUCUUAUGAAUACACCCCAUAAUUUUAUUUUUUCAGUUAAAUUUCCAUUUUUACCCUGACUUGAAUUAAGUUCUAAAGUCCAAAAUAAACCCCAUCCACCCUCUUAUGCUGGUUGCCAACCACCAUCGUGUCAGGGCAAAAAAUCUCAACCACUCGCCAUGCUCUCUCUCUCUCUCUCUCUCUCUCUCUCUCUCUCUCUCUCUCUCUCUCUCUCUCUCUCUCUCUCUCUCUCUCUCUCUAUAUAUAUAUAUAUAUAUAUAUAUAUCCAAUAACCAACCACUUGCCGGUAGGUAAUAGGGAAUUGGGAGAUGGGGUGUGUGAAUCAAGAGUGUUGGGCAAUUCUCAGUCUGUUAGAGAGCCGGUCUUGGCUGUAAACUUCCGCGACGUGGGAGGUUUAUGGCUGUGUUGAUAUCGAUGACGGAUACCUCUUAUAUGGGUGGCCCAUGGCCGUCGAGCUAGCUUUUUUGCCGUCAUUUGUUUAUGGGGAUGGGGUGGCUUCAGAAAAAUGGAGGACAAAGCUGGAAUUUUAAAGGCACAUUUUAGAUGUGGGGUGUAUUCAUAAAGAUGUGGGGUGUUAAUAAAACAACCCUAGUUGAAAAUACUUAUCUUACAAAGCUUUUUUGGAAAGUGAUUUUUACACACAAAUUUUAAUUUGUCACACACUACUUUUUAUUUCUAACCAUUAAAUUGAAUAAAUCAAACAUAAUCAAUGGAUGUAUAAGGGCAUCUCCAGUGGAGUCUCUAAAUAAGGACAACCACCUUAUAAUGGGUAUAAAACAAAUAUAGGGACAAAAUGAAUCUCCAAUUUAUCGGAAAGUGAGUCCCCAAAGUAGAGGGACUCAUCAGAUACAUAGUUGUAUGUCUCACAUAUAGGGAUUAUAUAGAGAUGACCUUGAGUGAAAAACGGAACCCACAAUCUUAAUUGAAGCUUUUAAUGUUUUUAAUGCUUCUAAUUAAUUAAAAAAUGGUUAAUAUAAACAAAAAAAUGUGCACAUUGAGUGGAAAACGGGACUCACAAUCUUAAUUGAAGAUUUUAAUACUUUUAAUUAAUUAAAAAAAUGUUAACAUAAGCAAAAAAUGUGCACCUAAUCAAAUUAUCACAUAAAAUCAUAAAAACUUCAAAUUUAGAGAUUCUAUUAUAAGGAUUCUAUCAUUGAAGACAAUAUUUCUUUAGGGUCACAAAUAUUUCCUUUUAAGUCCUUAAAUGAGUACUCAAAAGUGGUGAUGAGAAUACCUAAAUAUGGACCUUCAUUGGAGAUACUGUGUGCAUUUAUUAUUUUUAUUUUUUCUUCCUUGAUUUUAUUCCAAAAUUAGGAAAUAGCUUCUGAAAAACUGAUUUCACACUUUUUUUGUCAUCUAUACUUUUGUUGGAUAGAUUCGUAGAAGGAAGCUUACCUUAAACGACGUCAUUUUGGAAAUAUCUCUUGCUCUUAUCGGAUUCUGAUCUCCAGAGAUGGAGGGGAAUGAGAACAGUUGACCGUUGUAGAGGUCUGAGUCACCUUGUUAAAUCGGCGGUCUUUAUUUUUGUUUUUUUUGAAAUAAACACGAUUUUACGUUACUACCCCUUUCCUCAUUUUCUUUGGUCAACGAUACCCCCUGCUUUCCUCAGUAUAUAUAUAUAUAUAUAUAUAGAUUUUAUUAUAUGAUUUAUAAGCACAAACUAGAAUUUUAAAUUAAUUCCAAGUUAAUACAUAAAUGUUUGUGGGAACAUUUAUUGAAAGAUAGAAUUCUUUUAUUCAAUACAAAAGUUCCAAGAAGUACCUUAAACCAAAUAGAAAGGAAACCACAAAUAUACAUAGUACAAUCAAACAUUAGAAAACAUUAUUCGGAAACGAGCCACUUUCAAUGCAAAUGCUAGUGCCAUCUUGUCUUUGAUGUAGUCGAAGAAUUGAAAUUAGGCAUACCUCCAUGUUGUUUUUAAGAUCAACGUGCCACACAUGCCUCAAAAGCCUACGAUGAACCAAGUACUACACUAACAUAAAACCACAACUUAUCAUCAUUUCUCACUUCAUUCUUGUCCCUUCCAUCCUUAGCUCACACACAGAAGGUCAUGAACACAUUCAUGUAACCUUGUUAAAAAAUAAAGCACAAAAAACCUCUUUAACGCCAAUUCAACAUCAAAUUAAAAGAAAAUACCGAGUCCUUUCUUUCAAAUUAACAUCAUCCAACAGCAAGCUCAAUCUUUACAUUCAAAAUUACAAUUUCUGUCGAGCCAUCAAAAUUGUUAUCCAGCCACAGCUACAUGCGAAAACUGCCAUUACGAGCCACUUUCGCAACCAACUUGGUCUCAAUCUAUAGCAGCAUUGCCAAUUUGCCAGAAGAUAUUAAGCUAUAGUAAGUUAAUUACAACUAUAUCAACAACCUCUGCACUUCCACAGAAGGAAGUAAAUCACUUACCUAAAUUGGCCCUAACCCUAAAGCUAAAGUAUAUCAACAACCUCUACACUUUACGAGCCACGGUCCUCUGCUUGGUCGCGUGCUGUACUACUUUUUCCUCUACAGGAAGCCCCUUCUUCCUUCUUACCGCGUUAAUUAGUUUCCUCGCAGUAUUGGGAAGCACACUAGAACCGUCACCAAACUCCUCAAGUUCUUCUUCUGUUUUCGGUACAAAAGAAAGGAUCCUCUAGAAGUGCUUCCCAGUGACUAAGCACAAGAAGAGCACUUGCAGCACCAGCAGUCUGUCUUCUAAGCUCAUCCGCAAAACCAAAGCUUUCAGGAACUGUAUGAGCAAAUGAAAAGGUACCAACAUUAUUUUAGAGGCAUCACCCCCUACAAUCCAAGAAGAGUUGCUUUUGACAUUGCUGACAUCGGCCAAUGCUCUUCUUCCCACAUUUUUAUUUGCUAAGAUAAGGACAACAAAAAUUUGAAAGGAACUGGUUCAAGAUGUGUAACACAACUUUGCAUAACAAGUACAGUCUGGUUCAACCUUACACGCCGAACUACAAAGUAUGCCUUUUCGCUUCUUCAUACUUUUCAAACCAGCCUUGAUAACAAAACAAUUUACAGAUAGAAAGCAGUAAAUAUAUAAUUAAAACAAAAACUGCUUAUCACAAGAAAUAACACUCCAUCCCAAUCCCCCUUAAAACAAGCAGUGGAAUAUGAAUGUCGUCGGUUACCUUUAAAGCAGCUGUAUUCUCCAGAGUCGAUACUUUGUUAACUGCUGCAUUACUCCUGAAAUAAAAGCAGCACACAGAUAUAAUUCCCCUUACAAUCUAGGUAAUUGCCAAGAACUUGCAGGAAGUGGGCAGAUACGGCUAAUAUCUAUUACUUUUAGGCCUCUACUUAGCUACAUCAUUGUAAUACAAAUCCCAGAUUUAAAUUCUGGAAUGAAGGCUUAGUUGAUUUCAGUUCUAAAACAACUAAGACGUUGAUUAAAACCAUAACAUUCGAUAAUUGAAAUGAAAUUGCACAAAUUUAAAACUAAAAUUACCUGAUCCCGCCAUCAGCUUUGGCAGUGUCACUUUCUGUGUAAACCUUAAAGCUUGAGCCACCAACUGUUUAAAAUAUUGAAAAAGAACGUCAAAAGUCAAUAAAUCACCACCAUAAGAAGUUUAAACCAGCAGAAGAGCCAAUAAUUUCUAGAAAAACCGAGAGAAUUUCAAUCAAUCAAGACAAAAUUCACGAGAAAGCAACUUCCACAAAAGAAACCCAUAAUUAGACGACAGUAAUUCAAAUUUAAAAACGCAGCCCUAGUUGAAUUUGAUUGUUUGAAGAAAUUCGAUUUUUCAAGAGGUACAUGGAGACGACAGAUUGUUGGAUAGAUUCAUAGAAGCAAGCGUACCUUAAACGACGUCAUUUUGGAGAUAUCUCUUGCUCUUCUCGGAUUCUGACGGAAAGGACUGAGAACAGUCCACCGUUGCAGAGGUCUGACACAUCUUGUUAAAUCAGCGGUUUUUAUAUAUUUCGCUUUUUGAAAGACUCAUCCAAUUCUCUUAUUUCUACAACAUAUUAAUAUUUUACCCAUCAUAAAAAAUUAAUAACUAAAAGCGUUAUUUUCUCAUCGACCAUUAUUUCUAAAAUAACCUCUAAUGUUUCCUUAAUUGUUAUGAUCCUAGCUGCACCAGAACCUCCUCCCACCUCCAUAGAAAACAAAAACCUUUGACACAUACUUGGCGGCAUCUCUUUUGGAAAGAGAGAGAAACGGAAGGGGGGACGAAGAGAGCAUAGGGGACAAAGAGAGAGAAAUACGGGGAGAUUGCUCCAAUACAAAGGCAGAUUGCUCCAAACCGAUUUAGUCCAAUUGGAAUUGGGUAUUUUUUCGAUUUUAAAAUUUGAGUUGUCGUCGUUGUUUGUCUGUGAGGAAGAGAAAGAGAGGGUAUAGGAGGUAGUACCGAAAUUGAAAGUGUCAUCUCCAGGGCACUUAGUUGAGAGAGGAACACCACAUAGCGAUGGAUUUCCCAUAUAAAUGGACGAAAAAUUGAGUGUUUGAAGCCGGUUUCCCUAAGGAAUUCUCCCAGACAAGUUGUUGUAAGACAAGUUCAAGUGGUUUAAAAAUGUUAAAGAUGACAAGCUUUGAGGAAUCUAUCCUGAAAGGUGGUUGUGUGAGAGAUCAAGAGUUUCGAGCAAAUGCAAGUUUCCGAUCUUGGAGGGGAUCUUUCCAGUCAAUUGAUUCCUGGACAAUUUCAAGGUACCCAAUAGAAUGAGGCUACUUAUUUCUUCAGGGAUUUCACCUUGUAAAUUAUUUGAUGAAAGAUCAAUGCUCUUUACAAGAUCUAAAGUCUUGUUGUACACAAGUUUGCUUCCUUUUAGCGUCAAUGUGGCUUGCUCAAUAAAACUAGUAAAGUUUAUAGAUGAAGCAUUGACAAGUGAAGCCAAAUUAUCCAAACACUUAGGAAUAGUACCUGAAAUAUAUGUCCACUAAAAUAGUUGAACCGUAAUCGUAUCCGAUACAACACGGAUACAUUUGGUCCUCCUAUCCAUAGAGGUAUGUUACCAUAUAACUUGUUGUCUCCAAGAUCUAGACUUAUCAAAAUAGAACAAUUUUGCAACGAAUCAGGAAUUUCACUGCCAAAAUUGUUGUUGUUAAGCUUUAAUAUUUGCAGUGAACUUAAUACCCCCAAUGAAGUGGGAAUAUUACCAGAGAGAUUGUUCAUACUAACAUCUAGAAACCCCAGUUUGCUCCCCACACUCCAUGCAUGAGGCAAUUCUCCAUAAAUCUGAUUACUCCUUAGAGACAAGACUUCCAAUUGCUGCAUGUUGCAAACAGAGGGAGGAAUAGUGCCAGUCAAAUGAUUCUCAGAAAGUAACAAGGUUUUCAAAUUGGGCAUCAUUUGGUCAAUAUUGGAGGGAAUUGGCCCGAAAAAUAGAUUACUUUCAAGAUCAUGGUAAAUGGCAUUAGUGGACCACCAAAGUGGGAGUGGGCCCUCCAAUUGAUUAUGACUCAAAUCAAGAUACUCUAAUUUUGGAAAUUUCAAAUAGGAUGGAAGGUUUCCACGAAAUUGGUUGUAAGACAAGUCUAGUCGGAUGAGCUGGGCAUAAUUCUUCAAUAGCCAUUCCUCUGGUAUGGAAUCCGAGAUUUCAUUACCACUAAGAGUGACGUCGCCCAGUUCAGUUUGUGAUUGAAGCCAUACCCCAAAAUCAGGACCACACUACAAAAUUAAACGUCAUUAGCGAGGGUCAAAUGCUGUCGGAAAAGGUAAUUUGCCGUCACAAAUACUUAUUUCCGACAGGAAAAAGCCCUCACUGGGCGUCGGAAAUUGCUCCAUCGGAAAUACUUUUUUCUCGACCAGCCGUCGAAAAUGCUUCAUUUCCAAGGCAUGAGGCUCGUCGUUACUAGUUAUCUUUCCGUCGGAAAUGAAUUUUCAAAAUGACAAAAUUAUUUUAUUUUCGACAUGUCAAUAUGGUCGCAAAUACUUAUAUGCCCGUUGAAUAUACUUUCUAAACGACGACAUCUCUUUUUUCCAAUGAUUUUUUAUGACCAAAACAUUGUGUCAAAAAAUGUUUUUCCAAUAGUAAAAUGUUAUUUGCAAGAGUAUAUAAUCGUCGCAAUUACCAUUACUAACAAUUAAGAAUUGUCAAAAAUAUGCAUAAAAACAUAUUUAUGAGGGUCAAGAGGCGUUGGAAUUAUAUAUGGGCGAUUAUCCUAUUUGUCGGUAAAAAACAAAAGGAUACAAAUACAAUUUUUUUUUUAUAAGUUCAAUAAUAUUUUCAAUGGCAAUUUUUAUGGAAUGAAUUGUUUUAUAUUAAUGAAACCAUAUAUUCAACUACAUAUACCAAAAAUCAAUGUAAAAAAUUUAAAGUACUUGUUACAAUCCUAUGAUACGUCUUGUAACGCUAGUUUUCCAUGUCCGCUUUAACCAACCAUUGAGGAGUUCGAAUGUAGAAGCGCUUCAACAAUGAAAAUCCCACCUUCAUGACCUUGGCCAUGUUUGAUAUGUUUCUUUACCUGCAAUGACAGAGUAAAUGUUUAGCAGCAACCAAAUCCAUGUAAUUCAUUGGAACCGAAUGACCAAAAGCCUUGAGCAUUGAAAGAAAUUAGUUUUGAGACUAUUAAGGAUCAAAUAGCAAAAAGCCUUGAACAUUAUAUACUACAUUCGCGUUUGAAUGGUAUCCUUCAAACGUAAUUACUUUUUUCAACACAAUAGAACUCAUCCAAUAUGCAUUACACAAGACAGGGAACUUGAAUACUAAUAUGACCAUUAGAAGAGCUUCCAAGCAUUAAAGAUACUUUUAAUAAAUAAGCAUACUGUCUACAGACUAUCAACCACAUUACACUGGCCAAUUCCAAUUGCUCAAUGGUAGUCGUGAGAAAAAAGCAUAAACCCAAAAACAUGAUCGAACAUUUUUGUUGAGAUAAUCAUAGAGAUCAUCUACAAUCUCAACCGGAUUGGAGUGACCACAACAGAAUGGAUUUGUAAGAAGUUCUCUCAUGAAGAAAGAUGUUAUAAUAUUGAAUGAAACUAUAUAUAAAGUUGAUUAAAGAAUUGCAAGACAAAAUUAGUUAAACGAGAACAAUAUACCAAAUUACAAAUAAUAGGGCUGGACUAAUACCAGAUUGUUGCCUUCCACGAUGGCGUGCUUUUGAGAAGGAAUGACUCGCUUAAUGACACUCACCCUUGUCUUUGCCUUUUGUUAUCAUUACCUACAAAUGAGAUUAGAAAACUAUUAAUUAAUAAAUAACAGAUUAGAAAACUAUUAACACCCACCCUCGCUUGAUGACAACCACCCUUGUCUUUCUAACCCAUUUCAAAUUAAAACAGAUAUCCCCUGCAGAGCCAACAACAAACAACAUUACAACCAAAAUUUGUGGUAUUUCAAUGGCUGAUUAACAUCACACUCACAUCAAAUCUUAUAGCAUAAGAAACAACCCCAUUUCCUAAAAUAAGCAAGUGGUCUCAUCGAAUUUCCUGAUAAAUACAAUUUUCAAGGAAGAACUUGGAUUUACAAGUAAAGUAGCAAAUAACCCAGUUUCCAAACGCGUUCCAAAAUGUCAUAACCCUUUGAGAAAUUUCAUCAAACACUUGGUGGUCAUCCUACGCUUAACGAAAAAUUACAAGAAAAAACAGGUACUCACUGUUACAGAAGAAGCCGCGGACUUGGGUGCGCAGUCGACCGAAACUCAGCGCAGUUGUGGUGUGUAGCAAAGGAGCCCAUGGUUUUCCCUUCUAAAGUUAAGUUCAGAUCAACGAAUUUUGAGGGGUUUGUUGUUGCAGAGUAGAAGGGAGGACGAGUUCGCCAGGAACUCGCCGGGUUUGCAAUCAGAGAUGGUUUUGCUUUUGAUUUCGAAAAGGCGGAACUGGGCUCGGGUUUGCAGAGGUGGAAGCGUGUGGAAAUUUUUGGAUGAAGGCAGAGAUAGAGAGCAACGGAGAAGAUGGUGUUGAUUUUGAUGAACGAAAUGAAGGCUGGAGGCUAGGGUUUUGUUUAUGAAAAGGAAAGGCAGAGAAGCUACUUGAGAUAAGUGAAAAGGACGAGAGAGUGCUAAAGGGCACUGAGUGCUCUCUUUGGAAAUUGAGAGUUGAGUUUUUAGAGGUCCAUGCCAAAAUUUCUGCAGCCCACCAAAAUUUUAAGGCCUGUUUGGUAGUGUACUUGAAUCUAACCUUUUAAACUCAAAAAUAAUUUUCAAGUUUUAGGCUUUAAAAACUUGUUUGGUAGGACUAUUUUCAAAAACUGAACUCAAGACUAACUCAAAAAUAUAGUCUAUUCUCUAAAAACAUAAAAAUUGAGUUUUUAGAGUUUUUAAAUUUAAAUUCACUUCUUUCUUUUUUCUUCCUCAUCCCCUUUCACUUCAAAUCUAUCUCUCUUUUCUUCUUUCUCUCUCCUUUUUUUUUUAUCUUUUUCGUCUCUUCUCCAAUUCGCUCUCUUCAUUCUUUAGGUUCUUUUUUUCACCUAUCUUCCUCUUUAUCUCGUCUAAUUCUCUAUCUUCUUUCUUUUUCCUUAAAUCAUCUCUUACUUUCUUUCCUCCUCUCUCCUCUUUCUACAUCUCUUGCUACCCCCUCUUUUUACAUCUUUUUGUUAUAGUUUAAGUCGUAAGAUUUAAAAAUUAAAUUGGAAACUAAUCAAGUUUUUGAGUCUUCAAGAAAAUUGUUUUCAAGAAAUGUUCUUAAAAAAUGUUUUGAGAAAUGAUAAAAAUUUUCAAAUAGGAUACCAAACAGGCCCUUAGUCUCCCGCCUCCACCAAUUUUUUUUAAUUGUAUUGUAUAUAUGAUUCUUUUUUUUUUGGGUCCAAUGUAUGAUUAUAUUUGAAUUGAUUGUUUUAGGCGAUAUGUGUUCUACAAAACUAAUUUCAACGAUCCAAUCGUCAAAAUUGUUUGUGUAUACUCCGAUAUCACAUACGUCAAAAAUCGCAAGAAAUAAAUAUUCAGAGAUUUAAAAGAAAAAUCACGAUUUAACGGUUAUUUUAGCUCCUAUUAUGAUAACUUUUUGUAGCUACACUCCUCGACCCUAUAAGAAUACAAUGAAUGAAUUUGAUCUUCCAUUUAAAAUAUUUACACUAGUGGAUACCAAAAAAUCUUAUGUUAUACUUAAUAGAAGUAUAAAAUAAACUCAUAGUGUUUGUUGAAUCUAUCAUUUUGGCAGGAUACGCAUUAUAUGAAACUAGUUUCAGCGAUCCAACCCUCAAACUUGUUUGUAUAUACUCUGAUGUAGCAUAUGUCAAAAAUCGCAAACAAUAAACAUUUAGAGAUUAGGUAACGGAACGAAAUUUUCAACGGUGAUUAAUUAAAAAUCAUGAUUUAACGGUUAUUUUAGCUCCGAUUUUGAUAUUUUUUUUACAACUACACUCUUCGACCUUAUAAGGAUACAAUGAACUAAUUCGAUAUUCAAUUAAAAAUAUUUACACUAGUGGAUACCACAAAAUCUUAUGUUAUACUUAAUGGAAGUAUAAAAUAAACUCUAAGUGUAUGUUGAAUCUAUCGUUUUGAUGAGACACUCAUUCUACAAAACUAGUUUCAACGAUCCAACUGUCAAACUUAUUUGUAUAUACUCCGAGAUAGCAUACAUAAAAAAUCGCAAAAAACAAACAUUCAUAGAUUAGGUAAAGGGAAAAAAAAUUGACGGUUAUAAACGGAAAAUCACGAUUUUACGGUUAUUUUAGCUUCGAUUUUGAUUUUUUUUUUACAACUAUGCUCCUUUCCCUAUAAGAAUACAAUGAACUAAUUUGAUCUUCAAUUUAAAAUAUUUACACUAGUGGAUACCACACAAUCUAAUAUUUUUUUUCUAGUCAAUGAUCUUUUUCAACGACAACUAUAUGCCCUCAUAAAUAAAUAUCUAUUUUCGAGAGCCAUUGGUUGCCCUCGCAAAAUAGAUGGUUAUUUUUUAAGGCCUCUACUUCCUCUCGCAAAUACACAAUCAUUUCCGAGAACAAAUAAUCAUCAUCGAAAAUAGGGAAAUUACUACCGACGACCACUUGUUGCCCUCGGAAAUAAACAAUUACUUCCGACAACUAAAACAUGCCCUUGGAAAAAAUAAUACUUUACCGACGAAAAUAAGUUUCUUCGUAAAUAAAUGUGGCUCCAAAUUUUCCCUCAAAAAAAUAGCUAUUUCCAACGGCGAAGGAACCCUUUUCCAAGGGCAUUUUGGGUGUUGAAAAUAGUAAACCUCUUGUCGACAUAUUUCUGACGGAGCAUAAUUUUUGGUCGGAAAUAGCAAUUUUUACGAGGGUAUUUAUAGGUCCUCGGAAAAUGUUGGUAGCAAAUGACCAUUUUUUUUGUAGCGACAGUUUAUGAUAUUAAUUGUGUGUAGCUUGAAUGGAGGAAUCCAAUCAUAAGCCAUGUGGAAAAUGAGGGAGAUGGGCUGGUUUUUGUCUCCUACACUAAAAUCUUGUAACUGGGUAAGAUUUAUGAAAUGGGCUUUCGUUAGAAUGCCCUCCCAAAAAUUAGAAGACAGAUGGUGGGAAACUAGCUGAGAGAGUUGUCCCAAACUUUGUGGAAUGAAGCCGUUCAUAAAAUUAGAAUAGAGGUCCAAAGUUUUCAAGGACGACAAGUUUCCAAUGGAAUCUGGAAUUGAGCCGUUCAGAAAAUUAGAAGAAAGGUCCAAAGUUUUCAAGGAUGAUAAGUUUCCAAUGGAAUCUGGAAUUGAGCCGUUUAUGAUAUUAGAAGAGAGGUCCAAAGUUUCCAAGGAUGACAAAUUUCCAAUGGAAUCUGGAAUUGAGCCCCGCAAAUUGUUGUGAUGAAGAUUGAGAUUCUGCAAACUUUUAAACAUUCCUAAGGAGACUGGCAAUUGGCUUCCCAGCUCACAGUAAGCCAAAUCUAGUGACUCUAAUGCAAUAUUUGGACAAUUAUAGAAACUCCUCCAAAACUCUUCUAUCCCCCCAUUAAAUUCGUUGUGAGAAAGGCUUAAGACCUUUAGUUUGCACAAAUUUCCAAUGACUUUAGGAAUUUGACUUUUUAAGCUUGUAUAAGAUAAAUCAAGGUAUUCCAGAGAUUUGAAGUUUGCAAAUUCACUUGGGAAAGGAUCACCGAAAUCAUUAAAGGAUAGAUCAAGUGCUAUGAGGCUGGUAAGAUUAAAAAGUGAUGCCGAGUUAAUGCUCUGCAGUGAGAGUGAAAUGCUUUCAAUUUGGCAUGAAGAUAAGUGUAACUCUGCUAAUGAAGGAAGCAUAUUAACAGCAUACACCCAAUUGACUCCUAUGGUGCUAAGAUUCACAUUUCCAAGAUUAAGGUAUUUUAGAGAAGAGAGGCGAGAAAGCCAAUUCAAAUUUCUGGAAGUUAGGUCAUAGUUCGAAUUGAGGUCAAGAAAACUCAGGCUUGACAGGUUACCAAGAGAAGGGGGAAUCUCUCUCCCAAAUGACGUAGAGGAGAGAUUGGGAUAUUGUAGAGUUUUAAGGUCCCCAAAGAACUUAGGAAUUUGAUUGCUAUGAAAAUCAUUAUAGCUUAGGUCCAGGUAAUUUAAAUGUUUCAAGCUCAACAGAGAAGCAUUUCUCUUACCUCCCAAGCUAAACUUUUCAUACAUGUCCCACUCUUCAUACGGAUUCCGGAGGUCCAUCUUCACCACAUGACCGGUGCGGUUGUUGCACGAAACACCUUUCCAUUGACAGCAAUCGUGACCCACCCAAGAGGAAAGCCUACCAGAAGCAUCAACAAGAUGUCGUUUAAAGAUGAGAAGCGCUUGUCUUUCUUCGUCGAUGCAUGGAUUUGUUUUCACACUGCUUGAAAGUGCACCACCGGCCAAACAGAAACAGAGUUUAGUAGUACUCUGCAUGUAGGAAGAGGUCAAAAGAAAAAGAAGGAAAUAGUGAGCAAUACUGGGGUGAUAGUGGGUAUCCAUAUCACACACAAUUUUCUUUGCUAUGCUUUGGUGAGGGAUGAUGUUUAGCUUCUAAAUUCAAGAAUUUAUAGGAAUAGAUUAUCGAUGUAGAUCGGGGAGUUGCAACGAAAGUCGUCUGAUGGAGAAAAGAAAAAAGGGUAACUGAAAUGAAUGGAUUGUGUUUACAAGUUUGCGAUGGGUUCUAGAAAUCAUCAUGCCGUGGAGACUUUGAAUUAAGGGUCUUUGGAGUCCAUUAUGUGUUGUAGAAAUUCACAACCUAUCAUCUUAUUUAUUCUUCUUUUCCUGUACUAUAAAAUUACGAAAACGAAUUUAGAUAUGUUUUAUAUUUUGUUCGAAGGAAAACAGAUAUAGAUGUGUCAGGUUGAACAAGUUUGCAAGUCCAUCGCCUACACCACACUUGGUGGUACUCUCUACUUGGAUAUGACUGUUGUGUUGUUAAUUACAAAUUUUCUAAACAACGGAAUUGUUAUUAACACUCCAAAAUCGUCAUUGUCACAGAAGUCGCUUUCUCAUUUGUUUUUCACUAAUGAGAAUUACAGAGAUUUUUCUAUGGAAGUUUCCAUUAUUGCGUUCAAUUUGUCAUCUCAACCUAACUGAGAUGAUAGUGGCUGUCCAUUAUUACGCACAAUUUUCUUUGCCAUGCUUUGCUGGAAAUGAUGUUUUUGUUUCCUAUAAAUUGUAGAAGUAGUUCAAACGAAAGUCGUCUGAAGGAGAAAAGAAAAAAGGGCGGGUCUUCACAACCCAUUUUACAAGUUAGCAAAUCCAUUGUCGACACAGCUGGGACCUGAAGAUUUCUAAUUAACGGUCUUCAGCUAGGAACUGUUCUCUUCUUGUGGUGUAAAAUUAUGAAAACGGAUUUAGAAAUGUUUUGUGCCAACGAAAAUGGAUAUGUGUGUCGGUAUGAACAAGUUUGCAAGUCCAUCGCCUACUCCUCACUUGCUGGUACUCUACUUGGAUAUGACUGUCGUGUCGUUAUCCCUUUACAAUUUUCUAAACAACAGAAUUAUUAUUAACACUCCAAAAUAGUCAUUGUCAUACUAGUUGCCUUCUUAUUUGUUUUUUCACUAAUAGGAAAUACAUAUAUUUUUCUAUGGAAUUUUCCGAAUUCUGAUGAAGCCGUGUAGGAGCAGAUGAUAACGAAUGCAUGAUGGAGAUGGCUAGCCACGGAAGUCUUGGCACUCUAAUUAGUCUUUGGUGGAAAAUCCAUGUACAACGGAGACUCUGAAUAGUUAGUCUCCUCCAGCAUCUGUUAGAGAGUAGAAAAUAUAUCAUAAUUGACGACAACAAAGUCCAUUCAAGAACAAAACAAGCAAACAACUGAAAAAAAAAAAGACUUAAAACAAGAACAGAGAACAUUUGUUUGAAACUCUGUUUUGUAGCGACGAGAGGUAGAGAGACAUAAUUCUGAUGUUUGUUCAAUAACGCAGUAUUUUAAGUAAUUUGUCGUACCAACUUUCCGAAAUCGUUAAUUUGUCAUCUCACCCUAACUCCGUUCAAUUUGUCAUAUAACUAAUAUUGGACUAUCAUAUUUCGUUUCCUAUAGUUUGGACUUUGGAGUGUCCCUUAAGCCAACAUCACAGAGAAGGGGUUAUGUGACCGACUAUGACAUAGUAAUUUGGCUUUCUAUACACGUUUUCGUGUGAUAGUUGAAAACACUUAUCUUACAAAGCUUUUUUGGAAAGUGACUUUUACACAACAAUUUUAAUUUGUCACAUACUACUUUUUAUUUCUAACCAUUAAAUUGAAUAAAUCAAACAUAAUCAAUGGAUGUAUAAGAGCAUCUCUAGUGAAGUCUCUAAAUAAAGAUAACCAUUGUAUAAAAUGGGUAUCAAACAAAUAUAGGAACAAAAAUGAAUCUUCAAUGGAUCUGAAAGUGAGUCCCUAAAGUACAGGGACUCAUCGAAUACAUAGUGUAUGUCUCACAUAUAGGGAUUGUAUAGGGACAACCUUGAGUGAAAAACGAAACCCACAAUCUUAAUUGAAGCUUUUAAUGUUUUUAAUUAAUUAAAAAAUGGUUAAAAUAAACAAAAAAAAAAUGUGCACAUUGAGUGGAAAACUGGACUCACAAUCUUAAUUGAAGAUUUUAAUGCUUUUAAUUAUUUAAAAAAUGUUAACAUAAGCAAAAAAGGUGCUCCUAAUCAAAUUAUCACAUAAAAUCAUAAAAACUUCAAAUUUUAAGGACUCUACCAUUGGAGGCAAUAUUCCUUUAGAAACACAUAGAUUCCAUUUUAAGUCAUUAAAUGAGUACUCAAAAGUGGUGGUAGGAAUACCUAAAUAUGGACUUUCAUUGGAGAUACUUGUGUAUUUAUUAUUUUCAUUUUUUUUCCCUUGCUUUUAUUCUAAAAUUAGGAAAUAGUUUCUGAAAAACUGAUUUUCGCACUAUUUUUUCUUCUUCUAUACUUUUGUUGGACCGAAUAAAAUAGAGAAAAAUCAAGGAACAAAAGAAAUUUAGAUGCAAAAAUCAUUUAUGACCUAGCAAGUAGUCACAGUAAGUUAAAUAGGAAAAUAUUAUACAUUUAGUAUUACGGUAAUGUCCCUCCACACUGUAAAAAAAGUCCCAUGUUUGAAUCUCAAGAUUAUGUGGCUUCAGCCCAAAUUCCUGUUGUUGUAUAAAUAAAAAUGUUACGCAUUUGCGUUUGAUCCAAAGUCCCCUUCACUCUCCUUUCCUCUUCACAGAGAAGAGAUCCAAAGGCCCAACCACAGCGUGUAACAUGUUUGGUCGUUGCUCACACAGGGCAGAUCAUGAACACAUUCAUGUAAACUUGUUAAAAAAUAAAGCACAAAAACCUCUUUAACGCCAAUUCAACAUCAAAUUAAAAGAAAAUACCGAAUCCUUUCUUUCAAAUUAACGUCAUCCAACAGCAAGCUAAGGGUCAGUUUCAGGGCACCUAGCGGUAUAAAUUGGACCGGAAGGGCAAAAUAUAUGAACAUAAAGUCGAUAACUUGGCGUUUAACUUUCCACAGAAGCUCAAACCAGCUGCAUCAGUGUUGGAUUUAGUGGUAGCAUGCCAUGCUACUCAUCUUCGUGGUUGGAGUUUUAUCGAGCAGUGAGGGGGACUUUGAAUCGGGAUAGUUACUUGCUUCCACAAGAUGGUUUGGUUAGCUGAUUGAGCUACUUGUGAUAUUAAUCUAUACGGUAGAAUAUGUAACGUAUAUGUACUUGUGCAUUACGUUUUGUAUUAUAUGUUGGUAGAUAGCUGAUAAUGGUGCCAACUGCACCUCGGACAAGCCAAUUUCGUGCACAUUUCAGAGCAGACAAACCUGUUAUGGAGUCGAAAAUCAGUUUUGAUAUGUCCAAGGUCUUCCUGCAGUGACGAUCAGACCGUGUAAACAAGUACGAAUCAUUAAAAUCAGACCGUGUAAGAUUAAUUAAGAGCUAAUUUGGAUCUAUCAAAGGAUGAAGGGAGAUAAUGAUUAAUCAAUGCAAUAUGUACCAUUAACAAGAAACUAGAUUCACACAGCAAUAGUAGGUCAUAAUUUCUUAGCAACAACAUCAUGUUGUUACACUUCUGUGAGAGAGAUCAUAACAUAAACGCGUGCAACACAACAGACUGAUGUGAAUUGCGGUACCAAAUGAACAAAAGAUUUUACAAUCUUGAAAACCCUAGAGUAGACAGACGCCAUCAGUAGAAGCGCCACGAAAUAUGGCUUCUUUACGACAAGCUUGAUCGAUGCCCUUCAUCGUGUUAGAUCAAUAUGAAAUACAAGCAGAAUUUUGUCCUGCUACACAGGCUUCAACAACUGCGGGGGAAAACAUGUCUACCAGAUGAUGCUGGAGUCUUUAUCUCUUGAGUUGUUAACAUUCUUAUCUUCACCAGUCUGAGGCCCCGUUUGGGAUUGAGGUGAUUUUAAAAAAAGCCACUGUGAAAAAAAGCUGAGGGUCAUUUUUGUGUUUGGUAAACUGAAAAAAAAGGGCUUAUUUUGGAAGCUGCUGUGAGAAUAAGCUGAAAAUCAAAGGAAAAGCUGAAGCUGCUAUUUGCUGCUUUGAAAAAAAGCCAGUUUUUUCAAAGCACACGGAGCUACAGUGCUCCUUUAAUGAAAAGACACACUAUCAUCCUGCUUUUUUUUCCAAAAGCACUUUUACAAAAAAGUUUACCAAACACUCUACUGGCUUUAUUUCACAGCCGCUUAUUCUCACAGCACAGCCACUUAUUCUCACAGCAGCUUUUUUUCAAAGCACAGCAAUACCAAACCAGCCCUGAGCUGAAUCGAAGUGGAAGCGUCUCCAAUGGUUUUAUCGCUGCAACACCUCUGAGAUCAAGGCUAGAGUACUUUUCAUAUGUGACCUUCAAACUUCCCACUCUUGCAGCUUUGUGAAAUAUUAAGACCAUCUGCAGUCUCUGCAACAAUCAAACAUCGAUCACUAAAAUUUAUUCUGAAGCAAGCACUAGAGAAUGAAACAAAGUUAUUUACUUGUCUUUAAAGCAGUACCUGAUUUGGGAUACUUCAUAACGAGUGUGUUUGCAGAGCAGCGGAGUCCAAGCCGGAGUAAUCUGCAGGGUGCACCUUGCAACAUAUAGGGCUGCUGCUGCGCACAGCAACGAGGGCUUGAACCUUAACGGUUCAUAUUCAACUAAGCACAACUCGAUAAGGUAGAAUGCCAAGUGUUCAAGCUGCAAAACAGUCCGCAAAGUAUCAGGCUGUUAGCAACUUUGCUGUUAUCUAAUCCAUAUCGAGAACUAAUAUCCACUAAACUCUGGCGUGUCAAUCUCUUUCCUUCUUAGUAACGGUGUUAAUCAUUAAUCAAAGUUUAUGUCUGUUAGCCUUAGAAACUACUGAACCCCUUUGUUUCUGACUGAGCAGCCUUGAGAAAUCUUAACAUGAAGUCAUAUGGAGUAGGUGCAUUAAGACGAAACUUCAGCUUUUUCAGAAAGGCUUUCUCCUAAAAAGCAAAGACUGUUUAUCUUAGGACAAGUGAAAAGGGACUAUCGAUUGCAGUAUUAUUUUUCAUCUCAGAAGAUAUGCACAAGGAUAUUUCCAGAUUCUAACAAAACAGUCAGAGUCUGACUACGAAAAAUACAUACCAUUCCAAGCACCUGUGCUCUCGUAUGUCUCAGCUGAGAUGCUAUCUUUGACCUGCAAUUUUUCUUGUAUAGAAUUAGAAAGAAAAAAAAAAAAAACAUGAAAAAUAAUGCAUACGAGUUGAGAUAUUGAUAUUUACCCUUGGAUGCCAAAAGUCCUCAUACUUUGAUGCCAACAAGAGUGCAGUGAGACCAAUUAACUGCAUGUCAUCCUUCUUAAUUGUGACUUGGGAAAGAUAUUGAUCAAGCAAUGUCACCAUGAGAUAAAGAGUUUCUUGCAUUAACUCGAAUUUGUAGUGUACCUGUUUCCAGAUGAACAAAUCAAGGGGAUAGCCACUAUUAAACAUCAUGAAAUGUAAAAUUGAACAAGGCAAGACAAAAACGAAUACAAAAACAGCAUAGUUCAUCAAAAGGUUAAAUCGGUACUUCAAUUAACCAGUUGACCAAUAUGCCUCGCAUAUGAGGAGCAAUGUCUGCCUGAAUCGACAUGAAAUUUUCUGGAGGUUGAUUCUGUGCCUGCAGUUAAAGACAAUUUAACAAAGCCAACAAGUCAGAAUUAGAACUACACAAAACCUACUAUCUUACCAGACUAAGAUGAAAACAGUGGUAUAGAGACAUCAUAACCAUUACCUCAGAAGUAAUACUGAUAGAUCUCAUCAACAUAAUCGGAAACUUCCGGUUGAUUGCAGUCGUCAUCAAUACUUGGCAGCUAUUCCACCUUCAAAGCUUCAACAUGGCCCUCUAGUAACUGCAAAUGGGGCCAAGUGUGAAUGUAGUUCAUAAGUAAGGAAUAAAGGCAUCAAUAGAACACGGUAAGCCCCCAACCUUUGAUCCAGUCAUCAAUAGAGAUGUGUAAGAUCUCCUCCUAUUUGAUUUUCUUCUGGAAAUGAUAGUUGAAGCACUCUGGCUGCAGCUGGCUUCAGAUGGGAGCUCUCCCUGAGUGGCUUCAUGCUUUUCAUGCUUAACGUUCUCAGGAAGAGAAGAAGUAGCCACUUUUUCAGUUUUGGAUGAAGUUGCAGUAGCAGAAACUAAUUUGUUUGGACCUGAUGCACCCUUGGAUUUCAAAGUCCUUUGCGACUCACGAGCCUUCAGUGUGGACAAUGUUGGCUGGAUCAUAAUAAAAUUAAAGGGAAGAUAAAUAGAACGAACAUCUAUUUCAUAAAGAUCUAACAUGCCAAGAAACAAAGUCAGGAUGAUGCAGUAAUCUCAUAGUAAUGUAAAGCAAUCACUCAGGCGAAGUACUAAAUUGAAUGCACUGCCGUAAAGCUUCAAGUUGGUGCCAAAAUGGUUGCCAUGUUAAGCAAUAACACAAGUCAACAGAUUUCAGGACCAAAUGACUUUAAAAAAACUGACAGAUGAUUGAAGUACUGAAAGUAAAAUAUGGCGACACAAAUGAAAUUGUUUUACUGUCUGAAGUAGACAAAAUUGAGCAACUACAUUUCAGAACUGGUCAAACAAAACGACACAUUAAUUCUUUUUUCCCAUUUGAGGAGGAGGAGGGACAUGAGUUCUAUUUCUGAUUAGACUUACCCUGACAGAAUUUCUUGGCAAUACACAGACAUUUGAAUUACGCUGACCCCUGCAAUCUCAAAUCACAUGCAAACUAUUAACAGAUAGGAAUCUCAACCGUGUUUAGUUAAGACAUAAAAGCUUAAAUGAUCAUUCAACAUAAGAGACAUUCAAUGAAUUAGAAAGUUAAUGAAUGUAGUAAUUCAAACUAUAGUAGUAAAGAAGAAUAAAAUGAAUACAGAAGCCCAUCAAGAGUAAAAAACAAUGUGACUAAACCAAAAACCAAACUCUCCAAUGCAGCCAUUCGAAAUCUAUAUGCUGUAACUUUCAAGACCAGAAAUUGUAUUCGCAUGUAGCAUUAUAAUAUCAAUUCUUAGAUACCAGGGGGCAAGAAAAUUGAUAAAUUUUCCUUUUCCAGGACAAUAUUAGAAAGAUCUAAAAAUAACUGGGAGGAGCCACAAGAUUCAUAAAAUUGGGGGUGAACUGCAGAAUACAUGUUCUUUGUUGUACUCCCUUAUAGUUUUACUUCUGCAUCUGCUGUUAUUUGCUUUGAGUUCUGAAAUUGACGUAUUAGUCAUGCCUGAAGUGAGAACAAACAAUCCUAUCCAUAAAAUGCAAGAAAGAUGCUUCCAUUUCAUUCAUUCAGAAGCAAAAUGAGGUUUAACGGAAUAUGCACCAGUAUCAGCAAAACCUUUUAACUGGCUUUAAGCGGGAUAGAAAACUAGUAGUAUGGAUCACUGUCACUCACAUAAUCACAAAGAUAUCACUCACUCGAUUCCUCAACAGAUGGCUCCUCGUGGUAUCAUUACUCUAGAUACUACUUUCUUGCCAACCGUAGCCUUAAUUGUAUUCCAAAAUGCCAUUUGGUCAGACAUCAUGUGCCACCCACUUGUCAAAUCUUAAAUAUUCAAGGCAUCUUACCAUAAUACCCUCUUUUUCUUUCAGAAUUUCUACCAGCAUUUUCCUACAAGCAGGAAAGCAAAAAAUAUAAAUGUCCAACUUGAAAUCCUACUCCUGUUAAACUGAACCGAGGAAUAUUAUUAGAAUGCAUGACAUCAACCUUCGGAAUACUUGCUUCCUCUGGGACCUUUAGCACCGACAAUGAUUUCCUUUAAAAUGGAGAGAGGAAAUAGAAAAUACAUCAAUAACAGAUACAGAUCUUAUCCACAGUAAAUAAACAAACAUGUCUGCAGGUCAGAUACCUUAUCAGCUUAAGUGAAGAAUUUGAAGUCCUCCUGAAAAAAAAGUUAUAAGUUUAAUCAAGGGUCUUUAUAUGUUUAGUUUCAUAAGCACAUGAGCCAGAUUAGAAUAUUUCAAAGGCACAACAAACAAAUUGCGGCACAAUUUCUAAUUUCUUAUAAAGAGGGAAAACAAAGGUGGCUCAGACCUGCCAUCUGUAACAAUAGAUUCGCGGUUUAGACCCAUAGCCUUGGUCCUUUGAUUCUCUGAAGGUGCCUUCAACUCUUUAAUAGCUACAGUUUAUCCGUAAUAAAAAAAAUUUCAAAUGGUACAAUUGCAUCCGGGAAACUAUCCCAGCAUUUCUGAAGUAUUAAAGCUUUCCCGCCCUUUUCCCUGAUUGAAGUGAGACAAAAAACAAUUCUUACAAUUGGAAGAACAACAAUAUGUGAAAUGAUUGGCGUUGAUACUCGCUAAGCUUGUCAAGAAAGACAAAACCCUGUCUCUGCGUUGUCAAACAUACAACGGAACAGUGGAAAACAAAAACUUAGUUGACCUUCAAAAAGCAAAACAUGGACAGGAAGAAAACUUUUUAAGUUUUGCAGCUUUUGUCCAGUUUGGGGGUAGCACUAUAUGAAAACUAACUUGAAGUACCCUGCUUAAAGGCUGUAAGUAACUAUAAGAUCUUUGAACCACUCAUAUGAGGGCUCUUUUGUUCAUUUUCAGAUUACAGAGAGAUAUCUACUGAAGUCAGUAGAACAACGUACUACGCAAUCAUGUAAAUAAGAGAGUUACAAGGAAAAAGCAUGCUAGGAUUUAACAUUCUUACCAGGAAGGAAAAUAACACUCCAUCCUAAUCCACCUCAAAACAAGCAGCAGAAUAAGGAGGUCGUUAGUUACCUUUAAAGAAGCUGUAUUCUCCACAGCCGAUACUUUGUUAACUGUUGCACCACUCCGGAAAUUAAAAGCAGCACACAGAUAUAAUUCCCCGGAAAAAUCUAGUUAAUUGCCAAGACCUUGCAGGAAGUGGGCAGAUACAGCUAAUAUCUAAUAUUUUUUUGCCUCUAUUUAGCUACAUCAUUGUACAAUGCUCCCAUUCUAUUUGAAUUGUUAACACAGUUUGCAUACAAAUAAAAAUCCCAAGAUUUAAAUUCUGGAAGGAAGGCUUAGUUGAUUUUAGUUCUAAAACAACUUACACAUUGAUUAAAACCAUAACAUUCGAUAAUCGAAACGAAAUUGCACAAAUUUGAAACUACAAUUACCUGAUCCCGGUAUCAGCUUUGGCAGUGUCACUUUCUGUAUAAACCUUAAAACAUGAGACACCAACUGUUUAAAAUAUCGAAAAACAAUGUCAGAAGUUAAUAAAUCACCUCCACAAGAACUUAAAACCAGCAGAAGAACCAAGAAUUGCGGUUCCACACCCGAUUCUGUCCUAUGCCGAAUUUUGGCUGAAAAUUACGAAAAACCAAGCAUGGUUUCGCAGAUGUCAGAACUGAUUUCAUCCAAAAGAAAAACCAGAGAAAGAAAUCAAAGAAAGUUAUCCGGGAAUCGAAAACCUUUCUGGAUUUUUCCGACCUUAGCAGCCAACAUUUUGCUUCUCUCUACAAGUGUCAUAGUGCUCUGCCGAUGAUCCAAUUUCUAGAAAAACCGAGAGAAUUUCAAUCAGUUCAAAUUUCAAAACGCAGCCCUAAUUGAAUUGAUUUUUCGAAUAAAUUCGAUUUUUCAAGAAUUACAUGGAAACGAUAGUUUGUCGAUAGAUUUGUAGGAGGAAGCGUACCUUAAACGACGUCAUUUUGGAGAUAUCUCUUGCUAUUCUCGGAUUCUGAUCUUCGGAGAUGGAGCGGAAUAAGAACAGUCGACCGUUGCAGAGGUCUGAGUCGUCUUGUUAAAUCGGCUGUCUUUAUUUUCGUUUUAUGAAAUAAACACGAUUGUACGUUACUACCCCUUUCCUAAUUUUUUUGGUUUAUGCAAUUGAUAAGUACAAACUAGAAAUUUUAAUUAAUUCCAAGUUAAUACAUAAUUGUUUGUGGGAACAUUUUUUUUAUUUUUAUUCAAUACAUAAGUUGCAAGUCCCAUAAACCAAAUACAAGGGAAACCACAAAUAUACAUAGUACUAUCAAACAUAAGAAAACAUUCUUUGGAAACGAGCCACUUUCAAUGCAAUUGCUAGUGCUACCUUGUCUUUGAUGUUGUCGAAGAAUUGAAAAUAUGCAUACCUCCAUGAUGUCUUUAAGAUCAAUGAGCCGCAAACCCCCCAAAAGCCUACAAUAAAACCAAGUACCAUGCUGACAUAGAACCACAACUCAUCAUUUCCACCUUCAUUCAUGUCUUUUGUAUCCUUAGAUGGGGAAGUGUCAUCUCCAGGGCACUUAGUUGAGAGAGGAACGCCGCAUAGCGAUGGGUUUUCCAUAUAAAUGGACGAAUCAUUGAGCGUUUGAAGCUGGUUUCCUGAAGGAAUUCUUCCAGACAAGUUGUUGUAAGACAAGUUCAAGUGAGAUAGUGAGGUUAAAGAUGACAAGCUUUGAGGAAUCUGUCCUGAAAGGUGGUUGUGUGAGAGAUCAAGUGUUUCAAGCCAAUGCAAGUUUCCGAUCUUGGAAGGGAUCUUUCCAGUCAAUUGAUUCCUAGACAAGUUCAAGGUACCCAAUAGAAUGAGGCUACUUAUUUCUUCAGGAAUUUCACCUUGUAAAGUAUUUGAUGAAAGAUCAAUGCUCUUUACAAGAUAUAGAGUAUUAUUGUACACAAGUUCCAUUCCUUUUAGUGUCAGUGUGGCUUGCUCACCAGAAGUAUAAAGACUAUCAGAUGAUGUAUGUGAAUCAUUGACCAGCGAAGCCAAAUUACCCAAACACUUGGGAAUAGUACCUGAAAUGCUGUUGUUACUAAGGUCGAUGAUAUGAAGUUGUCGAAGAUUGCACAGUUGCUGGGAUAUAUGUCCAUUAAAAUUGUUGGACCGUAAUCGUACCAUAUACAACAUGGAUACAUUUAAUCCUCCUAUCCACUUUGGUAUUUUGCCAAAUAACUUGUUGUCUCCAAGAUCAAUACUCUUCAAUUGAGAACAAUUUUGCAGGGAACUAGGAAUUUCACCGUCAAAAUUGUUGUUGUUGAGCUUUAAUACUUGUAGUGAACUUAAUACCCCCAAUGAUGUGGGAAUAUUACCCGAGAGAUUGUUUUGACUAACAUCUAGAUACGUCAUAUUGCUCCCCACACUCCAUGCAAGAUGGAAUUCUCCAUGAAAUUGAUUGCUCCUUAGAGACAAGAUUUGCAACUGCUUCAUGUUGUAAACAGAAGGAGGAAUAGUUCCAUUCAAAUGAUUCUCAUGAAGAAACAAUGCUAACAACUGCUGCAUGUUACAGAUAGAGCGAGGAAUAUUGCCAUUCAAAUGAUUCUCAGAAAGAUACAAUUCUUGCAAAUUGGGCAUCAUCUGGUCAAUAUUGGAGGGAAUUGGCCCGGAAAAGGAAUUGCUUUCAAGAUAAAAGUUAGUGACCUUAGUGGCAGACCAAAGUGGGAGUGGACCCUCCAACUGAUUAUGACUCAAAUCAAUCGACUCCAAUUUUGGAGAUUUCAAAUUGGAUGGAAGGUUUCCACAAAAUUGGUUGUAAGACAAGUCUAGUAAAUGAGUUGGGAAGAUAUCUUCAAUAGCCAUUCUUCUGGUAAGAAAUCCGAGAUUCCAUUACCACUAAGAUUGAUUUCUCUCAGUUCAGUUUGAGAUUGAAGCCAUACCCCAAAACCAGAAGUUAUAUGACAUUUUACGAUAUAAAUUGUGUGGAGCUUGAAUGGAGGAACCCAAUCAUAAGCCACGUCGAAAAUGAGGGACUUGUUUUGGUACAUGUCUCCUACUCUAAAAUAUUGUAACCGGGUAAGAUUUAUGAAAUGGGCUUCCGUUAGAUUGCCCUCCCAAGGAUUAGAAGACAGAUCAAGGGAAACUAGCUGAGAGAGUUGUCCCAGACUUUGUGGAAUGGAGCCGUUCAUCAUAUUAUAAGAGAGGUCUAAAGUUUUCAAGAAUGACAAGUUUCCAAUGGAAUCUGGAAUUGAGCCCCACAAAUAGUUUCCGGGGAAAUCUGGAAUUGAGCCCUGCAUAUACCGCAUAUCCUGCAUAUCGUCCCCACGAAGGUAGAGAUUCUGCAAACUUUUAAACAUUCCUAAGGAGGCCGGCAGUUGGCUUCUCAGGUCACAAUAAGACAAAUCUAGUGACUCUAAUGCAAUAUUUGAACAAUUUGAGAAACUUCUCCAAACCUCUUCAAUCCCCCCAUUAAAUUUGUUCCAAGAAAGACUUAAGACCUUUAGCUUGCACAAAUUUCCAAUGACUUUAGGAAUUUGACCUUUUAAGUGUGUAUCAGAUAAAUCAAGGUGUUCCAGAGAUUUGAAGUUUGCAAAUUCACUUGGGAAAGGAUCACCGAAAUCAUUAAAGGAUAGAUCAAGUGUUAUGAGGUUGGUAAGAUUAAAAAGUGACGUCGAGUUAAUGCUCCGCAGUGAGAGUGAAAUGCUUUCAAUAAAGCAAAAAGAUAAGUGUAACUCGGCUAAUGAAGGAAGCAUAUUAACAGCAUAGGCCCAAUUGACUCCUGUGGUGCUAAGAUCCAUUUCUCCGAGAUCAAGGUAUUUUAGAGAAGAGAGGCGAGACAGCCAAUUCAAAUUUCUGGAAGUUAAGUUAUAAUUGCACCCAAGGUCAAGAAAAUUGAGGCUCGACAGGUUACCAAGAGAAGGGGGAAUCUCUCCUCCAAAUGACGCAGAGUGGGGAGAGGAGAGAUUGAGAUAUUGUAAACUUUUAAGCUCCCCGAAGAACUUAGGAACUUGCAUGCUAUAAAAAUGAUUACUGCUUAGGUCCAGGUAAUUUAAGUGUUUCAAGCUCAACAGAGAAGCAUUUAUCUUACCUCCCAAGCUAAACUUGUCGUAAGUCGACCAGUCCAUCUCUUCAUCAAAAAUGGAAUUCGAAUAUGGAUUUCGGAGGUCCAUCUUCACGACAUGACCGGUGCGGUUGUUGCAUGAAAUCCCUUCCCAUCGACAGCAAUCGUGACCCACCCAAGAGGAAAGCCUGCUAGAACGAUCAACAAGAUGUUGUUUAAAGAUGAGAAGCGCCAGUCUUUCUUCGUCGAUGCAUGAAUUUGUUUCCACACUGCUUGAAAGUUCACCACUGGCCAAACAGAAACAGAGUUUAGUAGUAGUCUGUAUGUAGGAAGACGCCAAAAGAAAAAGAAGGAAAUAGUGAGCAACACUGAGGUUGUAGUGGCUCUCCAUUAUUACACACAACUUUCUUUGCUAUGCUUUGGUGAUGAUGAUGUUUAGCUACUAAAUUCCAGAAUUUAUAGGACUAGAUUAUCGAUGUACGUCGAGGAGUUGAAACGAAAGUCGUCUGAUGGUUAAAAGAAAAAAGGGCGGGUCUUCACAACCCCUUUUACAAGUUGGCAAGUCCGUUUUCGACACAGUUGGGACCUGGUUCUGAUGGGUAGCAGAAAUCCAUAUGCAGCAGAGACUUUGAAUUAAGGGUCUUCAGCUGGGACCUCUUCUUUUCUUGUGGUGUAAAAUUAUGAAAACGGAUUUAGAUAGUUUUCCUCCGGGACCUGGUUCUAUACACGUUUUCCUCUGAUAGUUGAAAACAUUUAUCCUACAUGGCUUUUUCGGAAAGUGAUUCUCACACAACAAGGUUUGUCACACGUUACUUUUUAUUUCUAACUAUUAAAUUGAAUAAAUCAAACAUAACCACGGAAUGUGUAAGAGGUUAAAAAGGGUUUGUGUUUAUCAUUUCUUUUUCUUUUCCUUUCUUUUAUUCUGAAAUUAGGAAACUAUUUUUGAAAAAAAUAAUUUUCACACACCUUUUCUCUUCAUCUAUACUUUUUGUUUGUUCAUGAAUUUUGGACAGAAUAAAAUAGAGAAAAAUCAAUGAACAAAAAUAAGCUGGAGGGUGCAUUUGGGCAAAAUCAUUUAUGACCUAGCAAGUAGUUACAAUAAGUAAAAAAAAUAUUAUACCUUUAGUAUUACGAUGAUAUCCCUCCACAUUUUAAAGAAAGUCCCAUGUUUAAAUCUCUAAAUAACUAUAUUUGACCUACUGUGUGAAAUCGAGUAACUUUACUCUCUGAAAAUCAAAAUUCAUUUUAUUUUGACUUGUGAGAUCAAAAUCGAGUUCCAAAAGGUGUAGCUAAAAAUAAGCCUAAAAAAAAAUGUUAUGGCAUUUGAUCCAAACUCGUUGUUCCUCCAUCUUCAAUCAACAACUUUAUUUUCUCCACCUAUCAUCACUCCCCCGUUACCCCUUCCCUCUCCUUUCCUCCCACGGAGAAGAGAUGCAGACGCAACUGUUGCAUACAGCAGGUUUCAGCUAAAUUUUUCUCUUCCCAAGUCCCAACCACAGCAUGUAAUAUGUUGGGUUGUGGAACACCACCUUGCAAAGCCCUGGCCAGCUCACAGAUAGCAGGUCAUGGACACAAUCAUGUAAACUUGUUUAACGAAUGCAUGAUGGAGUUUGCUAGCCGCUGAAGUCUUGGCACACCAAUUAGUCUUUGGGGGGAAAUCCAUAUGCAGUCAAGACUUUGAACAGUUGGUCUCCUCCAGCGUCUGUUAGGGAGCAGAAAAUAUAUCACAAUUGAUAACAAAUGCAUGAUGGAGACUUUGAAUAGUUAGUCUUGACACUCCAAUUACUCUUUGGUGUCCACCAUCGUUUGUUAGAGAGCAAAAAAUAUAUCAUAAUUGAUGACAACAAAAUCCAGACAAGCAAACAGAGACUUUGAAUUAAGGGUCUUCAGCUGGCAAGUCCAUUGUCGACACAUCUGGGACCUGAUUCUGAUGGGUAAUAGAAAUUCAUAUGCAGCAGAGACUUUGAAUUAAGGGUCUUCAUCUAGGAACUGUUCUUUUCUUGUGGUAUAAACUUACGAAAAUGGAUUUAGAUAUGUUUUAUAUAUGCUUAAUAUUUUGUUCAAACGAAAAUGGAUAUAGAUGCGUCGGGUUGAACAAGUUUCCAAGUCCAUCACCUACACUGCACUUGCGGGUAGUCUUUACUUGGAUAAGACUGUUAUGUCGUUGUUUACAAAUUUUCUACACAACGUAAAUGUUAUUAACACACUUGAAAAUUAUCAUUGUCACACUAGUUGCUUUCUUAUCUGUUUUCCACUAUUGGGACAUACAGAGAUCUUUCUAUUGCAUUUUCCGAAUUCUAACGAAGCCGUGUAGGACCAAACGAUAUUGAAUGCAAGAUGGAGAUGGCUAGCCUAAGAAGUAUUGGCACACCAAUUAAUCUUUGGUGGAAAAUCCAUGUGCAGCCGAGACUAUGAAUAGUUAAGUCUCCUCUAGCGUCUGUUAGGGAGCAGAAAAUUUAUCACAAUUGACAACACAACUGGGACCUGGUUCUGAUGGGUAGCAGAAAUCCAUGUGCAGCGAAAACUUUGAAUUAAGGGUCUUCAGUGAGGACCUGUUUUUUCUUGUGGUGUAAAAUUAUGAAAACAGAUUUAGAUAGUUUUCCUCCGGGCCCUGGUUCUAUACACGUUUUCCUCUAAUAGUUGAAAGCAUUUAUCCUACAUAGCUUUUUGGGAAAGUGAUUCUCAUUUCUCACACAUGUCACACGUUAUUUUUUAUUUCUAACUAUUAAAUUGAAUAAAUCAAACAUAACCACUGAAUGUGUAAAAGGUUAAAAAGGGUUUGUGUUUAUCAUUUUUUUUUUCUUUUCCUUUCUUUUAUUCUGAAACUAGCAUUUGCUACAUACUUUGUGUGCAUGAACAUAAUUUUUUAGAAAAUGAGAGAGAGAGAGCGUGGGGGUGGAAGGUUUUUGUUUUUGGUUUUUUUUUUUAUAAUAUUGGAGGUAUUUUAACAUCGCAUGUAGAUGAAGCUUCAAUAAAAAACAGUAAAAUUUGGACAUGUGAAAUUGCAUUUUUUUGCCCAUCAUUUUUUUUGUGUGAUAGAAGACUAAUUUAUCUUUUCACCCUCUUUUGGUUGACAAAGAGGAUUUUAUUAAUUAGUAGAGAUUAUGAAACUAUUUUUGAAAAGAUAAUUUUCACACACUUUUUCUCUUCAUCUAUACUUUUUGUUUGUUCAUGAAUUUUGGACAGAAUAAAAUAAAGAAAAAUCAAGGAACAAAAAUAAGCCGGAGGGUGCGUUUGGGCAAAAUCAUUUAUGACCUAGCAAGUAGUAAAUAAGUAAAAAAAUAUUAUGUCUUUAGUAUUACAAUGAUAUCCCUCCACAUUUUAAAGAAAGUCCCAUGUUUAAAUCUCCAAAAGUGUACUUGACAUACUAUGUGAAAUCGAUUAACUUUACUCCCUGAAAUUCAAAAUUCGUUCUACUUUGACUUGUGAGAUCAAAAUCGAGUUUCAAAUGGUGUAGCUAAAAAUAAGCCUAAAUAAAAAUGUUAUGGCAUUUGAUCCAAACUCGUUGUUCCUCCAUCUUCAGUCAACAACUUUAUCUUCUCCGCCUAUCAUCACUCCCCCGUCACCCCUUCCCUCUCCUUUCCUCCCACGGAGAAGAUAUGCAGACGCAACUGUUGCAUACAGCAGGUUUCAGCUAAAUUUUUCCCUUCCCAAGUCCCAACCACAGCAUGUAACAUGUUUGGUCGUGGAACACCACCUUGCAAAGCCCUGGCCAGCUCACAGAUGGUCUCCUCCAGCGUCUGGUAGGGAGCAGAAAAUAUAUCACAAUUGAUAACGAAUGCAUGAUGGAGACCUUGAAUAGUUAGUCUUGACACUCCAAUUGGUAUUUGGUGGAAAAUCCUUGUGCAGCGGAGACUAACCACAGCAUGUAGCACGUUUGGUCGUGGAACACCACGUGCAAUGCCCUGGCCACCUCAGACACAGCAGGCCAUGAACAUAUUCAUGUAAACUUUUUAAAAAAGAAAGCACGAAAAACCUCUUUGACGCCAAUUCAAUAUCAAAUUAAAAGAAAACAUCGAAUCCUUUCUUUCAAAUUCCAGUUUUCUUGACACUCCAAUUGAUACAAAUUUUCUACACAACGUAAAUGUUGUUAACACACUUGAAAAUUAUCAUUGUCACACUAGUUGCUUUCUUAUCUGUUUUCCACUAUUGGGACAUACAGAGAUCUUUCUAUUGCAUUUUCCGAAUUCUAACGAAGCCGUGUAGGACCAAACGAUAUUGAAUGCAAGAUGGAGAUGGCUAGCCUAAGAAGUAUUGGCACACCAAUUAAUCUUUGGUGGAAAAUCCAUGUGCAGCCGAGACUAUGAAUAGUUAAGUCUCCUCUAGCGUCUGUUAGGGAGCAGAAAAUUUAUCACAAUUGACAACACAACUGGGACCUGGUUCUGAUGGGUAGCAGAAAUCCAUGUGCAGCGAAAACUUUGAAUUAAGGGUCUUCAGUGAGGACCUGUUCUUUUCUUGUGGUGUAAAAUUAUGAAAACGGAUUUAGAUAGUUUUCCUCUGGGCCCUGGUUCUAUACACGUUUUCCUCUGAUAGUUGAAAGCAUUUAUCCUACAUAGCUUUUUGGGAAAGUGAUUCUCAUUUCUCACACAUGUCACACGUUAUUUUUUAUUUCUAACUAUUAAAUUGAAUAAAUCAAACAUAACCACCAAAUGUGUAAAAGGUUAAAAAGGGUUUGUGUUUAUCAAUUUUUUUUUUCUUUUCCUUUCUUUUGUUCUGAAACUAGCAUUUGCUACAUACUUUGUGUGCAUGAACAUACUUUUUUAGAAAAUGAGAGAGAGAGAAGGUGAGGGUGGGAGGUUUUUGUUUUUGGUUUUUUUUUUUUUUUUUAAUAUUGGAGGUAUUUUAACAUCGCAUGUUGGUAAAGCUUCAAUAAAAAACAGUAAAAUUUGGACAUGUGAAAUUACAUUUUUUGCCCAUCAUUUUUUUUGUGUGAUAGAAGACAAAUUUAUCUUUUCACCCUCUUUUGGUUGACAAGAAGAUUUUAUUAAUUAGUAGAGAUUAGAAAACUAUUUUUGAAAAGAUAAUUUUCACACUUUUUCUCUUCAUCUAUACUUUUUGUUUGUUCAUGAAUUUUGGACAGAAUAAAAUAAAGAAAAAUCAAGGAACAAAAAUAAGCUGGAGGGUGCGUUUGGGCAAAAUCAUUUAUGACCUAGCAAGUAGUAAAUAAGUAAAAAAAUUAUUAUGCCUUUAGUAUUACAAUGAUAUCCCUCCACAUUUUAAAGAAAGUCUCAUGUUUAAAUCUCCAAAACUGUACUUGACAUACUGUGUGAAAUCGAUUAACUUUACUCCCUGAAACUCAAAAUUCGUUCUACUAACAUUAUAAUACUUGAACACACAAAUAAAUACCUGAAAUAAGAAAGAAUGAAAACCACACGUAAGUAACAACGGGCACAGACUCAAAGCGACAUGAACUUGAAUGGAGAUAGCAGUUAGGGAAGAAAAGAAGGCAUUUUAAGGUCCAAAGUAUGUUUAUUAGACUCUAAAAAUCUAUCGCCAGGCAGCAUAUCUGUCGUCAAUGACAGGACACUCCUUAGAACUCUUUAACCUCAAUUCUGCUACUUAUUGCCUGGAGGGGCAAAAAGUAUGUGACUGAGGGUGCCACAAAACACUCAAUUCUGCAUCUUUUUGCCCAAACCUGCACCCACAUCAAUUACGAUAGUGUACUCGAGGUGGAUGUGCUCUCCUUUUCAUUCUAUUAUAGCUUUUACACUCCACCUUCACAAUAAUGGGUAACAAAGGAAAAAAAGACAUACUUGAUGCAUUAGACCACCAUUCUUACCAAUAGAGUAGCUUCAACUCUUCUAAUUGCGAUAGGGUGUGAGAUCAAUGCUGAAACGUUGCCUCCCUUUGCUUACCCUCUAAAAAUUAACAACAAAACAGAAUAUCUAGGUCAAUAUCCAGCAAUAAAAUGAAAAACCAUACUAUUAAGAACGCAAAAUCAAAACGAAAAACCAUUCUUGUUCUUUAGUUUUUUACUCUCUAGCAUUGUGAGAACGCCAGGGAAGGUUUUGGGAGGGAAGACUAUACCAUAUAAAAAUAAUCCUAAAUACCAUACUUCUGAAUUGUUUUGAAAGUGUUAAAAGAAUCUAGCAUUCAUACAACUGCUAACACUGCAUUUCCAUGGUUAAUGUAACAUCCAUAAAUUCGUCUCUCCAAGUAACCAAUAUAUUAUGCAUUCUAUGUACAUGGAGUUCUUAAGGAGUUUUACAACACUUGACACAAAAAUGAUCAUAAUGUAAGUGCUCAUAUUAUGGAUAGAGCAAGAUACUUACAGCAAUUGCUAUGAGCUCUACCAGCAGUUCCUCCAACUGGCGCAAGGGCUAAAAUCAUAAACAAGAAGUAAUAUAAACAGUUUAACUUAAUAAAAUACUUUUUCGUUAAACAAUGUUUAUAUAUUCAAACAUCUCAAAACAGGAGAAAAUGCACAUGAAAACAAGAAAGCAUGACUCACCCACUGAGUUGGACCAUCAACUGGCGCAUUAGAAGGAUCAUCAUGUACCUAAGUAACCAGAGGAAAAUCUUAGCAAGCCAAAAGUCUGUAUGCAAGUGUGUAGAUACAUGUGUGUGUGUGUGGGGAGGGGGGGGGGGGGGGGGUGGUGGUGGUAUAUGUAUAAAUGUAUUCAUAAAGACGACUACCCUGAGAAAUUGUUGUAUCAGCAGCUUCAUGUGGCCAUACAAUUGACAGCUAAGAAAGAUGAAUUCAUAUAGCACAAUAUCAAAUUUGCACGCACAUAGUUGCAGAUAAAUGAGAAUGAGAAUUUAUUCGCACAGCCUAAUUAGUAAACUUCAACAAAUUUGUUUGAAGUAAAUCCCAGAAAUAAGAAUCAUAAUCCUAAAAAGGAAUGAAACAUAAAUGCAGGCAUCCGAAAGUUACUUUACCUCCAUGAAAAUUCCAUCCACUCCAACAGCAACUGCUGUUCUUGCAAUGCAUGGUAUUAAUUCACGAAGACCACCGCUGGCAACACCUCCAUCGUCCAACCAUAGGAGAAAGUAAAGUUCAGCCAUGAUAUGGGAAUCAAAUUUUAACAAUUAGCAAUAUCAAAUUAAAGUAAGCAUAUUAUAGCUGUUAGUGAUAAAACCAGAAGAAAUAUUUCAUCUCCACAUGCAAUAAGAUAAAGGCAGUUCCUAAAUUUUGUUGUCACUCAAAAGCAACAAUCUAACAUGUUCUUCCCAACCACCCAAAUUAAGUGAUUUUUCACAGGUCAUUGCUAAUGUCAAGGAGACGUGAAAAGGAAAUAAUAAUAUUGGCUACAGAUUUAAUGAGAUAUAUCAUGGAAUACAAGUUGUGGCUAUUAUAACCAUGCGUUUCUAAGAGAAGCUGCAGAGCACUCUUAAGUUCUGAAAAACUAUAUGUAAGACUUUCUCACCUUUCUCCCAGCAGGCUGUUGCAAUGCAUGUGUGACGUCAGCAACCUGUAGUGAAACACUUGAGUUAGAAAGCCAAGAGUUUUCUGUAUUUCAACAGGCAAGACUUCCUACAGAAGUUUCCUAAAGGUACUUCUCCAACCAGAAGCACUUCUGUCUAUUUCAACCAAAAACUAUAAAAAGUAAUUUGGAAAACUGUUUAAUUGGAGAAGGAGGAAUGGGGGUAGUUGUGUACUUCCAGUACAAAGAAAACGAGAUGGAAAUUUUAUUACAAAAUAACAAGAGCACGGAAAAGGAAGAACAGAAUGUAAACAGUAGCUUACGACAGGACAAUUAGCUUCUCUGAUCCACUCCAAAUUGCGGGGAUCAACAAUUAAAUCAUCUAUAAAACAAAGCAGAGAUAUAGGAUAAAUCAACUGAGCAGGACCAAAUUAUAAGAAUGCAACAUUAAUUUUAAUCCUUAAAAAAUAUGGAGAAUCGAUGCGUGAAAGUUUAAAAACAUGUGCAGGACCAAAUUAUAAGAAUGCAACAAUAAAAUCUUAAACAGUAUGAAUGGAGAAUCAACGCAUCAAAGUUUAAAAACAUAAAGGGGAAAGGGGGAACAUGACGAAUUAAGCAAUGGCCAUGCAGAGAGUGGGGCAAGCACUAGAACAUUGAUUGAAACCGAAACAGACAGCCUAAUUAAAGAGAUAACAUAGCUGCUUUAAGACUUACUAUAGCCAAACAUAGUUCCCCUCUCACAAACCAUCACAUUUGGGUUUCCAGCCAGUCUAACCUUCUCAGCCGAGUUUACCAUGACCUGAAAAUAAUGAACACUUUAACAUUAAUAACAUAAGCACAAGGAUACCAAAAUAAUUUAAAUGAGAUUAGUUAGUGGAGUUUUAAUCAAUUAGGUCAGAGAGUGGGGGAGAAAUGUAAAUCACUCACAGAAGGAGCACAGAACUGGCCCUUCUUAAUAUUGAUAAUUUUUCCAGUCUUGGCUGCUGCUACUAGAAGAUCUGUCUGUCAUCAUAGGAAGUCAGACUCACAAAUAAGAUAAGACUCCCGACUUAUGGCAUCCUUUAAAAACUUCCAUUUCAACUUUGAUUUCUUUCUUUAGCAACACAUCGUUAAAACUUUGUCAUGAUGGCUGAGGCACAGGGUUCCAUAUUAACUUCACCUGGCGGCAUAAAAAUGCAGGAAUCUGAAUAAUAUCUGCAACUCUACCAACUGCUUCACACUAGAAAAAAGAAAAAAGCAAAGGAACAACGUGAGAAACAGUUCAUGACCUAAAAGCCAGGUCAAACUUCCCUUGCUGUUUAACAUGCAAUGGUAAAGAAACAAACUAGGACGUGACGAUGUGUUGCGCUGCAUCAUUAUGCAUGCAAGUAUACAUUCAACUGAUUCAAGAUAGAACAUGUAAAGAUCUAUUGACCAAGUCCAGAAUCCAGAAAAUUUAGUAAUAGAGUAGAUUAUAACCUAUUCCAAAGUCUCUUUUUCUACACAUUGUUUCAUAGAUAUAUAGUGAAGCCUACCCAAGGUACCCAAAUGGUGCACACUUAUUCAUCAAGAAAACAGCGCAUUUUCAAGCAAAAUUUGAUCUUCUUACUCUUAGUCUUAAGGCAUUAUCUUUGACACAUAAAUAUUUAAAGCUGAAGUAAACAAGUACACUAAAAACACGAUUUAAAAAAAUUUCACCUGAUGAGAGGAGAUAGAAUGCUCACCUGGCUAGCUUCAUGUACAUCUGUAAUGAUAGGGAGGUCAAAUGCUGUUUUGACCUUCUCAAGGAUCUGAAAUAAAAAGGCGAAAUAAGGAGGAAUCAGUGAUUUUAAGUUGAAUGUCUUCUAUAUUGAUAAUAAUACCGAGUUAAUAUUAUGCAGGAGAAAUUCUACUCUACAAAGAAUUGACCAUGAUUUAUGUAUUCCCUUGUAAUAUUGCAGCUAAACUGUUAAAAGCUUUAGAUGUAUCAACACAUGUCAUCGAAGAACUGAAACAACACGGACUUGCAGUCUCAAACUCCGAUGACACUAAUAAUUUACUUGAACAUGUAACAAUAUCUGGUAAGUUCUCUAUACUUUGACCAUAGCAACCAAAGUGAUUCAAAUAUAAACUUAGCAUGAGAAAAAGAUAAUGACUUGUGGUCAACCUUUAAGCCUUCCUCCAAGCCAGGACCCCGGAAUGAUUUUGAGGACGUACGGUUGGCCUUGUCAAAGCUUGACUUGAAAACCAGUGGCAAUCCAACUCUACAAGAUUGAAAAACAAAUUGUCUAUCUUACCAGAAUCCGGAAAAAAAAUACACAAAGAUUUAAAUCCAAUCUUUAUCCCAUUUCGACAAAAUGCAUAAAUCCCAGAGACAAGGAGCAUACUUCGUUGCAACACUCUUGAUGUGCUUGGCCAUUCGGAAAAUGUGCUCCUCAGAUUCGAUCACAUUGGGACCGGCUAGCAAGAAAAAUGGUUCUGCUGCCUGCUAGGAUUGAAAUAAGAGAAAAAUUAAAGUACCAUCGGAGCAUAAACCAUCCAAAUUUAUAUACCAUUUAACGUAAGAAUUUAAAAAAUCCCAACAAAAUUAAACCUUGAGCUGGUUAUAUAGCACCACUGACGAAUCCAUAUCUUCCCACUUUAGCUGAAACGAUACAACUGCAGCUACACAUAUCAGGAUUCAAUUAUAUCACGUAAAUCAUAGACUACAUUGAUAAAAAAUUGUUAUUUUAAUCAAACUAGUAACCCGAAAUUUCUAAAAAAAAUUGAGAAUUCAGAAUGUUGAUAGUCAUUCGAAGAUCCGGAGGCAGUCUAAAUUUUCCCGCAAUUUUCCGGGAAACCAAAAAGAAUUUUAAACGAAACGUGAAUGCACAUUCGGACCAAAAUGUAGUUGAUUUUCACAGAUCUAUCAAGGAAAGAAAUCUACCUCACUUCGAUCGCGAAAACAGAGAGAGAAAGAGAGUUCAGUGAGUGAUGGCGUAGAAAGAAGCAGAGGCGAUAUAUUCCUUCACUGAAACCGUCGGCCGUAUGAGAGUGUAGGUGCGCGCGCAGCUGUGUAUAUGUGAGGGCCCAAAAAAUUUGAAGGGCCAUGUCAGAGAAUUGAAGGCCCAAGUCAGAAAAUUGUCCGGGAAAUUUUUACUUGUAAAUUGGUGGGUUUAUUUUCAUCCUCCUCUUCUUCUUCUUUUUUCUCUGGUUUAAUGAGGGCAUCGUGAAGAAUUUGUAACUUGAGUGAUUAAGAGCAUAUGAAUAUGUAAUGCGUUUUUUUUCCAGAGAGAGUGACUUCUAUUGUUAGCUUCAAUGUCAUACAAACAUAUGGCUCAUUUGAAAGUGUUUUUAAAAUGAUUGAAAACAACUUUAGUGAAAACUGUAGACAUCGAAAUUUUGGUAAAUAAAUGUUGAUCGAUAAAUCAAAGUUUCAAUACUCAUGUAUUACAUAAAUUUUACACGUAGCAUGUAACUCGACGAAAAAUUGAAAUAAGUCGGAAAAGUCAUCAAACAUGACACUUGUCAACACCUGGCAGAAAUGACUUAUUUCAUCUGGAAUAUUAUAUUCAAAAUUAGGCCUUGGAAAAUUCUAUAAAUAGAAGCCAAUUUCAUUCAUUUCAUUUCACCAAUUCAUAUUACACCAAAACCUUGAAGCUCUGAAACUCUGAAACUCCGAAGCUCUCAAGCAUCCAGGUUCCCGAAGAAUCAAGAAAGCCUUCUUCGUUCUUCGUUCUUCCAAAAUCAAGCCCCGACGGCCCUUUGGAUCAACAAACUCGACAAAUCCAUACAUCCAACCGUUCUUCAAGAUCAACUCUACUCUUUUUACACUCUUAAAUGCUACCGUAACAUUUUAAAGCAAUAAUGCAGCAUCGAUCGUAAGAAAAAGUUAUCCAGAAUAUCACAACUGGGCACAAUUUUCUCUUUUCGGGUGAGAUGUUGAAGAGUGAACUCCUAUAUAAAGCUUUUACUAGUUAACUAGUUCUACUAGAUAUUUAAACAAUGCAUGCAGCUGCAUGCAAGAUGUCAGCAUGGAUAACGGAACGUUAUAUAAUAUAGAAGAAAACUGAAGACAUAAAAUAUGGACAUUAUUGAGUUGACUGACAAAUAUUAAUGCACCGCUGCAUUGUUGAGAUUUUGCCAAUGAGUACAACAAAUUUCUCGCCUCCUCGAUCGUUUUUCUUUAUCUGUGAAUCACAAUUUGAUAUAUAUAUAUAUAUUACAUUAACUCAUUAAAUUUAUAAAACAUAAAAAAUUUAUCAUGACACAUGUCGAACGGUUAUUUUGUCUGGAGAAAUGAAUGUUUAUACGUAAGAAGUCAAGUAUUUUUCUAAAUGAAAACAACAAAGAUACAACACAAAAUAGAGUAAUAAAGGAUGAAAUUGAACACUUCGAACUGUCCGUGAAAUUAUAAACACUUCGACUGGUUCUUGGAAUCUCGGUGAAAUUGGAUCUUUCAUUUCGCCCCAGGAUCGCUUGGCUAUUGAAUGUACACUUUUGAUGCGUGGUUUCUUGCUAUUAGUUCAAUGGCGGGUGACUCCAAGAUGGAUCGGGACUACAUUGUAACCUUGAUAUCCUAUAUUUGUUGGGAAAUUUGGAAAGCCAGGUGUUGUGCGAUUUUCAAUGGUACCUGCCCUUCUCCUCUCGAUACUGCCAGGAGGGCUGCUGAAGCGAUUUCUGAGUUUUUAUCCAUUUCCAAGGUCCUUCAUGUCUCCUCCAUAAACGGGGAUAUCCCCGCUGCUCCUCUGGUUCGUUGGCACGCUCCUCCUUUGUCGGUUGUAAAGGUGAACUGUGAUGCGGCCUGGUCGAGUGUGUUGCAUCGUAUGGGUCUUGGGGUGAUCAUUUGGGAUUAUCGGGGGUCUCUUUUGGUGGGUGACUCUGGCUCGGGUGUGGCAUCUUCUUCCCUGGAUGCGGAAGCUCAUGCUGCUAUCUUUGCCAAGAAGACGGCUUCUGUCAGGUGGUCUUUAUUUCCUCUCAUUCGUCAAAUUUGGAGUCUUCAGCUUUCCUUCUGCCAAGUGGUGCUGGAUUCCUUGCCAAGCGAAUUUGGCAGCUGAUUGGGUUGCCCCACAGAGUUUAAGAGGGAUGUGUCCGGAAGUCUGGGUUUCCAGGCCCCCAUCCGCUCUUGUGCACAUCUUAUCCAUUGAUGGUCUUCCCUGUCCUCCUUAGGGAGGCUAAGGGGCGUUGGGUUCCCUGGUUUUGGCGACUAGAGUUUCUUCUCCAAGUCUUCUUAUCCUUUUCUAGGGUCCUUUUGUUGGUCCUUCUUGGGACUAAGCUUCUGUGCCUUCUCUCUUUUGUAUGGUCUUGCUGUUUCAAUGAAGUUGUUUCUGAUCAAAAAAACAAAAACAAAAAAAAAAGAAAAAGGAUGAAAAUAAACAGGACCUUGGGGAUGGGGUUGCCUGCUGAGUCCCGACAACGGUUGGUAUUCAAAGUUUACUAACUCAGUACCAAAAUAUAUGGGUGAUAAGUUUUUUAACCCUAUCACACCUCUCACCUUCACUCUCAAUACAAUUAGACAAGAAAGAGAGAGAUGAAGCAACAAACACUUUGAUAUAUUAAAAGAGUUUCAACUCGAUUGCUGAAAAUGGGAAUGUUUUGAACGGACAUGCACCUAUCUCUAUUAUAGAGAUUUUACAAGACUAACACAUGUAAAACAAAUUAAAGGUGUUCAAAAGUCUUUACAUUCUUUAACUUUAGACUUUUGCACACAUACACACAUACUUUUAGACUUUUACACACAUCUUUAAACUUUCAUGCACACCUUUAAACUUUUGUACACACAUUUAAACUUUCACACACACUCUUAGACUUUUGUACACACACAACUUUCGUGACAUCUAGCAGCACACAAACAUUGACAUCAUGUUUUUACUUGAACUUCCAACAACAACUUCAAAUAAUGCUCACAAAUUAAUUAACUUUCUAAUUAUCAUCCAUAUAAAUGAAUCAAGUGGCAGUUUUGGACUUUAACCCAUCCAGCCUAAUGUUAGUGCUACAUGCACAUGCAACCUGUUUGCUUUAUAAGUUUUAAAAGGCAACAUAUGUAAGUUAGGUCAGUUGGUUAAGACAAUGUGUCUGCUCUGUCGCACUUAAGUUUAAAUUCUCUUUCACGUAAAAAAACAAUAGCUUGGAAUAUCGUCUUAUUACCAAAAAAAAAAAGAUCCAAAAGGCAAAAACCCAAAAACCUUUCACUAUAUACUGUUUUCCCACCCUUCUUUCCCUCACCCUUUUCUCAUACCUCAAAGUUAAAACCAUGUUCAUUCUUCAGUUAGGUCAAUCUUCCAACAUGUUAAAGAUUAUCACAAUCCUAAUUAUUCUAUCUCCCGCUAUAGUAUUCGGAGACUGAACGUGCGAAUCCGAGGACGCAGAACACAACCAAGAAGAUGAACUCAGGUAUAAAUUAGGCUCCAUUGCCUCCAUUCUUGUUGCUGGUUCUGUGGGGGUGAGUCUGAAUUGGCUAGGCAAGAAAAUCCCAACACUGAUGCCCAAAAAUGACAUCUUCUUCCUCAUCAAGGCCUUCGCUGCAGGCGUCAUUCUAGCAAUUGGAUUCGUUCACAUACUCCCAGAUGCAUUUGACAACUUGACUUCACCCUGCAUCAAAGAAAAUCCAUGGGGGAAGUUCCCUUACACCGGUUUUGUUACCAUGUUAUCUGCCACUGGAACACUGAUGGUCGAUUCAUUGGCAACCGGGUACUAUCAGAGAUCGAAAGUAAAGUCCAACCAAGUGACGAUUCAUGAACUAGAAAGCGGUGACGAUGAUCAUGCAGGUCAUGUACAUGGUCACACACAUUCCACACAGGGCCAUGCUCAUGGCUCCGAAGAAUUGAAAUCAUCGGAACUAAUCAGGCAGCGUGUCAUUUCACUAGUAAGAACUGUAUCGAAGAAAAACAUCUUAUUUAAGGAUGACAAUCUGAAGUUCUUCAUUGUUACGUAGAUCGUUUUCUGGAUUUUAACUUCCAUGGUUAUCUUGUAGGUGUUGGAGCUGGGGAUCCUAGUGCAUUCAGUUAUAAUCGGAAUAUCAUUGGGUGCUUCCCCAAGUCGUGAAACAAUAAAGCCUCUCAUGGUUGCUUUGUCUUUCCAUCAAUUCUUUGAAGGCAUGGGACUUGGUGGCUGCAUCUGCUAAGGUAAAGCCUCAAACAAUAAAGCCUCCUAAGGCGCAAUUCAAGUCUCGGUCUGCAGCGAUCAUGGCGACAUUUUUCUCCCUCACAACGCCGGUAGGGAUUGCAGUAGGUGUCGGAAUAUCAACCGUUUACAACAUGAACAGUCCGACUGCACUCAUUUUUGAAGGAACUUCGAAUGCUGCCGCAGGGGGGGAUUUUGAUUUACAUGGCUCUUGUUGACCUACUAGCAGCAGAUUUCAUGAACCCUAGAAUGCAAGGCAAUUUGAAGAUUCAGUUAGGAGCAUACUCUUCGCUCCUUCUGGGGACUGGUUGUAUGUCUCUCUUAGCCAAAUGGGCUUGAAAUCUGAGCAAAGCUUAUAACUUGGCUUCUUCCCCCACCCCAGCGGGAGCGGCGAAGGUCAUUCCCCUUUCUGAUUUUUUGAACUGAUUUCACGGACAUGAAACAUGUUUGUAUUACAAUGAAUAUGAAAACUCGGCCUUUGCUUUGCAAAAUCAACGAUAAGUAUUUCCUUCGUUCUUUGGGAAUCAAAUGAGAGCACACUGCUCUAAAGCCAAAACCACGAAACAUAAUAUUGUACUCGUGUUGAUAUCGAAUCCAAGCCAUACUGUCAUCAGGUUUUGAUUAAAGAAUUCAUCAAAUCCACCAGAGCUAACUUCGCGUUUGCCAUUCGAGGAUGUAUAAUUAUAAAUGAUCAAUUCCAAAGAGAAUUAUAACUGAAGCACAGCAAGAAUAGUUCCCGACUGACUGAAUCUCCGUAGCACAGAUCUUGCGGCAACCCCAGUCCGUGUAUAUCAAACUGUUCGAAGCUUAAUUGCGCCCACUGCAUCUUCUGGAUUGAUGAUGCAGUGGGUGCAAUUAAGCAUCCACUUCCUACCAAAGCUCUUCUCCGCAGGACUCAAACAAAAGGAAACAGUGCCCUAUGCAAGGGCUAGGAGGAGGAAGGGAGAGUCUCAUGAAUUCACACAAAAAUUCAAACGGAAAAGAGAAAGAACAAAGAACUUGCUGAAACUUUUUAAGAUUAUGUACAUGUUUCUUUAAUUUCAGAGAAAGGUCAAAAAUCAACAACUGAUACAUUUCCAUAUAACAAAUGCAUAACCAAAUUUCAAAUAUCCUGUGUGUUUACAUUGCUUUCCUUGGCAUGAGUAUUUUGGGAGGGGCCAGAGAUCUUAAUUCAGGUGCAGAACUAGGAAAAAGAGUGUUCAUCUUGUGCAUGAGGAUAUCGGACCUUGACGGAAUCUCAUUCAGAAGAAACUGUUGAACAAUGGGUUUCUUAAACCACUCCAUGACAGCAUCUCCCGGUGCCCUCAGCACCACUUUGCUAACCUCGAAUGGAGAUUCCACCGAGUUCAAUAUCUGUGCAACCACUAUCUUCAAAGUCGGUCCUGUGACCAAUUUAAUGCGUCUUGGGAUGACACCAUAAUAUAACAUUCGUUUUCUGAACCUAUGGAGAGUAUGCACAACUGCUAUCAGAGCAGCUCCGACUGAUAAGUUCCUGACGUCCAGGGACCAAGCAAUUUGCUGAUCAAAUACUAUUGCCUUUGGGAAAAGCUUAUUCUCGUAGGCAACUUUCCAAACACACCGGGCUCGAUUUAUCUGCCCCAUAAGAACAAGGUAGUUGAGAAGAACAUUAACAAAGUACUUAGCAGGUCCCUCUUCCAACUCAUAAUCAAUACCUUGGAAAAAUUCCCUCACAAAAGAUAACACUGGUUGUUUCCUCUGUUCUGGGCCCGUGAAGAGUCCACACAUAAAAGCAUGUGCCUUGUAUCUUGUGGCGCCAAGUAUUGACAUCAAAUGCCUCUCAUGCUCUUCUUCCUGGCAUCUUACGAGAUAGGCUAGAAUGGAUGUGUAAAGUAUGAGGUCGACUUUUGCAGCAGAAUUCACAUACGUUUCUAAGAGAGGCUUUGCUGACUCAUACAAACCACUCUUCAUACAUGACUCGAACAACUGUCUGAUUAUAAAAUUAUUUGUUCUAAUCCCUGAUGAGCCCAUGAACCGCAACCACCGCAAGGCUACAUCAACAGAACCCUCCUUGAUAUACACCAUCAAAACAUCGCUAGCGCUCACAUCAACAGAAUAACCCAUCGUCUUCAUCUCAAGCAAAAUCUUGGCAGCCACGUCCACAAGCUUCUUAUUAGCCAAAAGCAUCAAAAGGGAUGUGUAAGUACUUAGACCUGGUCUUAAACCUGCAUUGGUCAUUGAGUUAUACAGCUUCAUAGCAGAAUCUACUUGUCCAGAGGCAGCAUGCAUUUCCAAUAGACACGAAUAUGUCGAAGGAGUGGGUAAAAAUCCAGCCUUCUCCAUAUCGAUAAAGGUAGACAUUGCAAUAUCAAGUUUCCCUGAUUUUGCAUGGGACUCAACAAUCAUUGUGUAUAACCCAAAGUUAGGCUUAAAGCCCGCUUUCUUCAUCUCAUCCCAAAGUCUAAGGGCAGCAUCUAAUUUCCCAGCCUUUACAUAUGACUCAAUCAUAGAAACAUACAUGGGAGCAGAUGGCCUGAAACCAUAGCCCUGCAUUUCCAUGUAUAACUUCAUCGACGUGUCCAACCGCCCAGCUUUUCCCAUUGAAUCAACAAGCGAUGCAAAGACAUUAAAGCUGGGUUUAAAGUUCCUCCCUUUCAUUUCUUGGAAGAGCUUAAAUGCAGCAUCAAGGCGGCCUGACUUUGCCAAGUUUGGUACCAUCAACUCAUAGGUUGAUCCAUCUAAUGAGCAGCUUGCAGCUUGCAUGGUCUCAUAUAUCUCAAAUGCCUUAUAAGGUAAACCCUUAUUCAAAAACAGCAAUAUAAGCGAAUUAUACGUCUGAGUAUCAACUUCGAAACCUGAAUCUUGAAUCUUCUUAAAGCAACAAAAUGCCACCUCCAUUUUAUCUGCUUUAGCCAAGAACUGAAUGACACGGUUAUAUGCACCCGAUGACAAAACCCCACUACUACCAGAAUCCUGCACCAUUUCAUCAAACAAUGACUGGAUUCCAUCAAAGUCCUUGCUUUGGUUUAGGCCAUCAAACAACACCACAUAACACUCAUCACUCGGCAAAUACCAUGACUGCCUCUUAGCCCAUCGAAACAAACUCAAAGCUCCAUCACCAUCUUUAAUAACCUUCAACGCUUGAGUAAUGUGAGUCAUGUUUGGUACAAAUUGGAGUUUGUCCAAUUGGGUCUCCAAUUCAGGCCCCCAUUUCCACCUCUUUACAACCUCAACAAUUUUCGCAAUGGCAGAGGCAUUCAACAUUGGCUUUUUCAACCUGCCCACCAUUACAUGGUCAUCGAGCCCUGGCUCAACCGAUCUUAUACCUUUCCCUGUGUAAAUAACACUCCCUGAUUCAUCCAAAUACUCAAUCUCGUCAAUCCACUCAUCACUCUUCUUCCCAGAACAGUACGUUCUGAUCAAACCAGGGCCUAAAGAAACCGGCUUUUCAACCAAAUUCGUACCUGAAAAACCAGAGCUCCCCACAAAAUUGGGUUUUGCCGGUACAGAUAAUCUACGAGAAAUCGAAUUGAAACCCGUUAUAGAGCUCCAUAACCUGAUACUUCCUCCAUAACUAUGGAUUUCAUUUGCACACAGAUUGGGGUACGGUGAACUGGAUCUAUGAAACGCAGAGCUGACUGUAGGGUUUUUGGUCAGUCUAGAAAUACUUACAGGGCAGAGCUUCCUCCUAUAAAACAUUGAGUUUUGGGUAUGCAGAACUAUGAUUUGGGGAUAAAAUUAGGGUUUAUGGAGGUUGAAUGUGUUACCUGAGUGCUGGAAAGAUGCCCUCUUUGGAGCGGAGCUUAAACCCUAGCUUUCAAUGUGCAGCUGCAGCAGACUGAAGUGUCAAUGGGCAGGCAGCGUUGGGGGGUUUACCGUACUGUGCUGCAAAUACCCGAAAGAAAGUUCCCAUUUUUAAUUGCAUUUUGCACCCUGUGAUUUGGGAUAGUUAACAAUUUGAUCCCCAUCUUUUUAAACUGACAAAAUCAACCCUGCAGUUGCAGGAUAUUACAUUAGUGCCCUGCUGUUAUUUUUUUGGGAGUUUUAAUGAAAAGCCCGCUGUACUGUUCACUUUAACAAAAAAUUACAUUUUUACCCUAAAAAGUCAAACCUGAUACUAUUCACUUUACCCUUUAUUUUGUCAUUAUCAUUCAAACUCAAAGUUUUCAAGCAAUUUUCAUUAGUUUUUCUUAUUUUUUUUCAACAAACGAUAUAUCUACAUUGGGGGUGAGCUUCUCACAAUGAGCUAGCAAUAAUGUGGUUCAAAUUCGUCUUUGAUAAGAAUCGAACAUAAGAUCUCUUACUUACAAGUAAAAAAAAAAUAUCACUAAACUGUGGUACUAAAUGACACCCUCUUGGUAUUAAAUUGUAGUUAUUAUCCUUUGAUCUAGAAAUGGGUGAAAUGGUUUUACUUGCAUCAAAGUUCGAUUUAUGUGGCGUGGCAGCGUGGGUCAUUUUCAUCACUUUAUAUAUUUUGAUAAUUUGAGUUUUUAGAUGAUAAAAGUUCUGAUUUAUUCUCUUUAAUGCAGAUGUAACUUCUCAUAAUGUAAAUGAGUUUAUGAGUGUCACGUUACAAAAUAGCAGUUUAUUUAACAGUUAAAUGGACCAGAAUUUACAAUAGUGUAACACUUUGUAACUUUAAGAGUGGUCAUUGCCAAUUUUUAAAAGAUUGAGAUCAAACCGUUGGUAACUCUAUGAAAUGAGCAAAAUACGUAUAAAAACUGUAUAUAUGUAAUAAACUAAAUUAAUUUAAAAGAAUAAUUCAUCUGAAAAAUACAUAAAAAUAUGUUUGUAAUCCCAUUGCCUUAAAAAAUUACGGCCAUAAUUACAUAUUUUAUCUCUUUGCUCACGCUCAUCAUUUUGGAAAUAAGUAAAUAUUUGAUUUAUAAAUAUCACCACAACAAGACUCCUGUCUUCUGCAAUUUGAUGGCACGUAAGAGUCUACUAAUAAGCCUUGAUACGAAAAACUUCAGCCAAAAAACGAAUACGCUCUUAAUAAUUUGAGCUACAAGUUAAGCAUCGAUUAGUUACGCUUUUAGAUUUGGUACGAGGACGGAAGCAAAGCAGGCUAAAAAGAACAUGGAGAGGAGUUUGCUUGUAAAAUCUCAGGAGUCUGACGAGGCUGCCUUUUGGUUCAUGUUCUCGAUCUACGAGUUCCCUUUUCCAUGUUUAAGGAAUAAGACAUUGCCUAGAUUAGUUUCUUAAUUUGUCAGGAGAGGAUUAGAGCACUAACCACCCUUCAAUAUUAUAUAGAGAUCAAAGAGAUUAAGUAUAUUAGUCCUUGGUGGGGACUGGGGGCAAGGUGUUGAGAAUAACCCAUUGAAGCAAUUUGUGUUAAAGGCAUUUUAUGUUCCAGAAUCAAACCUGCAAAAUGUACUUUUAACCAAAUAUGUACAAACUAUCUGAACAAAGCAAAUCCGAGCCGGUAUGCAAACAGAACAAAAUUGAUUGUAAUAAGCAUUCUUUUGAUGCAAAGUGAUAUUGGGGCCGGGGAUUGACCGCAAGAGCUCGAAUGCAGAGUAAACGCUUUUAAUCGCUUAAGCUACGAAACCUCAUACUGUAUAACAAACAUUCUUAGACAUUAAACAACCAGUUCUUCAUUUGAAUAAUGCAUAUCCACCUUGUACCUUGUACCUUAGUAUGGUUUUCCCCACUGAGAGAGAGAGAGAGAGAGAGAGAGAGAGAGAGAGAGAGAGAGAGAGAGCUUUGAGUAGAAAAGAAGCAACAGAAAAGGGCCGAAAAAACCACACUUUUGAUUUUUUUCCAAGAUCAAGCAAAGCAUAUAUUCCAGUUUUUCUGCUUGCAAAAAAAUAAUAUUAGCGAGGAGGCAAAAGGCAGAUGUUGUACACGCAGAAUAGUUCACAUUCCUACAAAAUACACCUUCUCUUAGAGCCCUUUUUUGUAACCCCUCAAUGACACAUAUCCAAGCAAAGUGACUGAAAGUUGGACUGCUAGAGAAUCAAUCUUCAUAGCCACUUGGCUCCCAUUGCCCCUUCUUUUGGACAAUUCUAGGGAGCUCCAAGCGUGCUUCAUCUGCCCGUUCUUUAUAUAUGUAAAACCUCCUUCUCUUCAUCCCUUCCUGCUUCCCGUCUUCGAGUUUUCUGGGAGUUGGAGCAAAAGGAGAAGACACGAAGAAGAAGCAGCAGAUUCGACUGGAGUUUCAGGUUCCGUUGCAAGUCAUGGAAACGACUAGAAAUCACACAAGAUUUUUCAUUCCUUUUCUCUAUCUGACUCUAGUUGCAACUGUUUCCUUCACUCAAUGUGGUAAGUCUCUCUUCCUUCAAUGAUUUAUAUACUAAACCUCGCUUUCAGAGAAGCAUGGAUGUAUCAUCUACCUCUUGCCAUAUCUCUCGUCACGUGACCAGAUCGAGUAAUGAAAGAUACAGCAAGAGGCGAUGAAUUUUAAGUUCGUUGACAAGUCUAUAUGUUUUGGCAGAGGCAAUCAGAUCAAUAAGAUUUUUAAAAGGCACUCUUCCAGGUCCAACAAAGCACAGCAACUUGUUUCUUAGUGCUGCAAACAAAUUGAACUUGAUCAACCGCAUUAACUUUCCAUUGGAGGGAUCAAAGGACAUCCAACCCUACGGUGUGGAUUCACCAUUCACAUUGCCACCUUACGAUUCAUUACCUCCAAUUUCCUUGCCUGAAAACACACCUCCAUACUAUACAACUCCGCCCAAUACCCCAGAAACUCCCCCUACAACUGUCCCAACACCUUUUGUGUUAUCACCACCAAGUAUCCUUCCUAUCCAAAUCCCACCUCCAAGCCCAACAAGCAUUCUCCCAGGCCCACCAGAAUCCAUCUCCACCCCUAAUCUGCCCGGUACUGUCCCGAGCCCGACGGGGUUUGUACCUACUCCCACUAUCUACAUCCCAAGCCCACCUUACUUCGAGCCCAGCCCGCCUAGUCUUGUUCCAAACCCGCCUUCUUUUGGGUUUCAACCAAGCCCGCCUGUUUUCCUACCUCCCAUUGUGUUCCCUCCGCCCACUAUGCUGCCGAGUCCAAGACGAGGCCCGACAGCGCCUUUGUGGUGCGUGGCAAAGCCGUCUGUGCCCGACCCCAUCAUUCAAGAAGCUAUGAAUUAUGCUUGUGGGUCGGGAGCGGAUUGCGCUUCCAUCCAGCCCAAUGGGCCGUGUUUCAAUCCAGAUUCAUUGUUGGCCCAUGCCUCCUACGCCUUCAAUAGUUACUGGCAAAGGACUAGGGUUGCUGGUGGCACUUGUUCAUUUGGAGGAACUGCCAUACUAGUUACUAUUGAUCCAAGUAAGAGAGUACAUAUUUCAGGAACUUCACUAACACUAAAUUCUUGUUUUCAUAAACUGAUUUGUUAAUGAACUGCCAUACUAGUUACUAUUGAUCCAAGUAAGAGAGUACAUAUUUCAGGAACUUCACUAACACUAAAUUCUUGUUUUCAUAAACUGAUUCGUUAUUUUGGUAAUGUCUUCACAGGUUACGAUGGAUGUCGGUUUGACUAUUAUUGAGAUCAAAAGAGACUCGAUUGCAAUCGUCAUUUCUUUCAUUUUCUUUUCUUUUCAACUGAACGAAAGGUACAAAAUUUCGGUACAUGUAACCCUAAUCGAAACAGAAAUUUUGUAAUUAAAAUGUAGAUUACUUAUCGUUCAGUUAUGAAUUAUAGAUUUCAAUAAAUUUUUUAUGUUACAUAUUGUAGUGUUUUAUCUUUUGUGCACACUUUGUUAGGUUCAAGGGCAAUGACUCGACAGAACAUAUCAUGAUAAAUUUGCUUUUGCUAAAUUGCCCUUCGCUUAAAUUAGAGGCUCACUUUUAUGCCUUUGAUUUGUCAACCAUUAAAGUUGGAAUAAUAAAACAAAUAAACUUUACGAAAUAGUAAUAAAAAAGAAAAGGUUCAACGAAUAAUAUUUGAUAAGGUGAAACCAAAACACGUGAAAUAAGAUAAAGUCGGUUUAGUGGCGUAUUUAAGAAUCAUAUCUCAUAAGUUCUUAAUGCAUGGUUAAAAACUUUUUUUAAGACAAAAACAGUUUUAUCAAUGAUGAAUUUAUUCGAGCAUUCAUGCUUGUUGAUAUUUGAGUAUAACUUAUUUUUAUUUUUUGAUUAGACAUUUCAUUGAACACGGGGUGAUCAUUGUUGGUAUUUAGACGAUAGGGGUGGGUUCAAAAAACUGAAAACCGAAAACCAAACCGGACCGAGCCCGAAAAAAACCGAACCGAAAAAAAAACCGAACCGAAACUGUCAAACCGAACCGAACCGAAUCUGGUCAGUUCGGUUUCGAUUUUUGAGGUUCGGAAACCGAACUGAACCGAACCGAACCGAUAUAUAUAUUUAAUUAUUUUUUUCAAUAUUAUAAAUAGUUUAGUCAUACAAUCAUAACAAAACAAAACCUGUUGCCAAGUUGGUUUCAGGGUAAAUUUUCAAGUUGCAGCACAAGUGUUCGAACCCUCAUGCCUCCAACAUUUCAGAAAAGUUUUUUAAUUUUUUUGAGAAAUCAACAACACCCUUUUAAAUCAACAACACCGUGAGCUUCUUCUUACCGUUUCGAGCCCCAAAAAUCAAACGCCCUUCCUUGCGCCGUGAGCUUCUUCUUGCCGUUUCGAGCCCCAAAAAUCAAACGCCGCGGCAAACAGGCGCUGAAAAAUGGAUGGGGGGAGUUCCGGCGCUGCUUCCGACGCUGCAAUCCAAACCCUAUGAACCAGAGGAUGGUGCUUCGGCGACCUCGAACAAGUGAAGGCGAUGGAGUCCCCGCCAGAUGGGUCUCAGCAGACCUCACAAGGUCAGCAAUGGAGUCCCCGCCAUAUGGGUUUCUCUCUUCUGCAUUGCCAGCUUCUUCCUUGGUGUUCUUGUUGUCAACAGGUUCUCUCUCUCUCUCUCUCUAAGAUCUUGUGCUGAGGUGGUUCUCACAGCUUCUAGAUUUGCUUCUCAGUCUAAUGGGGAUUGUAAAUUUUCAUUCUUUUAAUGUUGUUUGCUGCAAAUGAGCUUUCUUUUUUUCGACCAUUUUGCUGCUUUUUGCAAAUGAUGCUCUGGUUUCUGGAUUCAAGUUCUAUUGGCACCAUUGUUUGAAAUUUAGGAUGUUUGCUAUCUAUUUGGUAAUUUUGAAUUGUACUUACGUUUCCAAUUGGACUAAUGGAUGCUAAAUCUUGGUCGUAAUUUAAAGUUACAUGAAUUGGCGUAAAUUGCAAAGUAAGACACGAUUAGGUAUGGAAAUGGGGACCAAUGAAAGUUUCAGCAACACCAAUGAGUAUAUAAGAGUCUUUAUUUGCAAGAAACUAUCUCAAGCAGUCAAACCCAACAUGUAAUGUCGUUGUAACCCUUCAUUAACAUAGCAUAAGCCUAGAGUUGAUUGGAAAUGAGAAGCCACACAUUUUCUGGUAUGAUAACAAGCUAUUAUCCCUCUGUAAAUUAUCUCAUGUAUGCAGGAUGGCGCAGCUGUAACCGGUCUUGGUACUCCACGAGAACUUGGAUCAAGAGACCUUUCCAACUUUCUGUCGUCUUUGAGUCACACCUCAGUACAACAUAAACCUGAUGUUUAUGCCCAAACAAAUAUCUAUGACGAGCAUCAGCGGUCACAAUGGGCAUGGUGUGUGUGUGUGUGUUGUGUUGUGUUGAAUAACCGAAAAAGGAUGACUCUGAAGUGACUUUGAAUGUAAACAUUCAUAUUUUCAUUUUUUUUUAAAUUUUUGGAGGAAGAAAAAAAAAAACCGAAACCGAAAGGAUGACUCUGAAGUACUUGCACCUCCUUCUGAUGGUAAACUUUAUAACCAAAAGGAUGAUGGACUUCCCAUUGACAUUAAAUUACCUGUUAAGCACAUCUUGAUGGGUCUAUCUUAUGUUUAUGCACUUCUAUUUGCAUUCUUGAUGGGUCUAUCUUAUGUUGGGGUUGUUUUGCAUUUGUUGGAGAAAAAAAAAAAAAAACCGAAAAAAACCGAAACCGAACCGAAAAAAAAACCCAACCGAAAAAAACCGAAAAAAAUUUGAGCCGAACCGAACCGAAAUUUCGAUUUUGGCAAAAAACCGAACCGAUUAAAACUGAACCUAGCCCUAUUAGACGAUCUGAAUAAAAUGAUAAAGAUUGAAAAUCAAAGAAACAAACAGAGUGCAUAGAGCUUUGGAAACAGAGGGCUGAUGCUUUUUAUAAAAACAGAGAUUUGAUCUUUUCAUUCAGAUAUUUCUGAUAUAUAUGGCUCAAUACAUAAGCCGACUGAAAUAAUUGGGUCGACUGAUAAAAGCAACCGUCAACCCUUUUACACAAAAUUGAAUCUACUGAACAACAUUACAGAUUACAUAAAAUGACAUCAGAAAUUAGACAGCAUACAGAAGCAAAUGAUUAACUUUAACAUCAUUAUCUUGCUUGUCUAGUAAUUAUCAAUACGGCUAGGUGUCAUGCACCCGCCCACACCCAGCCUAUAAAUUUGGACGUUUCCCUCCAUAUUUACCCACCUCACUCGCUAGUCGCAAAAACCCUGAACCUGCCGCCUUCCUCCCCCUCCAUCGUAACCACCGCAAUGUCCGCCUCAAUCUUCGAAGACGGCUUCUCCUCCGAGCGCCUCUUCAACCAGGGCUACUCCUACACCUACGAUGACGUCAUCUUCCUCCCUCACUAUAUCGACUUCCCCACCGACUCCGUCCAUCUAGCCUCCAACCUCAGCCGCCGCGUCCCUCUCUCGAUCCCCUGCGUCUCGUCCCCUAUGGACACCGUCACGGAGUCCCACAUGGCCAUCUCCAUGGCCGCACUCGGCGGCAUCGGCAUCAUCCACUCCAAUUCGACGUCGUCCGAGCAAGCGCACAUGGUCCGGUCCGUCAAGUCCCGCCGUGUCCCGCUUCUUUCCAAUCCCGUAUUCAAAUCCCCAAGCGAUCGAAUCCAAUCCGACGACGUUUUCGACGCUGCCAAUCCCUACGUCCUGGUUACCGAGAGUGGUAGCCCCAGUUCGAAGCUUUUGGGGUACGUGGCUGGUAAGGAUUGGGUGAAGCUGGGGGACAAGGAGGUGAAGAUAUACGAUUACAUGGUGAACUGUACGGACUUCACGGUGCCGUGGAGUUACGAUUUGGGGGCGAUUGGGGAGUACAUGGAGCAGAAAAAGCGAGAUGUGUUGGCAACUGUGAAGGACAACGAGGUUGUGGAUGUGGUGGCGAAGGAGGAGGUGGAGAGGAUUAAAGGGUACCCCAAAUUGGGGGUUGGGACGGUGGGGCCCGACGGGACAUGGCGUGUUGGGGCGGCGAUCGGGACUAGGGAGUCGGAUAAGGAGAGAUUGGAGGAGUUGGUGAAGGCAGGGAUUGAUGUAGUGGUGUUGGAUAGCUCUCAGGGGAACUCCAUUUAUCAGAUUGAGAUGAUAAAGUAUGUGAAGAAAAUGUACUCGAAUUUGGAUGUAGUUGGCGGGAAUGUGGUGACGGUGAGUCAGGCGCAGAAUUUGAUUCAGGCGGGUGUUGAUGGGUUGAGGGUUGGAAUGGGAUCUGGCUCAAUUUGUACCACUCAAGAGGUCUGCGCCGUCGGCCGCGGACAGGUAUAAAGAUGCCUUCUUUUUGUUUACUUGUUUGUUUUUGUGAUUGAUGCUUUAGGUUGCGUUAUCAUUGGUGGUGGCUAAUUGAGGCUUAUUAGAAUGUGGGAGUGUUGAAAGUUAUGAUAUUUGUAGUAAUUGGUUAAAUUACUACAAAUUUUUAGUGGAUGAUAAAUGUUUGAGUAAGGAUUUGUUAAAUCAAUGACAUUGUGCCUACUGAACAAUCGUUGUUUUGAUGGGUGCUUUACUCUCUUGUUAUUAGAUACUUGGAAACAUAGAACUUCGAAAACAAAGGUUUUUACCUUACCUUCUGGUAGUGGUAUCAACAACCGUGUAGUUGAUUAACACGGUGUAAUUUGUAUUAAUACAUUUUGAAUACUUUGUUUGACAAUUUGUUCUUUGUAAGGGUUGCUGAUAGCUACACCAUUUUACAAAGUUGUUUUGAUUUUGGUGAUAUGUAUCAGGCAACUGCAGUUUACAAGGUGGCAUCUAUCGCUUCACAAAGUGGUGUGCCUGUGAUUGCUGAUGGUGGCAUUACCAAUUCUGGACACAUUGUGAAGGCUUUAGUCCUUGGGGCUUCUACUGUCAUGAUGGGAAGCUUCUUAGCUGGAAGCACUGAGGCUCCUGGGGCUUUUCUGUAUCAGGUAUGUCUGGGAUUUACUCAUGUUUUUAUUGCCAGAACAGAUAUACUGCUUGUACCAUUAGUUAUAAAAUUUACUUUCACACUUCUUCUCUCUUGUAUGAGUGUUUACUUCAAUACGUCUUUUCAGUUCUUUGAUGACUAUUUGAGCAGCUUAAGGAGUUUAUUAGGCAGAUUUACGAAUACUGAAUCACAGCUGUGGUGGUAAAGGAACUUUCCUAGAAGAUGUGUGUCUCUAAGUUUGUUAGACAAAUUAUUUCUCAUCCUUUUUUGGACUGCAUCAAUAUUGUUCGACAGAUCAGUUUUACUAAAUUGAUGUAUUAUGGUUUGCCAUCAAUAUUUUACAUCUUUAGGUAUGCCAUUCGUAUGUUUGCAUGGACUCUCUCCCUGAUGAUCUGAACUUAAUAAGUUUGAAGCCUACAUACAGUCAGGGGUUUUGGACUCCUUCAGAUUAGCUCAAGUGGUGAGAGUAAGUGGCAAAAUUGGUCAGGACUAGGCUAGGUAAGGGUCCGGUUCCCUGAAACUGUGAUUGGAUUUUUCAUGGAUCAUAUCCAAGCUAAACUUACUGGGUACUGUAUUGAGCAGAGUAUUUCAUGUCUGUGUGUGUUUUUUUUUAAUGGUGGUUAUCUUAUUACGAAAUUGAUUAAAUUUUCUUAAUUUUGAACUAAAAGCAAAAGUUGUAUACAUAUUAGAAUGGUAUUUCUUGUCAUUGUUGAUUAUCUUUCAGCAUGCUUAACCUGUAUUAAGGAAACAGUGUGAUAUAAGUGAUUUCAUGUUUUCUAUUAGAAUGGUUGCCGAGUCAAAAAAUAUCGAGGCAUGGGAUCUCUUGAAGCAAUGACAAAAGGGAGUGAUCAGAGGUACUUGGGGGAUACAGCUAAGCUGAAAAUUGCACAGGGGGUGGUUGGGGCAGUCGCAGACAAAGGAUCUGUUUUGAAGUUCAUACCAUACACAAUGCAAGCUGUAAAGCAAGGUUUCCAAGAUCUUGGUGCUUCUUCACUGCAGUCUGCUCAUGACCUCUUAAAAUCAAGCAUUUUAAGGCUUGAGGUAAGUAGACCAUUUUGCAUACGUUGUUGUGUUAUUCAUGUCAUCAUUAUUAAGGAUGUCAUUUUAGUUGUAUGCCGUAAAUGAGAAUUGAUGUUGUAGCCAAUGCUUCUUUCGAUAACUUACUCUUUCAUAGUCCGUUCCAUUAUCUGUUGUAUUCUGGUUCGUCACUCUCAAGUUAAACUCCCGAAACAAGUGGGGAAGAAAUCUAUUAAUCUAGAGUGUUAUUGGGUAUCAGUGUAUCACUCAUAUACAGACACUUAUUUACUUAUAGAGAAGAAGCCUGUAACCUCUCAGGGUCUUCCAUCUCCCCACUUCUUAAAUAGUUUUCCAGCCCCAUCUAUCACCUCAAGGAAAAGCUCACUCCAUGAUUACCUUGUUAUUGCUUAUGGGACCUGAGAUAUUAUGACGGUCAUAUCAAGAACUCAUAUGGUUUCUCAAUCAGUUGACAAUAUAUUUUUCUAUUUAUGCAGGUAAGAACAGGAGCAGCGCAAGUAGAAGGUGGAGUUCAUGGUCUGGUUUCAUACGAGAAGAAAUCGUUUUGAUGGUUAUCUUUUCAGCUUUUCUGAUUCCUACUAGUGACUGCUGUCUCGGGGGAUUGGGAACUCUUCCUUGUUCCAUUCUGCAACCGAUAUCUCCAAUUUAGCAUGAGUAACAAGGAUCGAGCCUGCCAAACUGCUAGCGGGUUUUGCAAAAAUUUUGCUGAGCGGCGAAAGUUUUGGUCUCAGACGGUUCUCUGGUUUUUUGUUGGUUGCCAUGAGAGCUUCCAUAUCUGCCUGCAUUUGGUUGACUCUGCACUUUAAGUGUGGGACACAUGACUAGCUAGAAUUUGUCUGAGUUUUGUUUGUUACUAAUUUAAUGAUCAACGAAACUAAACAACUUUCCAUUAGGAGUGUAUUAUGAAUAAUGCAGUUUCAAUUGUUUACCACAUGGUUUGUUUUUUGUUCUCUUAUUUUUUAAUAUAGAUUUGCACCUUUACCUGUUGUACUUUUAUGCGCAAACGGAAGCGAAUUAUAACAAAGUACCAAAUAUCAACGUCGUAGGUGAAAGUUAAAACAAACAAUCUCAAACUAACACAAGAGAUUUACGUGGUUCGGCGUAAAGCCUACUCCACGGGCGAAGCACGGUGAGGAAUUUCACUAAACAAACGGAGAUUACAAAAAAGUGUUUAAACUCUCACAACCCAAAUCUCACAAAUUACAAACCCUAAACCAAACGAGUAGAGAACCCAAACCUAACGGAGAAGAUUCUCCCAAAUUGCUCUCUAACUCACAAAUUGACUCUCACCAAAUUGUCACACGAAUGAGCCACACAAAAUACACUAACCCUAAGGUCCUAUUUAUAGUGCAUAGGACUUAGGUUACAAUAGGAAUCCUAAUAGGAAAUAAAUCCAAAACCUAAUCAAAUAGGUAAUUAACAAAAUCUCUCCACCAAGGAAACUAACUAAGAAGUCAAAACCAAACCCAAAUAGGAUACCAAAACCAAAUAGGUAACACAAACCUAAUUUAUUGCAUCAUCCUAAUUUUGAGCCAAAAAACCCAACAAUCUCCACCUUGGCGAGAAAUUAGCAAACUUCCAAAUUUGGGAUACCAAAAUACAAACGCAAACGUGCACCAAAUUCUUUCAAAACUGAUCUCCACCUAGACUCAAAAAAUCCAAAAGUCUUCAAACUUGAAAUUUCCUCCAACGCCUUCUCCAACAAAUUCCAUUAUGGAAACUAACAAAUACGAAACAAAAUCCAAGCAAAAGCUUGAACAUACGAACAAAAAGUGCGAAUUGCACUCCACCCAAAGAGCUUGAGUACCAAGCUCCACCUCUUCACAUAACCUUUUGAGGAGUUCAGAACAACGAUCUUCUGCAAUGUUUGCAUCAACACUAGCAAAAGACUUAUCAAACAACUUCUUUUUGCCCUUGAGUUUAGGACAAUCUACUUUCCAAUGACCAUCCUUAUAACAAUAGCUACAAGUGUUCUUUCCAAGUUUGCUCCUUUCCUUAUUCCUUCCUUAAACUACCAAAGCUCCAUCUUGUGUGUCAGACACUUUAUUCUUCAGCUCUUUAGAAUUCAAAGCGACUUUAACAUCUUCCAAACUAAGACUUUCUCUACCAAAUAGCAUGGUAUCGACAAAAUGUUCAUACGAAGGAGAUAAAGAACACAACAAAGUUAUCGCAUAAUCCUCAUCACUAAUUUGGUUGUCCACACUUUUCAAAUCCAUCAUAAGUUUAUUGAAUUCAUCAACAUGCUUAUGAAUUGGCGUACCUUUAUCCAUACGAAGAGUAUGCAAACUUUUCUUCAAAUACAACCAUUUAGCAAGGGAUUUGGUCAUAUACAAGCUCUCCAAUUUUAUCCACAACUCCGGUGCAGAUUUGAUGCUACCAACUUCACGCAAGACUUCAUUCGAUAAAGUCAGCAGGAUUGCUCCAAGUGCCCGUUCCAUAACGUCUUCUUUUUCUUCAUCAGUCCACGAAUCCGGCAAAGCCUUCACACCUUUUAGCGUUUUCAAAAGCCCUUGUUGAACUAACAAAGCACGCAUCUUCAAUUGUCAAAUACCAAAGUCAUUGCCGUCGAACUUUUCAAUAUCAACUUUCACUGAUGACACAGAAGGCUUCAUAGUGACUGCCAAACAAAGCCCAAGCCGAAACCUGGGCUCUGAUACCACUUGUUGUACUUUUAUGCGCAAACGGAAGCGAAUUGUAACAAAGUACCAAAUAUCAACGUCGUAGGUGAAAGCUAAAACAAACAAUCUCAAACUAACACAAGAGAUUUAUGCGGUUCGGCGUAAAGCCUACUCCACGGGCGAAGCACGGCGAGGAAUUUCACUAAACAAACGGAGAUUACAAAAAAGUGUUUAAACUCUCACAACCCAAAUCUCACAAAUUACAAAGCCUAAACCAAACGAGUAGAGAACCCAAACCUAACGGAGAAGAUUCUCCCAAAUUGCUCUCUAACUCACAAAUUGACUCUCACCAAAUUGUCACACGAAUGAGCCACACAAAAUACACUAACCCUAAGGUCCUAUUUAUAGUGCAUAAGACUUAGGUUACAAUAGGAAUCAUAAUAGAAAAUAAAUCCAAAACCUAAUCAAAUAGGUAAUUAACAAAAUAUCUCCACCAAGGAAACUAACUAAGAAGUCAAAACCAAACCCAAAUAGGAUACCAAAACCAAAUAGGUAACACAAACCUAAUUUAUUGCAUCAUCUUAAUUUUGAGCCAAAAAACCCAACAUACCCAACCAACAAUAAAGGGUAGCGUUAUUCACACACUAUUUUUUAUCUCUUACACAUCCUUGUUAAUUUUUGUCGAUUAAUCUUUUCAUUCGUUCAAUUCGACGAUCAUAAAUUAAAAUGAUGGAGUAGAAAGUAAAAAUAAGUGUGGAUUACACCGUCGAAAAAAGGGGGAGGGAAGCAAAGGCAACCGCUGAAUAUUUGAUGAUACAAGAAGGUGACUUUUGCACUACUGUUUUCUCUUUAUUAAUCUUUGAUUAAUUAAAUAUAUACAAAUCAUUAAAAAAAGAAGUAUGUAAAGAGAAAAGGGAAUGUGGCAAUCACAUUUUAAUAAUUAACCUGCUACGUUUGCAAGUGUAUUCCUAUAAGCGAGAGAUGUACAACUCGGAAAGUACUUUGAAUUUUUUAAGUACGGAUAAAUUAUUUUAAGUGAUAUUUCACAUGUUAUAAAAUAAAUAAAAAGACACAUAAAAAUAUAUCAUUUUUACUUGAAAAAAUCUCUUCUAAGUAGGACAUGCCUAACAUCCUCACAGAUAACGUGAGGAGCACGCAUUGGCAAUGAUUGAUGAGUUAGUCGGGGGUUUGGAAGAUUCGAAGUAUGACAUUGAUAGGCUCCCACUUCCGGUCCAAUCAGACUUUUAUUUUCUUCCAUGGUUUAAAACCUCAUGCAUAAUAACAAGAAGAAAUUACGUUCAUGGAAGACUAAAAGUCUCCAAUAAAAUUAGGGGUGCGCUAAUUGUUGGAUAUAAGUCAACAAUCUGUGAUAAUUUAUAUAUGCUAAUAAAUAAUAAAUGCAAUAGAAACUAACAUAAUAUAAACUAGAAUAUGAAUUAUAAAACAGACAACUUGAAGAUCGAGGCUUGCGUACCGCAAUGUCCUUGAAACAGAAAUUUCGUCUCUACUCUGUGCUUGUAGUUCUACGGACAUCUGUUCCACCAGGAUUCAACGAUCUAAGUCAGAAAUUCCAUCACCGGAAAAUAGACUUUUGACGAAUAUUAAUGUGGUUUUCUCAGUAAGAAGGUUUAUGAAUGUAGAAGAUGAAGUUUAUUAUUUCUGUGUUCUAAAUGCUAUGCAGAUGUAUGUAUAUAUAGCAGAUAGAUGCCUGUUUGCAACAGGUAUGAUAAUGGGGUGUGACUGUUGGGAGACAUCUCUUCAGAAGGGUGCUUUGCUCUGUGUUCAGAAAGAACUCUCAGACUUCAUCUGAAAGGAUGAGUCUUUUCAUUAAAAAUAAUUAAUUAAUUAAAUUCGAAUUUAAUUAAAAAAUAAUUAAGUAAAUCCGAAAAAUAAUUUAAUUAUUAGAGCCCCAAGGCCCAAGGCCCAUCUUUUGACAAUUAAAUAUAUAUUAAUUAUAAUUAAUUAUAUAUUAAUUACCAAUUAAUUAUUACACCCCAAAGCCCAAUCUCAAGGGUGAGCCCAAUUUUAGUCUCCAGGCCUAUUACUCCAAUCACUUUCUUUAAAGGACAAAACCUUAUAAAGUGAUAAAAUCUUUUGGGAAUGGCCAAUGUGGGACAAAGAAAUUUCUACUCAAACUACUCAAAUUUCCAACAAUCCACACAUCCUAUUUUACUUUUCACAUAUUCCUUGAUAAUUUAUGUCUGUUGAUCUUCUUCAAUUCAUCCGAUCGACGACUGAAACUUAAAAAGAUGUGUGAGAAGUAAAAUGAGGUGUGUGGAUAUCACACAUCUAAAAUUAUAGAAGUAUGGAUGACUUACUGGGCCUCCAGAAACCUUUACCUACAAUGAAGCUGAUAAAAGAUAGAUAUCAAAUGUUCAUUUGAUGAUUGUUGUGACAAUGUCAGAUUUUUUUUUCUUUUUCUAACCUUUUAUUUUGUUAUAAAUGAUAUUUGUAGGAUCCAUUUUUAAAAAGAAAUCAUUUAAAAUAAAUUUUCAAGAUCUAUAAUUGGUGUAUUAAUGAGACUCGCACAAUAGAAUAAUUAAAAAACUAUUUGACAUGACAUUUUUUCAUAUGUCAAAUUUAACAUAUAAAAAUUCAGUAUGUCAAUUCACAUAGAAUUGACAUAUAGGUUAGAGCUUAUUCUAUCUUCAAAUGUGAUUACAUGACAUUCUGCUUAUGAUUUGACAUUUCUUUUGGAGAUAGUCUAAAACGCGUUUAGAUAAAGGACUAGCUUAGCUAAUAGCUACGGGGACGGAAGGAGCCAAACUUUAUAUCUUUAGUACUUAAAAGAAAAUCGAGGUAUUUGGGCCUUGGAGAAUUAACAGGACGAAUUGCUAGCUUUCGUAUACGAAAUAUCCACCCUAGUCACUAUAGACGCAUUUGCCCUAUUAACACGUCUAAAGGAAUCAAACUUUGAACUUAUUAGAUCCUUAGCAAUUCAUGCGAAGAUUGGUUAUUGGGGGUCUCUAGAAAGUCUAUUUUAUGAAAUUUCUGAGAAAUCAACUUUAGCUAAUAGCUAUGGGACCGAAGGAGCCAAAGUUUAUAUCUCUGGUAAUUAAAAUAGAUCACAAGGCCUGCGGUAUUUACAUGAUUCCCUUCUUUCUAUUGUUAUUCUUCUCAUCCGAAUUAGUCUUUGCCAAUGCUUCUCAAGAUCCAGUACACAGUUACUGCCGGAAAAUGGCUCUAUAGGGACAUUUUUUAUACAGGUUACGGUAGUGUGAAUACAAUGAAGGGUGAUGUUAGAGUGAUCAUUUAUUUAAAGAAGGUAUUCAAUCAUCAAUCACCACAUCAUAUGAUCUAUAAAAUAUAGUAAAAAAAAACAUUAUGUCCCUAAUUACUUUAGUCUAAAGUAGGAGGGGAAAUCGCACUAUUCAUAUGAACAGUGUUUGGACCACAUUUCAGUUUAUUUGCGAAGCUGCCACUGUCUCUCUCUGCCGCUGAUCUUGAUGCCGCGUGUUGAUGAUCGUGGAAAGGCAGGGUGCGAUCGUCACUUUACCAUUCUCUUCUCUUUCUCUAUCACUCUCUUUCUCUCUCCCUCAGUUUCAAUCUGCUCACCUAAAUCUCCAGAUCGAACAUCCUCCAUCUCAUAUAAAAAAGGGCAAGGAUUGUCUGCCCUCCUAGUUGUGGUGCCCUUACAUGCCCUCCUAUUUUGUGCGGUCACGGUUAAGCCACGUCAAUAUUUUAUAUUAAUUUUUUAAUGAGAUAAUAAGACAAAAAAUAAUAAAAAUAUAAAUAUUGACGUGACUUAACCGUGACCGCACAAAAUAGAAGGGCAUGAAAGGGCACAACAACUAGGAGGGCAGACAAUCCUUGUCCAAUAAAAAAACCUUCCCCCUUUAGAACCUUUAGAAUCAGCACUCAUGGAAUAAUCAUGGAUUUUUGUUGAGGUAAUUUGAUUGUUUCCUCUUCUGUAAUUUGUUUCUGUUAGUUUAUUGUUCUUGAAUUUUAAUUUGUCUGCUUUCUGACUUGGAAGAGUCGAUCUUCAGGAGAUAAAAUCGUGAUGUGACCAUCGUAUUCUCUCUCACAGCUCACAACGAUGAAAUCGCACAGGGCUUCGUUGAUUUCUGUCAACUCCGACCACGACCAGUGUCGGGUAAGCUGUCGACUACCUCUCUUCAUCUUCUUUUUCUUCUUCCGCUUCUCCUUCUCCCUGGGCAUUCCAGUUUGACUGUCUGUGUUUUGGAUGCAUCUUGAUUUCCUUAGUAUGAUUAGACGGUUUGGAUGCGCCUAAUAAACAAACCUAAUUUGCCUCGCGCUUUCAGUCAUCACCUUCCUUCGUCUAAAACCUCACGCAGAGACAGAGCUCCCCCAAAACCCUAAACGCCCAAAGGUAAUUUUGUUUAAUUUUUCAAUUAGUUUUAAUUAUCUGACGAAUCCCUAGCAUAAAUUCACUCUCUCUACUCUAAAUGCGUAUAAUUUUUUUCAGUAUUAAUCACAAAGCUACGGAGCUGAAAUUGCAAACGCUAUCCAUGGCUCGCUUCAAAAAUGUAAGCUUGAAGUUGAGAAAAGAGGUUUUUUUUUGGUUUUGUUUUGUUAAUUUUCUCAGAAACGUAGUUGAUUGUUGUGUUUUUGAAAAUUUGAAAACAGAAGAAGGUGUUUGUGAAGUCAGUUUCGACGAAGAAGCUGGCUAAUAUGGACCAUAUCACAGGGGAUAAAAUCCCAAGGAGCUUAGCGAAAUGUAUGUCUUCUGUUGGUGGAUUCUGUAUCAAAUUUGUUGUUGGUUUGUUUUCUUAAAGGUUGAUCUGGAUGAAGUGAAUGCCCUGGCUUAACUCAUGACCUGGAAGACUGCUAUGGCCGACAUUCCAUAUGGUGGAGCCAAGGGUGGAAUCGGAUGCACCCCCAGGGACUUAAGUUUGAGCGAGUUGGAGUAUCUGACUCGCGUCUUUGCUCAGAAAAUCCAUGGCCUCAUUGGAACUCAUACUGAUGUUCCCGCACCCGAUAUGGGCACCAAUGUUCAGACCAUGGCAUGGAUGUUGGAUGAGUACUCCAAAUUUCAUAGUCACUCACCAGCUGUUGUCAUUGGAAAGCCCAUCAUAAGAAUUCGACACUGAGAAAAUUAAGCCAAAAAUCGGUUUCCUGGAGUUGAAAAGUAAGUAAUUUGUAAAUUGUAUGUUUAUCAUUUGUUGUCAAUGUUGUGAUUUAUAAUGUAAUUGAUCUGGUAUACAUACAGAACUGGUAUUCUAUGUUUAUAUUGUCAUUUGUUGUGAAUGUGGUAUAAAAAUUUAUGUUUAUGUUUUUAGUUAACCAAAUGGCUCUCAAGUUCGCUGCAAAGAGUGUAAGAAGAAAUCAUUAUGUAUUCCUUGCAUACAUAACUGCUAUGCAUUAAUCUGCUAUGUAUCCUUUAAUAUUUCUGAUUAAUAACUUACUAAGAUGUCGGGUUAAUUGAGUUCGUUUUGUUAGAAUGGCCACCACUUUUUGAAGUGAUUUUCUCCGAGUAGAAUCCAGCAAAUGAUGUUUGAUAUGGUUAAACAUAUAUAUUCAAGAUUUUGAUCUCUAUGUGAUUUGGCAAUACUUUUCACCUAAUCUUCCUCUCUCUCUCUCUCUCUCUCAUGAAGGCACUGAUUGCAUUAAAAAAAGGUUCCCAGUUAAUCAAGUAUAGCCGGAAAGGGAAGCCAAAACUUCGUCCAUUCAGAAUUUCUACUGUGAGUAAUUUUCUUUACAUUAGGACAUUGGAUUCAUUUCACACUAAUAAGUUUUUUAUCUUACAUCUUCUUCCUGCUGCGCAUCUCCACGAUCAUUACUAGAUAUCUUAACCGCUUGAAUGGCUUCAUUUUUCGUAUCUUUAACAGGAUGAAACCACACUAAUCUGGUAUUCACAUGGAGAAGAACGAACUCUGAAAUUAGCUUCUGUCUCUCGAAUUAUUCCCGGACAGAGAACAGUGAGUUUAAUACUCCACUACCAAUAACUAAUCAAUAUUGUUGUGUUUCAGUCUAUAAUUAUGAACCACUAUUGUGUCCUACUCGACGUAUGUGGUUCAAAAAUUUGAUUAAAACCGAGGAUUGCUUUUUUUUUUUUACAUUAUUGUUAUCAUUCAAAACUCCGCCGUGUAAGUUUAUCUUACAUUGCCGGUCCCAAGCCCGGAUAAAGGAGGAGGGGAGGGCGUCAGGUAGUCGACAGCCGGCACUCCAUGAUUACGUCGAAUCCUUAUGAAAAUGAAUCCAGAAUGAAAUCGCGCUAAAGCUAGGGCAUCACCCGUAAGUGGCGCGCUGUGUGGCCCGAGCAUAGUGAUAAGUGAGCAAGGGUCGCUGUAUCUCCAUCGGCACCCGGAUGCAGUGUUAAAUGAGCAAGGGGGCUAUAGAAACUUCUUUUCGAACGACUCCACUCAAAGUUGUUUGGGAGCAUAUGCUCCUAUCAACUUUACACGGGACACACAAAAGAAGUACUUUGAUCCUAUUAGACGGGGAAGGGUGAAGAAGCUAGGACAGAAGGGUAGAGUUCAAGAGAGCAAAAUGCGUUUAGGAACGUGGAAUAUAGGAACCUUGACUGGAAAAUCUAUGGAAGUAGUAGAAGUUAUGGUGAGGAGAAGGAUAAAUAUUAUGUGCAUACAAGAAACUAAGUGGGUUGGUCGUAAGGCAAAGGAUCUAGAAAACUCAGGGUUUAAACUAUGGUAUUCGGGCACAAAUAGAACGAGAAACGGUGUUGACAUCAUCGUGGACAAGACCUUGACACAAGAUGUUGUAGAUGUCAAGAGGGUAGGAGAUAGAAUCAUGGCAAUCAAGAUUGUAAUAGGACAAGAACUUAUCAAUGUGAUUAGUGCGUACGCACCUCAAGUAGGGUUGGAUACGAGUUCGAAGGAGAAAUUUUGGGAAGACCUUGGAGACUUGGUGCAAGGAAUUGCUCAGAUAGAGAAGUUAUUUAUAGGAGGAGAUUUAAAUAGACAUGUGGGCAGGGAGACAGGCAACUAUGGAGGUUUUCAUGGUGGCCAUGGUUUUGGGGAGAGAAACGAGGAUGGGGAAGCUAUCUUGGAUUUUGCACUCCAAUGGCAUAUGAUCUCUUCUUAGCCAACACCUUCUUUAAGAAGAGAGAAGAACAUGUGAUCACCUACAAGAGUGGGUCGUCAAAAACACAAAUAGAUUUUCUUCUAAUGAGGAAAGGGGAUCGUAUAACUUGUAAGGAUUGCAAAGUUAUACCAGGAGAGAGCGUGGCUAAUCAACAUCGCUUGUUGGUGAUGGAUGUACAUAUCAAAAGAGUGAGAAAAAAGAACAAGACUUGGAAGUGCCCAAUGACUAGAUGGUGGAAUCUAAAAGAAGAAAAACAAGUCAUUUUCAAAGAGAAAGUAAUCACCCAGUGUGUGGGAUAGAGAGGGGAAGCUAACCAAAUAUGGGAUUCCAUGGCUAGUUGUAUCCGAAAAGUAGCAAAAGAGGUAUUAGGAGAGUCCAAGGGCUUUGCCCCACACCAAAAGGAAUCUUGGUGGUGGAAUGAGGAGGUACAAACAAAGGUGAAGGCUAAGAAGGAAUGUUGUAAAACCUUAUACAAGGAUAAGACCGAUGAAAAUGGUGAAAGGUAUAGAAAAGCGAAGCAAGAGGCGAAGAAAGCUGUGAGAGAAGCUAAGUUAGCGGCUUAUGACGAUAUGUAUAAGCGACUAGAUACCAAAUAAGGAGAGUUGGAUAUCUAUAAACUAGCUAGAGCAAGGGAAAAGAAGACAAGGGACCUAAAUCAAGUGAGGUGCAUCAAGGAUGAGGAUGGAAAGGUUCUUGCUACAGAGAACGCGGUUAAAGACAGAUGGAAAGAUUAUUUUCAUAAUCUUUUCAAUGAAGGACAUGAAAGGAGUGCUUCUUUAGGGGAGUUGAGUAACUCAGAAGAGUGUAGAAACUACUAUUUUUAUCGUAGAAUCCGGAAGGAAGAAGUGAUUGUAGCUUUGAAGAAGAUGAAGCAUAGAAAAGCAGUAGGCCCAGACGAUAUACCAAUCGAAGUGUGGAAAGUUUUGGGAGAAACAGGUAUAACAUGGCUCACUGACCUUUUCAAUAGGAUUUUGAAAACGAAGAAUAUGCCAAAUGAGUGGUGAACGAGCACUUUAGUGCCUAUCUACAAGAAUAAGGGGGAUGUACAAAAUUGCAUGAACUAUAGGGGUAUUAAGCUAAUGAGUCAUACAAUGAAGCUCUGGGAGAGAGUCAUUGAGCAUAGAUUGAGGCAAGAGACACGGGUUUCGGACAACCAAUUCGGGUUCAUGCCAGGGCGCUCAACCAUGGAGGCAAUCUAUCUCUUACGAAAAUUGAUGGAAAGAUAUAGAGAUGGGAAAAAGGAUUUACACAUGGUCUUUAUAGAUUUGGAAAAAGCGUAUGAUAGGGUCCCAAGAGACAUUCUUUGGAAGAUUUAGAGAAGAAAGGAGUACGAGUAGCAUAUAUCCAAGCUAUAUAGGAUAUGUAUGAAGGAGCAAAGACUGCCGUAAGAACUCAUGAAGGACAAACCGAAAGCUUUCCCAUAACUGUAGGAUUACAUCAAGGCUCAUCCUUAAGUCCUUACCUUUUUGCGUUGGUAAUGGAUGAGUUAACAGGACAUAUUCAAGAUGAUAUUCCUUGGUGUAUGCUUUUCGCAGACGAUAUAGUGUUGAUAGAUGAAACUCAGGAAGGGGUAAAUGCAAAGCUUAACCUUUGGAGAGAAGUGUUGGAAUCUAAAGGUCUUCGUCGUAUGCCACUGAAGCUCAAGGAAAAAUUUUAUAGGACGGCAAUAAGGCUGGCGAUGCUGUAUGGCACAGAAUGUUGGGCGGUGAAGCAUCAACACGUACACAAAAUGGGUGUAGCGGAGAUGAGGAUGCUUCGUUGGAUGUCUGGGCACACGAGAAAGGAUAAGAUUAGGAAUAAGGAUAUCCAGGGUAAAGUAGGAGUAGCCGAAAUUGAAGGAAAGAUGAGAGAAAAUCGGUUAAGGUGGUUUGGACAUGUGCAAAGAAGGCUUACUGACGCUCCGAUUAGAAGAUGCGACUAUGAGACAGAGGUUCAGGGCCGAAGGGGUAGAGGAAGACCUAGGAAAACUUUGGAAGAGACCCUAAGAAAAGACUUAGAGUACUUGGAUCUAACGGAGGAUAUGACACAGGACAGAACACAAUGGCAUUCUAAGAUUCAUAUAGCCGAUCCCACUCAGUGACUUGGAUUUUCCAAGUCUCUAACCGAGAAGUUUUCCUCACUCGGGAAAUUAAGGGAACACUACCUCAACCUAUAUGCUCCACUCACAAAGCUUCAACAUACAAGCUUCAACAAAAGAAAAUUCAAAGAACUUAGCGAAGAAAGCUUUGGUGUAUUUAACACAAUACGUUGAAAUGAAGGAAAACUUAUUUAUUGAUAUCCCCGAUAAGUUACAAAUAUGUACAUAUACUUGAGUCAAAAUAAACAAACAAGAGGGAGCCUUCACAAAGGUUGCUUAGGAGAAGUCUCAGCAGUCGGUAGAGCCCUAGAAAGAGAAGGCACCGGAGGGGGAUCAUUCGGAGCCUCAGUACUGGACAGAACCCUAGAAGGAGGAGGCAUCAGAGGUUGAUCAUUUGGAGCUUCAUUACGCGGUACAGCCUCAGAAGAGGAAGGCAAUAAAUGCCUUUGGAACAAACCCACAAAUCUCUGAUGAUCAAGUAAAACCUGACCAUCAGAUUCCUUCAUCUGGUCAAGCUUCCUCUUCAUAUUUGUAGCAUAGUCAUGUGCGAGCUGGUGCAACUGUUUAUUCUCAUGCUUGAGCCCUCUAAUCUCCUGUUUGAGACUCAUCACUUCAGCCGCCAAUGAUUCAACUUGGCGGGUUCGAGCAAAUAAGCGUUGGGCCAUAUUAAACACAGAACCUGCACACUGAACACUGAGAGCCAGAGAAUCCUUAACAGCCAACUCAUUAGACCGUUUGGAAAACAGUCUGUUAUCUUUGGGAGUGAGAAGGUUCCUGGCCACUACCGCAGUGGUCAUAUCAUUCUUCAUCAAGGAAUCCCCAACGGUAAGAGGACCAGUAGGGGAGACGAAGGAUGGGCGCCAUAUGUUGUCUGGAGAAGGCGGGGUUUCCUCUUCAACAAGGUUCAAGUCAAAACGACGGUCGGAGGGGCCAGACAUUUUCAAAAGUGUUGAAGAGAGAAGAGGUCGGACAAAUCAAGAUCUUAGAAGUGCAAGAAUGGAGCUUCUACUGGUGGAUAUUCAAGUGUGCUUUGGAACUUAAUGUCAGCCCCUAUAAAAAUCUGCACUCGACGAAGCUUCAGAAAUCGAAGAGGCGCCUGCUCAGAAAUCGAAGAGGCGUGUGCUUUCUCAAAAGCUGGGCUGCUCAGAGACCACGAGGGUCGAUCUCAGAAAUCGAAGAGGCUUGCUUUCUCAAAAGCUGGGCUGCUCAGAGACCACGAGGGCCGAUCUCAGAAAUCGAAGAGGAACCUACUUUUCCAGCCUUGUCAGCACCUGUCACACACACACUCAACUUUGCGAAAAUUAUGGGCAUUCUGUCGAAGAUUUCUGGCGAAGUAGAAAGCACAUGAAUCGUACUGUUCAAUCACCCACUUCCCACACACAACAGUAGCUCAUGGGUACCACAUAUAACUUUGCCAAAGUUCUCUGACAAAGUUGAGACACGUGAAGCUUGCAGCUCCCACUACAUCGCUCUGACCAAAAAGGGUAAAAGAAUAGCAAAGAAACAACACUAACAAAGUUUAGACACAUAAAUUUUGAAGGUCUAGCUACCAUAUUAUUACCCACAAGGGUAAAGGGACAGUACCACUGCUGGAUAAUUCGAAAGUCUCGGUGUGUCAACCUCUGUGCUUCGUGGCAAGGUAGACUAGCAAACAUGCCCAACCUUUACUCACAUUCGAGAAAACACUCCCAACAAGAUUGCUUGCUCCAAAAUCGAAGAGGCACCGCCCUCCGAAUCUCGAGAGCCAGACUCCCAACAUGAUUACUUUCUCAAAAAUCGAAUUGAGGGUAAAGGAACAGUACCACUGCUGGAUAAUUGGAAAUUCCCUGUGUGUCAACCUCUGUGCUUCGUGGCAAUGUAGACUAGCAAACAUGCCCAACCUUUACUCACAUUCGAGAAAACACUCCCAACAAGAUUGCUUGCUCCAAAAUCGAAGAGGCACCGCCCUCCGAAUCUCGAGAGCCAGACUCCCAACAUGAUUACUUUCUCAAAAAUCGAAGAGAGGGUAAAGGAACAGUACCACUGUUGGAUAAUUGGAAAGUCCCUGUGUGUCAACCUCUGUGCUUCGUGGUAAGGUAGACCAGCAGGAUUGCUUUCUCAAAAAUUGAAGAGGCAUCGUUCUCCGAAUCUCGAGAGCCAGAUCCUCGACAUGAUUGCUUGUUCGAAAACCGAAGAGGCACCACUUUCCCAACUUCAAGAGCUGGAUCUCCUUGGAUAAAGCUUGUCUGUAAUCUUCACACACAAAAUCAGCUUUCCAGAUACCACAGACCACUUUUUCAAAGUGCUCUGACAGAGUUAAAACAUGUGAAGCUGGCAGCUCCCACUACCGUGCUAUGACCAAGCAGGGUAAAGGAAUAGCAUUAUUACUUGAUGUUAGGGAGACUCCUAUAUAUGUCGACCUCCAUCCCCACCGGACAGGCAGACCUGCAAAAAUGCUUAAACCUUCCUCUUAUCUGAGAGGGCAUUCCCAACGAAGCCUUUCGAAAUAUUCAGCUUUCUUUCCCCCCGAUAAUACCUCUGUAAACAAGCUAUACUAGAGCAAGAAUAUCUCAUAUCAUCAGGGUUAAAAGCAAGAGUAUCCCAUAUCAUGCUUUUUUCCUGUCUUUUCCUUUGGCAUUGUUCUUACCUGCAAGACAAGGAGAAAUAGAGCAAUCAGCCAGCACUUGGAAUCAAGCUUCCAGCCAUGAACUAACUGCCUGGAACCCCUUACCUGAUUACUUACCUGGCAUUGCUCUCGAGUACUCAUCUUCAACAUCUUAUGCUUCCAGGGAAGAUACCACAUCUGCCUGAGGAACAGAUAGGGCAAGUGAGAAGGAUACAAGGAAGCAUGUGGAGACAAGCGUAAUAGCACACGUGCCGAUACAUCCACUACUCUGUCAAAAGCAAAAGUAUCCCAUAUCAGCAGGGUCGAACGUACUCUAGAUUUGAUGGACUUGUUUUGACCCUCAAAUUCUUCAGUCGGCCUUAUACUCUGGAGGAAACCAGAAAACCCUCCAGCCCAGUUCAAGAAUAAGCCUGUGGAAAGUUACUUCUUCAAAAGCAAAAGUAUCCCAUAUCAUAUCUUCUCAAUUUUCUUCUCUUUAUCCUUCAUGCUGCCUGCAAGAUAGGGAGAAUGUGAACAAUCAGCCGGAGCUCUGAUUGCUUACCUUGUCUGUCACCUCUUUCAGCAGAUCCCCUAGCUCGGCGACUUGGGGGAUUCCUACUACAUGGUUUGUAUCGCGCUUGACCAAGCCUGAAACUACAAGUAAGCUUCAAGUGAAAUUGAUACAUUACCUUGUGCAUCUCCACCAGUUACAGAUACCACCCCUGGAUGGAGGAAGAGUACUUCCAGAGAAGAUGCCACAUCUACCUAUGAGACAGAUAAAGCAAGUCAAGACGAUACCACACUUCGGUACUUAGAAGUUUCGUGGUUACGAGAUCAUUCUCCCACAAUAUUUCCUAAUGUCAUUUGUACUAAAUCAUUCACUUGUACUCACUAAAGGAGAGCUUGAACCUAUGUACUUGUGUAAACCCUUCACAAUUAAUGAGAACUCCUCUAUUCCGCGGAUGUAGCCAAUCUGGGUGAACCACGUACAUCUUGUGUUUGCUUUCCUAUUUCUAUCCAUUUAUAUACUUAUCCACACUAAUGACUGGAGCAAUCUAGCGAAGAUCACAAAAAGUGACCAUUUUCGCUACCUAGGAUCUAUCUUGCAAGAGAACGGAGAAUUAGAUGGAGAUCUUAACCAUAGAAUACAAGCUGGAUGGAUGAAGUGUAAGAGUGCAUCCGGCGUGUUGUGUGACCGUCGUAGGCCACUGAAGCUCAAGGGAAAAUUUUAUAGGACGGCAAUAAGGCCAGCGAUGUUGUAUGGCACAGAAUGUUGGGCGGUGAAGCAUCAACACGUACACAAAUUUGGUGUAGCGGAGAUGAGGAUGCUUCGUGGGAUGUAUGGGCACACGAGAAAGGAUAAGAUUGAGAAUGAGGAUAUCCGAUGUAAAGUAGGAGUAGCCAAAAUUGAAGGAAAUAUGAGAGAAAAUUGGUUCGGUGGUUUGGACAUGUGCAAAAAAGGCCUACUGACGUUCCGGUUCGAAAAUGUGACUAUGGGACAGAGGUUCAGGGCCGAAGGGGUAGAAGAAUACCUAGGAAAACUUUGGAAGAGACCCUAAGAAAAGACUUGAGUACUUGGAUCUAACGGAGGACAUGACACAAAGCCGAGCGCAAUGGCGUUCUAGGAUUCAUAUAGCCGACCCCACUUAGUGGGAAAAGGCUUUGUUGUUGUUGUUGUAUUGUUAUCAUUCAAGCUAAAAAUGUCUAUAUACAUAGUUUAGGAAGGGGGUGCUUACAAUAUAGAAUGGCUAUAAAUGUUACUGUAAUAGGUUGCUAUGACAUUUUGUGGUCAGAUUGGUUGUCUAAACCGUGCCAUGUGUUUCGUAACUCUCUGUAUUUCUUAUUUGUAUCAGUGGAGUUUAUAUUUUUGUUUUUCAAAUUUGAUUUCCUCACUUUCUGUUUUGAUGGAUAUUUUAGAAUUUGAGAAGGUGGUUGUGGUUUUCGUGCAAUCGCCGUUAUGCAGCUCAGACCAUCACGAUUCACCAUUGUCACCCCAUCACUGCCGUCGCGACCACCGCCGCCACAUCACCUCUGUCGAAAACACUAAGUAAUUUGUGAAUUAGGGUUUUUUUUAUUUUGUGAAUUUCUGGUUUAGGGAUUUAGGGUUUUUGAGUUAGUUUUUGUGAAGGUCAUUGUUUGAUUUUAGGCACGCUAUAAUCGAUUACAAGUUUUCGGAUCCUAAACACUUUGAAAGGGUUUCCAGAAAAGACAAAUUUCCAAAGGCGAGUAGUGACACUGUCAAUUUCCUCAACCAAUCUUCACUGGAAUUUUCUCCGUCAUCCUAUAUAUUUCAGCAUUAACACAUUUGAUAAGAAAUUUUGUUUCUGGUCACUAAAGAUGGCAGGAAAAUGGACACAAUAAAUUAUCCAUGGUCUUUAUCAUGCUAGCUGAGAAUUGGAAAAUGACACAGGACAGAACACAAUGGCGUUCUAAGAUUCAUAUAGCCGAUCCCACUCAGUGACUUGGAUUUUCCAAGUCUCCAACCGAGAAGUUUUCCUCACUCGGGAAAUUAAGGGAACACUACCUUAACCUACAUGCUCCACUCACAAAGCUUCAACAUACAAGCUUCAACAAAAGAAAAUUCAAAGAACUUAGCGAAGAAGGCUUUGGUGUAUUUAACACAAUACGUUGAAAUGAAGGAAAACUUAUUUAUUGAUAUCCCCGAUAAGUUACAAAUAUGUACAUAUACUUGAGUCAAAAUAAACAAACAAGAUGGAGCAUUCACAAAGGUUGCUUAGGAGAAGUCUCAGCAGUCGGUAGAGCCCCAGAAAGAGAAGGCACCGGAGGGGGAUCAUUCGGAGCCUCAGUACUGGACAGAACCCUAGAAGGAGGAGGCAUCAGAGGUUGAUCAUUUGGAGCUUCAUUACGCGGUACAGCCCCAGAAGACGAAGGCAAUAAAUGCCUUUGGAACAAACCCACAAAUCUCUGAUGAUCAAGUAAAACCUGACCAUCAGAUUCCUUCAUCUAGUCAAGCUUCCUCUUCAUGUUUGUAGCAUAGUCAUGUGCGAGCCGGUGCAACUGUUUAUUCUUAUGUUUGAGCCCUCUAAUCUCCUGUUUGAGACUCAUCACUUCAGCCGCCAAUGAUUCAAAUUGGCGGGUUCGAGAAAAUAGGCGUUGGGCCAUAUUCGACACAGAACCUGCACACUGAACACUAAGAGCCAGAGAAUCCUUAACAGCCAACUCAUCAGAUCGUUUGGAAAGUUGUCUGUUAUCUUUGGGAGUGAGAAGGUUCCUGGCCACUACCGCAGCGGUCAUAUCAUUCUUCAUCACGGAAUCCCCAACGGUAAGAGGACCAGUAGGGGAGACGAAGGAUGGGGGCCAUAUGUUGUCUGGAGAAGGCGGGGCUGCCUCUUCAACAAGGUUCAAGUCAAAACGACGGUCGGAGGGGCCAGACAUUUUCAAAGGUGUUGAAGAGAGAAGAGGUCGGACAAAUCAAGAUCUUAGAAGUGCAAGAAUGGAGCUUCAACUGGUGGAUAUUCAAGUGUGCUUUGGAACUUAAUGUCAGCCCCUAUAAAAAUCUGCACUCGAUGAAGCUUCAGAAAUCGAAGAGGCGUUUGCUUUCUCAAAAGCUGGGCUGCUCAGAGACCACGAGGGUCGAUCUCAGAAAUCGAAGAGGCGUGUGCUUUCUCAAAAGCUGGGCUGCUCAAAGACCACGAAGGCCGAUCUCAGAAAUCGAAGAGGCUUGCUUUCUCAAAAGCUGGGCUGCUCAGAGACCACGCGGGCCGAUCUCAGAAAUCGAAGAGGCACCUACUUUUCCAGCCUUGUCAGCACCUGUCACAUGCACACUCAGCUUUGCGGAAAUUAUGGGCAUUCUGUCGAAGAUUUCUGGCGAAGUAGAAAGCACAUGAAUCGUACUGUUCAAUCACCCACUUCCCACACGCAACAGUAGCUCAUGGGUACCACAUAUAACUUUGCCAAAGUUCUCUGACAAAGUUGAGACACGUGAAGCUUGCAGCUCCCACUACAUCGCUCUUACCAAGAAAGGUAAAAGAUUAGCAAAGAAACAACGCUAACAAAGUUUAGACACAUAAAUUUUGAAGGUCUAGCUACCAUAUUAUUACCCACAAGGGUAAAGGAAUAGUACCACUGCUGGAUAAUUGGAAAGUCCGGUGUGUCAACCUCUGUGCUUUGUGGCAAGGUAGACUAGCAAACAUGCCCAACCUUUACUCACAUUCGAGAAAACACUCCCAACAAGAUUGCUUGCUCCAAAAUCGAAGAGGCACCGCCCUCCGAAUCUCGAGAGCCAGACUCCCAACAUGAUUACUUUCUCAAAAAUCGAAGAGAGGGUAAAGGAACAGUACCACGGCUGGAUAAUUGGAAAGUCCCUGUGUGUCAACCUCUGUGCUUCGUGGCAAGGUAGACUAGCAAAGAUGCCCAACCUUUACUCACAUUCGAGAAAACACUCCCAACAAGAUUGCUUGCUCCAAAAUCGAAGAGGCACCGCCCUCCGAAUCUCGAGAGCCAGACUCCUAACAUGAUUACUUUCUAAAAAAUCGAAGAGAGGGUAAAGGAACAGUACUACUGCUGGAUAAUUGGAAAGUCCCUGUGUGUCAACCUCUGUGCUUCGUGGCAAGGUAGACUAGCAAACAUGCCCAACCUUUACUCACAUUCGAGAAAACACUCCCAACAAGAUUGCUUGCUCCAAAAUCGAAGAUGCACCGCCCUUCGAAUCUCGAGAGCCCGACUCCCAACAUGAUUACUUUCUCAAAAAUCGAAGACACCGUUGUCCGAAUCUCGAGAGCCAGACCCCCAGUAGGAUUGCUUUCUCAAAAAUCGAAGAGGCAUCGUUCUCCGAAUCUCGAUAGCCAGAUCCCCGACAGGAUUGCUUGUUUGAAAAUCGAAGAGGCACCACUUUCCCAACUUCAAGAGCUGGAUCUCCUUGGAUAAAGCUUGUUUGUAAUCUUCACACACAACAUCAGCUUUCCAGAUACCACAGACUACUUUUUCAAAAGUGCUCUGACAGAGUUAAAACUUGUGAAGCUGGCAGCUCCCACUACCGUGCUAUGACCAAGCAGGGUAAAGGAAUAACAUUAUUACUUGAUGUUAGGGAGACUCCUAUAUAUGUCGACCUCCAUCUCCAACGGACAGGCAGACCUGUAAAAAUGCUCAACCCUUCCUCUUAUCUGAGAUGGCACUCCUAACGAAGCUUUUCGAAAUAUUCAGCUUUCUUUCCCCCCGAUAAUACCUCUGUAAACAAGCUAUACUAGAGCAAGAAUAUCUUAUAUCAUCAGGGUUAAAAGCAAGAGUAUCCCAUAUCAUGCUUUUUCCCUGUCUUUUCCUUUGGCAUUGUUCUUACCUGCAAGACAAGGAGAAAGAGAGCAAUCAGUCAACACUUGGAAUCAAGCUUCCAGCCAGGAACUGACUGCCUGGAACCCCUUACUUGAUUACUUACCUGGCAUUGCUCUCAAGUACUCAUCUUCAACAUCUUAUGCUUCCAGGGAAGAUCCCGCAUCUGCCUGAGGAACAGAUAGGGCAAGUGAGAAGGAUACAAGGAAGCAUGUGGAGACAAGCGUAACAGCGCACGUGCCGAUACAUCCAUUACUCUGUCAAAAGCAAAAGUAUCCCAUAUCAGCAGGGUCGAACGUACUCUAGAUUUGAUGGACUUGUUUUGACCCUCAAAUUCUUCAGUCGGCCUUAUCUCUGGAGGAAAACCAGAAAACCCUCCAGCCCAGUUCAAGAAUAAGCCUGUGGAAAGUUACUUCUUCAAAAGCAAAAGUAUCCCAUAUCAUAUCUUCUCAAUUUUCUUCUCUUUAUCCUUCAUGCUGCCUGCAAGAUAGGGAGAAUGUGAACAAUCAGCCGGAGCUCUGAUUGCUUACCUUGUCUGUCACCUCUUUCAGCAUAUCCCCUAGCUCGGCGACUUGGGGGACUCCUACUACAUGGUUUGUAUCGCGCUUGACCAAGCCUGAAACUACAAGUAAGCUUCAAGUGACAUUGAUACAUUACCUUGUGCAUCUCCACCAGUUACAGAUACCACCCCUGGAUGGAGGAAGAGUACUUCCAGAGAAGAUGCCACAUCCACCUAUGAGACAGAUAAGGAAAGUCAAGACGAUACCACUCCAGUACUUAGAAGUUUCGUGGUUACGAGAUCAUUCUCCCACAAUAUUUCCUAAUGUCAUUUGUACUAAAUCAUUCACUUGUACUCACUAAAGGAGAGCUUGAACCUAUGUACUUGUGUAAACCCUUCACAAUUAAUGAGAACUCCUCUAUUCCGUGGACGUAGCCAAUCUGGGUGAACCACGUACAUCUUGUGUUUGCUUUCCUAUCUCUAUCCAUUUAUAUACUUAUCCACACUAAUGACUGGAGCAAUCUAGCGAAGAUCACAAAAAGUGACCGUUUUCGCUACCUAGGAUCUAUCUUGCAAGAGAACGGAGAAUUAGAUGGAGAUCUCAACCAUAGAAUACAAGCUGGAUGGAUGAAGUGUAAGAGUGCAUCCGGCGUGUUGUGUGACCGUCGUAGGCCACUGAAGCUCAAGGGAAAAUUUUAUAGGACGACAAUAAGGCCAGCGAUGUUGUAUGGCACAGAAUGUUGGGCGGUGAAGCAUCAACACGUAGACAAAAUGGGUGUAGCGGAGAUGAGGAUGCUUCGUGGGAUGUAUGGGCACACGAGAAAGGAUAAGAUUGGGAAUGAGGAUAUCCGAGGUAAAGUAGGAGUAGCCAAAAUUGAAGGAAAUAUGAGAGAAAAUCGGUUCCGGUGGUUUGGACAUGUGCAAAGAAGGCCUACUGACGCUCCGGUUCGAAAAUGUGACUACGGGACAGAGGUUCAGGGCCGAAGGGGUAGAGGAAGACCUAGGAAAACUUUGGAAGAGACCCUAAGAAAAGACUUGAGUACUUGGAUCUAACGGAGGACAUGACACAAAACCGAGCGCAAUGGCGUUCUAGGAUUCAUAUAGCCGACCCCACUUAGUGGGAAAAGGCUUUGUUGUUGUUGUUGUUGUUGUGUUAUUCUUUAAUUGUAUGAUAAUGUUUUCAAUGUUUUAGAUUACAUUGAUCAGUAUUAUUUUAAAGUAUAUAUAAAGAUUAGUUUAUAGGUGUAUGCACUUAAUAUUGAAUAUAUGGUAUUUUUCAGGUUAUUUGACAUACAAUUGCAUAUAAUCUCAAUUUUCUCCUGCAAUUUUUGUCUGAGCUUCGGAAUCGUUGAAAAAUUUGUAUAAAUAAUAAAUUAAUUGAAAUGGCUAUUAGUAAUGAAUGAGGUGUUUACUGUGUUUUUUUGGUGUGUACAGAGCGAAAGGUAUGUUGCUAACGAAGGCAAAAACAAGAUGCAGUUUGCUGCAUAUAGAAAACGGAGGUUAGUUUGAUUCCAACUCCUUUUUUUAGUUUAUUUGAAUAAAAAAUUGGUAACUUCGAGUCCAAUUUGAUUAUUUCUUGCUUUUCUGCUGUUUUGCUGCUGCCUGUCUGCUCUCCACCCUUUCCUGCUGCCGUCCAUUGCCUUAAACAAAAAAAAAAAACCAUUUGCCAAACCCACCAAAGCCACAAGAAAAGACAAGUAGAAUUUUAUAUUCUCUACCCACUUUUAUUCACGAUUGCUGUUGGCUUCCCUUUUUUUAGAAAGGAAAACUGCCGCUCUCCUUGGACAAAUACCAUCUUUCUCAAAACAUGGAUCCGGAAAGACAUCUGAUAGAAUUUAUUUUGAGUUUAAAUUAUUAAAUUAGGAGAGCUAAGAAGAUAUUAAUAACUCUGGUUUUCUCUUUUGGCUACCACCUUGCUCUCAAUUUCUCUUUUUCCUCCUGCUCUGCUGCUUUUUCAGUUUUACAACCUCUCUGCAAAAAACACUGUGUUUUGCAUGUUUUUGUUCAUGCUUCUAUUCCUUGUUGUUGUGGUGGUGACUCUGUGAAUGGAAUUCUCAGUUAUCUAUUCCUCUACAAUACAUGAUACAUCUGAUUUUUGUUCAUUGACAGAUGAUGCCACAUGCUUGAGAUUUUUAUGCCAUCACUCUGUUCGUUCUUUUGUGAUUGUUAUUGUUUGUUUUAAAAUGUGUAUGCUGUGUGUCAUACACAGAUUAGAGCAGAGAUCCAUGAUUUAAAUUCAACAUAAUCCUCACAUUAAGCUUAGUUAAGUUCAAUGUUGUUUUUUGAAACUUAGUAUGUUGUUACCAAUAACGUUAAGUUAUCAUAACAUUAUGUAUUUAAUUUAACUAAUAAUGUUAAGUAAUAAAAUGACGUAACAAAACAAUAUUCAUUGACACACGCCAAAAACAAGAAUCUUCAUUAACGUUAUUAAUCAACCAAUCAAUAUUUCAUAAUUUUUUUGUAUGUAAGUGUACUAAUAUCGAUCCAAAGCCGCAUGGCCUACCUGUGUGGUCAAAUCUUUUGAUAUAACAAUCUACUCGACGUUUUCAAUGUAAAUAACAUUAAUCUUUAGUACAUUAAUUCAAGGGGUCUUUUGAUAUGGGUCCAAUUGGACUAAAAAUUAGACCUAUUUCAAAAAUCAAAAGUCACUAAAAAUUGGAUCUAUUUCAAAAGAUGGGCUAUAAAAUUGGAUCUCUUUCAAAUUUUCUCUUAAUUUCAAAUACAAUUGUGGUUCAAGGGAACAGUUAAUGAUCCACAUGGCAUCAAAGUAUCUUACUCAAUUGUAUAUUACACGUGUGUAUUGCAUUAUGUUUGUGCGAAUACUUUUUUUCACUAUCAAUCUAUAUUAGUUUUGAAUUCUGAGUUGAUUUAACAAACAGGUUUCUUUAUUUCAGAUUAAUUUGGUUCUCACUAAAUGAAUCAAAGAUCACAAAACUAGAACCAGUGGUUUCCAAAAAACGUUGGUUCUUGAAUAUUUUCAUUUAUGCUUUUUCAGUUCUUUGAAUGGACUUCCUAUAAUCCAAAAUGAGCUAUUGAACAACUCUUUUGUACAUUGUAUUUGCAAAUCAAUAUUUAGGCUAAUAAUUGAAGACUGAUUCUUUUUUGUUGAAAAAAUCUGGAUUCUUAAACUGUGGUGAUUAAUGUGGUUUUUAGGUGAAUUUUUCGAGUGGGGGAGAAAGGGGUAGGUGGGGGCUUUAAAUUGUUAUUCUCAAUUGGUAUAUAAAUAUUUAAAUGUGCAAAACAUGGAUAUCAUGGAAGAAUUCAAAUGUUUUUCCUGCAUUAGGUUGGAGAGCAUGAUCAUUUUUUGUUUGCACAUCACAAAGUUUGUUUUGAGUACUUCUCACGCCAUUGAGGCACAAAUGUUCUUCCUGCAUUAGUUAAUUUUCUUUAUAUCAAAAUAAAUUCAAUUUUCCUUUGUAUCCAAAUAUGUAUUAAAGUAAUUGUGAUUGAAGUUUGUUUAUGUCUGCUUUCCAAGAUUUAUUUUUUGUUUACAUGUCUUACUCCGUUUAUGAAUGCUUUUUUGGUUAACUGAAAGAAUGCUUUUCAUUCUCGGUUUUCAGGACUUUAUCUACCAUUUACAAGUCAACCCCACAAUACCAAAGUGCAAGCGAAGCAAAGAUUUGAGGUGAUUUUUGCUCUAACUUUUUAAGAUUUUAUAUUCUAGGUUAAUUAUCAACCGAAUUCUGUUACUAGAUUUAGAAUUGUAAUUUGGUACCACUGCUGCCACCUGCCGCUUCAGUUUUCACAUCCUAAUGCCACGAAAUGCUAAUUUUAAAUUCUAGGUUAUGGGUAAGCAUUAGUAUUUGGAGGCACAAAUUAUUCUCAGCCGCUAAACCAAGUUCUAAAUCUUUUUUCGUGUGGUUUACAUUAUAGGCUAUUCAAGCCCUAUUUUAAAUGUAUGAUUGGUUUGCGUGAAAUGAAUGAAAAAGAGAGUUAGAAUACCCUGUGAGAUGACCGAUUCCAGAAACCAUUUUAAAUAAAACGUAUCAAAAGUGUUGAACGGAGAGCGAAAAGAUUCUUUGCAUGGAAAACAUAUUUCACUUUGUUUUCUUUACUGAAAGUGCUCUUAUUUAAUCUGGUUCUGUUUCGGUUGCGUAGUUCGUGGUUCGCAGUGACUAAGAAUCGUUUCCUAAGAAAUCUAUUGAGCUAAGUUCUUUUUGGUGGGAAAUUAGGGUUGCUGAUGUUAGCAAUGGAUUGUUUCUGUUUGGUAUGAUUAUAUCUCUGAACAAGCAUUAAUAAAUAGAACGGUUUAGAUCAAUAAUUUUAUUCGGUCAAGAUUCAAACUCCCAUUCUAGAGCAAACUAUAACUCAAAUUGCCAUUGCAGAUCAAACUAUAAGUCAAACUCCCAUUCCAGAGCAAACUAUGAGUCAAACCCCCAUUUCAGAGCAAAAUGGGAACGAGAAGCAAUAGGGCAUGGCUAUUUCCGGGGCAUCGUUUGUUUUGAGAUUCUGGUGUAAUUAGAUUUGAACAUUCUGCUCCUCUGCUUUUUGAUUUGUAUAUAUCUCAAAUUUCUCUCAAUUGCUAAAGGAUUUAUUUUAUUUAAAAAUUUCAGAAAGUCGGGUCGUGGGAGGAAGAAGCUGGUUUGUUGACAUUUUUAGGUAUAUAAUCAUGUGCCCUGAUAGCAUAUUCAAAGCCUAUUUAGUAAAGCUUUUGUGCCUGGAUUUAAAUUAUGUGAUUGGUAAUUACUUAGCACGAUAAUUGUGAAGCAUAUGAUCGUUAUUCAUGAAUACAAAACCUUCAUUCACAAAUCACAAAUAUUUGAUGAGCUAUUUAGAAAUUCUGCAUUUUCGUCAUCCAAUUCAAUAGCAUUUGGGAUACUAUGCUAGAAUUCUAUUACAGCUCCAGUUAGAGAUGUGAAGCAUGAAGAAUAUCUCUUUAGGAAGUGUUAGCUAAUCCGGUUAAUUGGUCAACGAAAUUAGCCAUUUUAGUCAUUUAGAUUGGAUAACCUAGGAAGAAUGUUAGAAUGAUUGAUCAUAUUCGUUAGCCCUAUGUUUUUUUAUUGCAUAAUGAUGGAAUUGACACGUCAUUUAGUCAUAGUAAUUGAUGUAAUAAGUACAUAUCAACUGCCGCAUUCACUCAUCUAUCCCUCUCCUCAUUCAGGUAAAAUGUAUCUUAUUCGUACAGUUCAAGGUGAUGCAUUCAAGUCCCGCAGCAACGCGCGGGUCCAUUUUCUAGUAUUUUUCUACAGUGAAAGAAUACAAUGAAAGAUUACGACCCUACUAAAUAAAACGGUAACUACUGAAAUAUGACAAUAGUGAAAUCUUAUAUAUAUUGGUACGCAUAAGCAUAAGCAUAGCAUAUUAGCAUGCCCAUGGUUACUAAUCUAACAACAGAAGAUGGUAUCAGAAGAAGGUAUCUGCAGGGAAUUAUGCAUUUCUCCAUGCAGUGCACUUGACGUGAACAAACAACUUGUUCUCUUCCUCAUAUGCUCUUUGCACUUAAAUUUUGAUGAUUUACAUAUUUCCAUUCUAUAUGCCUCCGAUGUCUAAAUCAGAAAAGUAGUAGAGAGAAAGAAUGUAUCUCGGCAUUCUCGACAAUCACCGCUUCCAAUUAUGUUGCAAGUUUUCAUUCAAAUUUUCUUCUUUAUGCUAUAUUUUGAAAAGUGUUCUACACGUGCUUUUUUAAUUUUUUUUUUUAAUUUUUAUUCUUCCCUGUGUGGGAAUUUACAAAUGCACUUGCACUGUGCUAUUGAACAAACAUUGGAAUUAUGUCUCUACCUCUCGUCGCUGCAAACCAGAGUUACCAGCAAAUGUUUCCGUUCUUGUUUCAAGUCUUUUGUCAGUCGUUUGCUUUUUUUUGUUCUUGUCUGAAUUUUCUCGUCUUCUGUGGACGUUAGAUAAAUUAGUUAGACUAUCGCUAGUAAACAAUAAAAAAUUACCACAAAUUAAAAAUCAUCCUCAAUGAGUCAAUUGCUUUGCCAAUUGCCUCUCUCUUCUCUCUUCUCUCUUCCAAUCCCUUUCAAUUCUGCUCUCUAACAGAUACUGCAGGAGACUCACCAUUCAAAGUCUCCGCUGCCAUUGGAUUUUCCACCAAAGACUAAGUGGUGUGCCAAGACUUCCGCGGCUAGCAAUCUCCAUCAUGCAUUCAUUAUCAUCUGUUCCUACACGGCUUCAUUAGAAUUCGGAAAUUUCCAUAGAAAAAUCUCUGUAUUUCUCAUUAGUAAAAAAACAAAUAAGAAAGCGACUAGAGUGGCAAUGACAAUUUUGGAGUUUUAAUAACAAUUUCGUUGUUUAGAAAAUUUGCAAAUAAUGACACGAAAGUCACAUCCAAGUAGAGACUGUCACAUACAAUAACGACACGACAGUCACAUCCAAGUAGAAGGGAUUUCAUUGAGUGGUUCGAUAUGCAUUAUACUUCGCGAUUCCGUUGAGUGGUCCAGAAUCGUAUCCACUUGGAUUCUGUUGAGAGGUCCGGAAUCCCUUCUACUCUGCAGUUCUGUUAAGUGAUCCGGAAUCGUAUCCUGGUUUGGAUUCUGUUGAGUGGUCCGGAAUCCCACUUGGUGUUUUGGUUCCAUUGAGUGGUCCAGAACCCGAUGUUGAUGGAUUUCGUUGAGUGGUCCAAAAUUGCAUCAUUUGACUUGUUGGUUCAUUAGAUUCGAUUUCAGCUUCAGAGAUAUAGGCUUCGGCCGAACUGUAUCGCUCUAGCCCUGCAUUUCGAUGUAUUGUAUGUGUUAUUGAUUGGUGUGAUUAUUGGUUGGUGUUAGAAUGCAUAUGUGUGUGUAAAUGGCAAGAUGAUUAAAGAAUAUUAUUGUGCUUCGUCGAAUGUUCCUUGAGAUGUUGCAUGCCUGAAUCGUAGUAUUAUAUUGGGACAUAGUGGUUUAUGUGAUGAAUGUUCGAGUGUAGUGAAUGGUGAACUACAAAUGACUUGAUCCCUGUUUAGAGUAGGUAGGCAGACUAACGAGGAGGUUAGAUGCAUCCAUAGAGUAUACGAAAAAUUACUAUGCGAUUCGAUUAUCUAGUUGUGCUUUGCCGUAUUUCGGAGGAAAGGUAAGAUAGAGAUACGGGUAUUUGGUGACGUCACGUGUCGAUCCUGGACGUAUGUCGGGAGCGAGAUGUGACAUCACAUGUUAUAAAAUAAGUGGAGAGACACAUAAAAAUAUAUCAUUUUCUCACUUUUGUUAUGACAUAUGAAAUAACGCUUGAAUAACCCAUACUUGAAAAAAUCUCUUCUAAGUAGGACAUGCCUCACAUCCUCACAGAUAACGUGAGGAGCAUGCAUUGGCAAUGACUGAAGAGUUAGUCGGGGGUUUGGAAGAUUCGAAGUAUGACAUUGAUAGGCUCCCACUUCCGGUCCAAUCAGACUUUUAUUUUCUUCCAUGAUUGAAAACCUCAUGCAAAAUACCAAGAAGAAAUUAUAUGUUCAUGGAAGACUAAAAGUCUCUCAUAAAACGAUAAUAGUAUGGAUGACUUAGGGUUGGUUUGAUAUUGCUGUGCUUUGGAAAAAAACUGCUGUGAGAAUAAGCGGCUGUGCUGUGAGAAUAAGUGGCUGUGAAAUAAAUCAGCAGAGUGUUUGGUAAACUUUUUUGUAAAAGCGCUUUUGGAAAAAAAAGCAGUCUGAUAGUGGGUCUUUUCAUUAAAGGAGCAUUGUAGCUCCGUGUGCUUUGAAAAAAAACCAGUUUUCCAAAGCUGCAAAUAGUAGCUUCAGCUUUUUCCUUUGAUUUCAGCUUAUUCUCACAGCAGCUUAAAAAAUAAGCUUUUUUUUUUCAGUUUACCAAACACCUAAAACCCUCACAACUUUUUUUCAUGGGUGUUUUUUUUUAAGCACCUCACUCCCAAACCUGGCUUUACUGGGCCUCCAGAAACCUUUACCUAGCAAUAACAUUUAGCUACUAAGGUUGCGUUUGGGACAGCUUAAAUUUUUUUAAAAGCUGGGAUGAAAAAAGUUGGGGUCCUUUUAGUGUUUGGUAAACACACUAAACCCAGCUUUUUUUCACCGUUGAGGAUGAAGAAAAACCAAAUCCUGAAGCAGCAAAUCAUAGCUUUGAAAAAACUGCUUUUUUUUCAAAACAUGCGGAGCUACAGUGCAAUGUUAAUGAAACUUUCUAAAUUCCAAUAACAUCCUCGUUAGUUUUACAAAAUUACAAUCCUUGUCCCUAAAACAACUGGAAGGAUCUCUUUCCUAUUCGCUCGUUCUCCCCCCGCAUCAGAUCCCUAGGACCGCCGUCAUCCCUCCCACUCCCGCUCGACACCGACCACCACUGCACCAACGAUUAUCCCUCUCCUCCUUUCAAAUCCUACACACGAUCAAAUGCGAUGAUUAAAUAGUAAAAUAAACUUAAAAAAUAACCCAGAAAUUAAUUUAAUUGACGGAAAUGCUUAGGGUGAUAAAAGGACCGAUGAUUUCUCCGGCAGGAAUGAUGAUUCUCAUCCGCAAGGAAUUCACUAAAUUAACACCCAAUAAAUUAAUAAGAUGCCAACCAAUCUUAUUUGCACGACACAAAGAAAUUCAUCAAAUUCAAUAACAAAACCCUAAUUUAAAACCCAAAAAACAAACCAUGUAUUUAUUUAAUUUUAUACCUCAACAAAUUUGUCCGUCCUCGAAGGUGUGGUCAGAGACGUUGACACUCGAAGAUCCGGUGAAGUUGAGAUGAGGGAGGAUGAGCAGCGGAGAAAAUGAGGGAGAGGAGAGAGUGUGAAUGUAAGAGAGAUUAUAAAGAAAAAUAAAUAAAUUAUUAUAACAUUUAAUAUUAUACCCUGUUAGUCAUUUAACAUCUACACAACAGUUUUAUAUAAAAGUUACCAAACACUUGAAUACUGCUUUUUUGUUAAAGCACUUUAAAAAAAAAAGUUUACCAAAUACUUAACUGAUUUAUUUUACAGCUAUUUAUUCUCACAGUACAACAGAAGCAGUUUUUUUAAAAAGCACAUCAAUACCAAACUAGUAUCUACAAUGAUGAUGAUAAAAGGUAAAUAUCAAAAGUUAAUUUGAUGGUUGUUGAUAAUGUCAGAUUUUUUUUCUUCUUUCUCUAACCCUUUUUUUGUUUGUUAUAUAUGAUAUUUGUAUGACCUAUUUUUAAAAAGAAAUCACUUAAAAUAAAAUUUCAAGAUCUAUAAUUAGUGUAUUAAUGAGACCCGCACAAUCAACAACAAAGCAUUUUCCCACUAAGUGGAGUCAGCUAUAUGAAUCCUAAAACGCCAUUGCGCUCGGUUCUGUGUCAUGUUUUCCGUUAGAUCCAAGUACUCUAAGUGUUUUCUUAGAGUCUUUUCCAAUGUCUUCUUAGGUCUUCCUCUACCCCUUCCGCCCUAGACCUCUGUUAAUGAGAUCCCGCACAAUAAAAUAAUUAUAAAACUAUUUGACAUCACAUUUUCUUAUAUGUCAAAUUUGACAUCUAAAAAUUCAUUAUGUCAAUUCACAUAGAAUUGACAUAUAGGUUAGAGUUUAUUCCUAUCUUCAAAUGUGAUUACAUGGCAUUCUGCUUAUGAUUUCACAUCUCCUUUGGAGAUAGUCUAAAACACGUUUAGAUAAAGGGCUAGCUUAGCUAAUAGCUACAGGAUGGAAGGAGCCAAACUUUAUAUCUUUAGUGCUUAAAGAAAAUCGAGGUAUCUGUGUAGAAUUAUCAGAGAGACAAGCCAUACGGCCCACUUCCAACAACACCGAUAUUGUCCCCAACUUGGUAAUUACCACCUGCACAAUCCGUCAGGUGUGGGGUUUUAUCACAAAAAGCCUCAGUGUUAGUUAGAGUGAGAUUAUGAUAUUUAAACUAUUACUUAUCUUUUACUACGACCGAUGUGGGAUUCAACACGCCCCCUCACGUAAGACCCAAUUAGUGGGUCACAUGUGGGAGAUCCACACAUAGGCAACCACGUGGAGCCAAGGGGACUCACCCUACACGCAGGGCCAAGGGACCCACUAUCAUCAUGCGGGGCCAAGGGGACCCACCCAUCACGUGGCAAUACAGUAAGGGCCCGCUCCCUGACUCUGAUACCAUGUAGAAUUAUUAGAGAGACAGGCCAUACGGCCCACUUCCAACAACACCGAUAUUGUCCCCAACUUGGUAAUUACCACAUGCACAAUCCGUCAGGUGUGAGGUUUUAUUACAAAAGGUCUCGGUGUUAGUUAGAGUGGGGUUAGAAUAUUUAAACUAUUACUUAUCUUUUACUACGACCGAUGUGGGAUUCAACAAUCUGGGCCCUGGAGAAUUGACAGGGCGAAUUGCUAGCUUUCGUAUACGAAAUAUCCACCCUAGUCACUAUGGACGCGUUUGCCCUAUUGACACGUCUGAAUGAAUCAAACUUUGGACUUAUUAGAUCCUUAACAAUUCAUGCGAAGAUUGGUUAUUGGGGGUCUCUAGAAAGUCCAUUUUAUGAAAUUUCUGAGAGAUCAGCUUUAGCUAAUAGCUAUGGGACUGAAGGAGCCAAAGAUUAUAUCUCUGGUAAUUAAAAUGGUUCACAAGGCCUGCGGUAUUUACAUGAUUCCUUUCUUUCUAUUUCUAUUCUUCUCGUCCAAAUUAGUCUUUGCCAAUGUUUCUCAAGAUCCAGUACACAGUUACUACUAGAAAAUGGCUCUAUAGGGACAUUUUUUUUAUACAGGUUAUGGUAGUGUGAAUACAAUGAAGGGUGAUGCUAGAGAAACCAUCUAUUUGAAGAAGGUAUCCAACCAUCAAUCGCCACAUCAUAUGGUCUAUAAAAUAUAGUCAAAAAACAUUAUGUCCCUAAUAUUUUUCUACAAUGAAAGAAUACAAUGAAAGAUUACGACCCUACUAAAUAAAACGGUAACUAAUAUCGCUAAUUAACUGCAACUCUCUGAUAACUGAAAUAUGCCAAUAGUGAAAUCUUAUAUAUAUUGGUGCGCAUAAGCAUAAGCAAAGCAUAUUAGCAUGCCCAUGGUUACUAAUCGAACAACGGAAGAUGGUAUCAGAAGAAGGUAUCUGCAGGGAAUUAUGCAUUUCUCCAUGCACUGACUUGAUCUGAACAAACAAUUUGUUCUCUUCCUCAUAUGCUCUUUGCACUUAAAUUUUGAUGAUUUACAUAUUUCCAUUCUAUAUGCCUCCGAUGCCUAAAUCAGAAAAGUAGUAGAGAGAAAAAAGAAUGUGUCUCGGCAUUCUUUAAUCUCGAUAAUCACCGCUUCCAAUUAUAUUGUAACUUUUCAUUCAAAUUUUCUUCUUUAUGCUAUAUUUUGAAAAUUCUUCUACACAUGUGGUUUUUUAAUUUUUAUUCUUCCCUGUGUUGGAAUUUACAAAUGUACUUGCACUGUGCUAUUGAACAAACAUUGGAAUUAUGUCUCUCUGCCUCUCGUCGCUGCAAACCACAGUUACCAGCAAAUGUUUCCGUUCUUGUUUCAAGUCUAUUUUCAGUCGUUUGCUUUUUUGUUCUUUGUCUGGAUUUUCUCGUCUUCUGUGGACGUUAAAUUAGUUAGAUUAUCGCUAGUAAACAAUAAAAAAUUACCACAAAUUAAAAAUCAUCCUCAAUUGCAUUGCCAAUUGCCUCUCUCUUCUCUCCUUCAAAGUCUUGGCUGCAUAUGGAUUUUCCACCAAAGACAAAUUGGUGUGCCAAGACUUCCGCGGCUAGCAAUCUCCAUCAUGCAUUUAUUAUCAUCUGCUCCUACGCGGCUUCAUUAGAAUUCGGAAAAUUCCAUAGAAAAAUCUUAUUUCCCAUUAGUAAAAAAACAAAUAAGAAAGCGACUAGAGUGGCACUGACAAUUUUGAAGUUUUAAUAAUAAUUUCGUUGUAUAGAAAAUUUGUAAAUAACGACACGACAGUCACAUCCAAGUAGAGAAUACCAACAAGUGUCGUGUAGGCCAUGGUUUGCAAACUUGUUCAACCCGACAUAUGUAUAUUUCGUUCCAACAAAAUAUAAAACAUAUUUCUACAGUCCAUCACAAUCAGGUACCAGCUUGUCGCCUAUGGACUUGCAUACUUGUAAAAGGGGUUGUGAACACAAUCCAUUCAUUUCAGUUACCCUUUUUUCUUGGGAUGUGAUAUCCACACAUCCCAUUUUACUUCUCACACAUUUUUCUAAUUUUCGACCGUCGGAUCGGAUGAAUUGAAGAAGAUCAACGGACAAAAAUUAACAAAGAGUGUGUGAUAAGUAAAAUAUGAUAUGCGGAUAGCACAUCCCUUUUUCUUUUCUCCAUCACACGACUUUUGUUGCAACUCCCCGAUCUACAUCGAUAAUCUAUUCCUAUAAAUUCGGGAAUUUAGUAGCUAAACAUCAUCACCACCAAAGCAUAGCAAAGAAAAUUGUGUGUAAUAAUAAUGGAUACCCACUAUCACCUCAGUAUUGCUCACUAUUUCCUUCUUUUUCUUUUAGCAUCUUCCUACAUGCAGAGUACUACUAAACUCUGUUUUUAGCCCGUGAUGAACUAUCAAGCAGUGUGAAAAAAAAUUUAUGCAUCGACGAAGAAAGACAAGCGCUUCUCAUCUUUAAACAACAUCUUGUAGAUCAUUCUGGCAGGCUUUCCUCUUGGGUGGGUCACGAUUGCUGUCGAUGGGUAGGAAUUUCAUGCAACAACCUCACCAGUCAUGUCGUGAAGAUGGACCUCCGGAAUCCAUAUCCUCCGUUGAUAGACGUCCGGAAUCCAGAUCCUGUGUUUCCCAUUAAUGAAGAGUGGACCAAGUCGGCUUAUGUAAAGUCUAGCUUGGGAGGUAAGAUAAAUGCUUCUCUGUUGAGCUUGAAACAUUUAAAUUACCUGGAUCUAAGCUAUAACUAUUUUGAUAGCAAUCAAAUUCCGAAGUUCUUUGGGGAGCUUAAAAGUUUGCAAUAUCUCAAUCUCUCACACGCAUCAUUUGGAGGAGAGAUUCCCCUUUCUCUUGGUAACCUGUCAAGCCUAAAUUUUCUUGAUCUCUCGUCAAAUUUUGACUUAUCUUCUAGAAGUUUGAAUUGGCUUUCUCGCCUCUCUUCCAUGAAAUACCUUGAUCUCGGAGGCAUUAACCUUAGCGGCACAGGAGUCAAUUGGGUGUAUGAUGUUAAUAUGCUUCCUUCAUUAUCAGAGUUACGCUUACCUUUGUGCUUCCAAAUUGAAAGCAGUCCAGUACUCUCACUACAGAGCAUUAAUCUGACAUCACUUUUGAUCCUUGAUUUGUCAGAUAAUAUGUUUACUUCUGCAUUUCCCAGCUGGCUUUUUAAUCUUACUAGCCUCAUAACACUUGAUAUAUCCAUCAAUAAUUUCAACGGUCCUUUUCCAAGUGAAUUUGCAAACUUCAAAUAUCUAGAACACCUUGAUUUAUCUGAAACAGGCUUAAAAGGUCGAAUUCCUAAAGUCAUUGGAAAUUUAUGCAAGCUAAAGUUCUUAAGUCUUUCCGACAACAAGUUUGAUGGGGGGAUUGAAGAGUUUUGGAGGAGUUUCUCAAAUUGUCCAAAUAAUUCACUAGAGUCACUAGAUUUGUCAAAUUGUGAGCUGAAAAGCCAACUGCCAGACUCUUUAGGUGUAUUAAAAUGUUUGCAGAGUCUCAAUCUCAUGGGUAAUAAUUUGUGGGGCUCAAUUCCAGAUUUCAUGGGAAACUUUUCAUCCUUGAAAAUAUUGGACCUCUCUGAUAAUAAUAUGACGGGCUCCAUUCCACAAAGUCUGGGACAACUUUCUCAACUAGUUUCCCUACAUCUGGCUGGUAAUUCAUGGGAAGGCAACCUAACGGAAGCCCAUUUCAUAAAUCUUACCCGAUUACAAGACUUUCAAUUAGGAUGUCAAGUAGGAAACAUAGACCGCCCCAUGUCCCUCAUUUUCGACGUGGCUUAUGAUUGGGUUCCUCCUUUUCAACUCCACAGAAUUGUGAUCACAAACUGUUGGGUAGGUCAUGGUUUUUGGAUCUGGCUUCAAUCUCAAACUGAACUAGUUGAUAUCUUCCUAAAUGGUAAUGGAAUCUCAGAUUCCAUACCAAAGGAAUGGUUGUUGAUGAUAUCAUCCCAACUCAUCUUUCUGGACUUGUCUAACAACCAAUUUCAUGGAAACCUUCCCUCACAUUUGAAAUUUCCAAGUCUAAAAUAUAUUGAUUUGAGUAGAAAUCAGUUAGAGGGCCUAAUUCCACAUUGGUGGUCCACUACUAUCUCCGUCUUUAAUCUUGGAAGCAAUCUAUUUUCUGGGUCAAUUCCCUCCAAUAUUGGCCUGAUGAUGCCCAAUUUGGGCACUUUAACUCUUUAUGAGAAUAAUUUGAGCGGCACUAUUCCUCCAUCUGUUUGGAACAUGCAACAAUUGUUAGUCUUGUCUCUAAGGAGAAAUCAAUUUUCUGGAGAAUUGCCUUGUGCAUUGAGUGUGGAGAGCAAACUGGUGUUUCUAGAUGUUGGUCUAAACAAUCUUUCUGGUAAUAUUCCCUCUUCAUUGGGGGUAUUAAGUUCACUGAAAUUAUUAAAGCUCAACAACAACAAUAUUGGAGGUGAAAUUCCUGAUUCCUUGCAAAAUUGUUCUAGUUUGAUGAGUAUUGAUCUUGGAGACAACAAGUUAUCCGGUAACAUACCUCUAUGGAUAGGAGGAUCGCAUGUACCCAUGUUGUCUAGGCUACUUUUACGGUCCAACUAUUUUAGUGGACAUAUUUCUCAGCAGUUGUGUAAUCUUCGGCAUCUUCAUAUCCUCGACCUUAGUUACAACAACCUUUCAGGUAUUAUUCCCAUGUGCUUGGGUGAUUUGAUUGCAUUGGUGAAUGGUUCAAAUGAAAUCACUUUUAGUCCUCUUGAGCAAGCCACACUGACACUAAAAGGAUUCAAAUAUGUGUACAACACGACUCUUGAUCUUGUAAAAAGCAUUGAUCUUUCAUUGAAUAAUUUACAAGGUGAAAUCCCUGAAGAAAUAAGCAGCCUCAUUCUAUUGGGAACCUUGAACUUGUCCAGGAAUAAAUUGACUGGAAACAUCCCCUCAAAGAUUGGAAACUUGCAUUGGCUCGAAACUCUUGAUCUCUCCCACAACCACCUCUCGGGACAGAUUCCUCAAAGCUUUUCAUCUUUAACAUCUUUGUCCCACUUGAACUUGUCAUGUAACAACUUGUCUGGAAGAAUUAUUUCGGGAAACCAGCUUCAAACGCUCGAUGAUUCGUCCAUUUAUACGGAAAAUCCAUUACUGUGUGGCGCUCCUCUCUCAACUAAGUGCUCUGGAGAUGACACUUUCCCACCUAAGGAUGCCGAAGACAAGGAUGAAGAUGGGAAUGACAAGUUGUGGUUCUAUGCCACUAUGGUACUUGGCUAUAUCGUGGGCUUUUGGGGUGUUUGCGGCACAUUGAUCUUAAAGACAUCAUGGAGGUAUGCAUAUUUUCAAUUCUUCGACAACAUCAAAGACAAGAUAGCACUAGCAAUUGCAUUGAAAGUGGCUCGUUUCCAAAGAAUGUUUUCUAAUGAUUGUACUGUAUAUAGGUGAUGUUUUUCCCUUUCUACUUUGUGUUUUUGGUAGUUGCAACUUAUGUAUUCAAGAAACGAAAUUCUGUCGUUCAAUAAAUAUUCCCACAAACAAUUAUGUAUUAGGCUGUAAUUAAUAAAAAGUUCUUGUUUAUACUUAUCAAUUUUGAAUGAAUAGAAUUAGUAUUUUUUUUUUGGGUAAAGUACAAAAAAUUACCUCAACUAUUGGUAAUGUCAUACCUCAUCUUACGAAUUUGUGCCAAUGCCAGACUUUUGUCAGUUUUUCUGUUACUUUUUCUGUUAAAUGUUGACGUGACCAGAAACAUGACCCAUUUUUAUUAAAAAAAUAAUUAAAUAUUUUAAAAAUUAAUUAAAAAUUAAAAAAAAAACCAAAAAAAAACCCAUCAACCCGUGCCCUCCCCAAAAACCCAGAUCCCUUUCUCUGAGUUCUCCCCCACCCAACCCUCUCUCUCCUCUCUCUCUCUCUCUCUUCUUUCUCCCUGCAACCUGCAUCCCUAAAAUCCCAAAACCCAGAAAUCAUUCCCACCCGAGUCAUCACUGCUGGCGAGCUCUCAAUCCUCUAAGCCAACGAUCGCCGAUUAACCCCAGACCCUUUCGCAACUGCCGCUGGCAUCGGAGCUCUCCUUCUGGCACCACAGGUGAUUCUGGUUCCCCCACUUCAAAUACCAUGACAAGUUGAAAUUGUGCAGAGGCUUCGCCCUCUCAGAACCCAUCGCCAUGGACUUCACCUCCACUCUCUCUCCUCAUCCGACCCGCAUAUAUACACCAUUUAUCGGAAACUCAAAUCAAAGAGAGCCACUCUCAGAUCACAACUCUCUCUCUCUCUGUUUCUCGCGCCUCCUCUGAUUUUCUCGGAAAAUCUCGGAAUUUUCUAGGAAAAAACAGAGAGUUUUUCUAUUGGGAUUGUUGUUGUUAUUGUUUUGUUUUUCUCUUGCAAAUCAUCGGAGGGGCAGACUUCGGGGGCGAAGAGGAGAAAAGAAUGUUGUUGUGGAGGUUGUGGCUAGAGUUAAGGUUUGGGGGCGAUUGGGGGUCGUGGCUGUCAUCGCUGGAGUCAACGACAGAGGUAGGGUUAUCGUCGGUGGGAUCGGAGAGGAAGGUUAGGGGGGACGGGUGGGAAGGAUUUCUGGGUUUUGGGAUUUUAGGGAUGCAGGUUGUAGGGAGAAAGAAGAGAGAGAGGCGAGAGAGAGAGGAGAGAGAGGGUUGGGUUUUGGUUUUUUGUUUUUUGUUUUUUAAUUUUUAAUAUUUAAUUAUUUUUUUAAUAAAAAAUGGGUCCCGUCUUUGGCCACGUCAGCAUUUAACAGAAAAACUAACGAAAGUCUGACAUUGACACAAAUUCGUAAGAUGAGGUAUGACAUUGUCAAUUUUAAAAGAUGAGGUAUGAAAGUGUCGUGAUAUCAAUAAUUGAGUUAGUUUUUUUGUACUUUACAUUUUUUUUAUAUCAAAUUAAUAGAAUUAGGAUUCGGGGAGAUGAACAUGCUAGUGUAUGAAUCUUUCUUUCCCCCCCCCCCCCCCCCCCCCCCAACCCGGGAGGCUUUGGAAAUUUUUUGAACAUGCUAGUUUUUUGUACUUGUACCGUUCUGGAAGUCAUUCUGCAGUUUGGAAUUGGUCUGCAAUCUGGAAUUUUCUGGGGUGAUAUUUUCGAAUUAUGAAUGCAAUUUGGAAUCUAUCCACUGUUUUGUUCGGCUUUUUCAAAAGGUAAAACUUACUCAUUUAAGUCCUUUCUUUCAAUUAAUUUAAGUCAACUUUCUGCUCCUACUAUUUGGAGAGAUAUGACUUAUGUCAAGAUUAGUGAGAGGACCUUUAUCAAGAUUCAAGACCAAGUAAGCACAUUCCGAACAAGCCCCGUCGGUAAACUUUUGUUAAAGAAAGGGACGAUGCUGAUGAAGACUGAAAAUAUAAUUUUAACGUGCUCGGAACAACAAUUAACACUCACAUUCACAUCCCUCCUGAAGCCCAGUUCCUCUUCAGAACCUCCAACGGCAAAGAAAUCAGCGACAACAGUAUUUUUGGCCCGUGAUAUGCGCGCAUCUGAUAGUUUGGGAGGAAAAGGGGUGCUGCAGCAGAGAAAACAGUAUGCCAGCUUCUGCCUAGCAAACUUUAGCUUGUCUAAUCUUUACUCCUCAAUCCACCUGCUUAGGUAGAGUUACAAAAUAAGAAAUUAUCUGCAUUUCCUUGUACAACGAAAGCUAGACGUCCCCCUGAACAACUGCACUCUCCUUGACUUAUAUUAUAUCAAGGUCUGGUGGUAACUCCAAUAACAAGAAGCUAGAUCUCGGUUCGUGAGAGAGUGUACUGUACAUACCUGGCAGGAUGGUUGAGAUCCUUACGGUGUAUAGAUUGGCAAUUGUUGGAAUCAUCCACUGCCAGCUUUAGGAAAUCAUCAUUUCCGAUUUUCAAACAAGUAACACAAGAACAACGCAAGGAUGAAUAAGUUAUAUACAAUGUGUUGAGGAAAAAAUUAGAGUACACAACUCUAACACAAGUAUUGGAGAGACAAAACAAGUAAACAAAUUACUUGUAUUACACACACAAAAUAUUACAACACUCAAAAUUCUCAAAGACACACUUUAGAAGCAAUGACACUCUCUCACUUUCUAGAGACAAACUCUAGACCACUCACACUCCUCACUAGGACUACUUGCUUCUCUUCUUGGCUAUUUGGUUUGCUCUCUUACUAGUUACUUGAUUGGUUGAUUGGUUGGUUUCUAUUUAUAGGGCAUGCUUGCCGACUUAUAUAAUCACUAGAAUUUUCUAGUGCAUUGAUCAUGCACACACACUUUUCCACCGACAUAUGGCUUUGCAUAAUAGUCACAUAUUUUCCUAGCUUCUAGUAUGUUCUACAUACCUCUAGCUUAUAUAAUUCUAGACUGGCCAACCUACUUUACAUGCUAGAAUUGUCUAGCAUGUCACCUCCAAUAUUACAUGCUAGAAUCUUCUACAACAAUUCCAUGCAUGUUUGAACUACAAUAAUCUAGUUCCCUUAUACUGGCUAAUCUUAAUGGGCUGGUGUUGAUCUUUAACACAAUGGUCCGUCAAAAUAACUCAGAACAAAACAAAUUGCUGUGGAACAAAAUACUAGAGGUUUACGAGGUUGCAUCUAUCACUUCACAAACUGGUGUGUCUGUGAUUGCUGAUGGUGGAAUUUCCAGUUCUGGACACAUUGUGAAGGCUUUGGUCCUUGGGGCUUCUACUGUCAUGAUGGGAAGCUUCUUAGAUGGAAGCACUUAGGCUCCCGGGGCUUUUGUGUAUCAGGUAUGUUUGUGAUCUACUCAUGUUUUUAUUGCUAGAACAGAUAUACUGCUCUUACCAUCAGAUAUAAAAUUUACUUUCACACUUCUUCUCUCUUGUAUGAGUGUUUACUUCAAUAUGUCUUUUCUAGUUCUUUGAUGACUUUUUGAGCGAUUUAAGGAGUUUAUUAGGCAGAUUACGAAUACUGAAUUACAACUGUGGUUGGUAAAGAAACUUACCUAGAAGAUGUGUGUUUCAAAGUUUGUUAAGACAUCCUGCAUUAUUUCUCAUCCUUUUUGGAAUGCAUCAAUAUUGUUCGACAGAUCAGUUGUACUUCAUUGAUGUGUUAUGGUUUGCCAUCAAUCUUUAAUGCUUUUACAUUAUUAGGAAUGCCAUUCGUAUGUCUGCAUGGACUCUCUCCUUGAUGACCAGAACUUAAUAAGUUUGAAGCCUGCAUACGGUCAGGACUCGGGGGUUUUGGACUCCUUCGGGCUAGCACAAGUGGGGAGAGUAAAUGGCAAAAUGGUUAGGAUUAAGCUAGGUAAGGGUUCAGAUCCCUGAAACUGUGAUUGGAUUUCAUGGAUGCAUGUCCAAGCUAAACUUACGGGGUACUGUAUUGGACAUAGUAUUUCAUUUCUGUGUGUUUCCUUUUUUAAUGGUUGUUCUCUUGUUAAGCGAUUGAUUAAAUUUUCAUGAUUUUGAGCUAAAAGCCAAAGUUCUACAUAUAUGUUUGUAUAUAUUAUGCGUAAUUGCACUGGAUUUCAGAAUACUCGUCUUUUACAAGCAACAUGCUGUUUGUUAUUUCUUUGCCAUUGCUGAUUAGCUUUCAGCAUGCUUAACCUGUAUUAAGGAAACAGUGUGAUAUAGUGAUUUCAUGUUUUCUAUUAGAAUGGUCGCCGAGUUAAAAAAUAUCGAGGCAUGGGAUCUCUUGAUGACACGCCCCGACCCUGAUGUCCUCGGGACAUCGGAAUGGUCACGUGCUGGCCGACACCCGAAGGGUGACGAAAGCCAUUUAAUUUAAGUAAAAGCUAUGAAAUAAGCUAAAACGGGCAAUAGGAACUAAUAACAUAAUACUAAAGUUCAACUACUAAUUAAUAAAAUUAUGGUCAUACACAUAAUCUCAGAGCAUACGUCUAAAACAUAGUACAAACAGAAUUUAAGAUAGAGAAGUGCUAUAGUACAAUAGAUGUCGAAGCAAGAGAAAUAUAGCAUUGGAUCACUGGUAGGGAAAUGCCUCGUAGCUUAAAUCGUACUCCUCAUUCGUAGGUCCUGAAGGGGGCGCAAAACAAAGGUGAGUGGACCAAUUUGAUAUAUAUAAAACAGUUAUCAACAUACUAACCUCCAGGUUUUAUGAAAACACAUAUAUAAUGGAUAAACAUAGGUUUUCCGAAACCUAACAUGUUAUGCAGUAACUUAAAUCAUAACUUGUAUAUAUAAUAAUCACUAGUGAAUGUCCGAUAACCCCUAGGCCCCAUGCCGGCUCCCCGUCUCUGAGCAAACAGUCAGAGGAAAAUACACUUCAGGUCCCAUGUCGGCUCCCCGUCCCUGUGCUAAAUAGCUAGAGGAAACACACUCCAGGCCCUAUGCCAACACCAAACUGUCGCUCGGGAUGGACCGGAAUCUAUCCCUACGUCCUGUAACGGAAGGACCACUAAGUAAGUACAAAACUAUUGAACAUAUCUAUAUUGAAAAGCAACUUCAUAGUAUAAAGUUAUCCAUCAUCUAUACUAUAAAGAGGUGUUCUAAACAUGUUCUAAAUAUCAUAUCGUCAUCCAUCAGAUAUUCUAUAAGAACACGGGUUAUAGGAAAAAUAAUACUAAUUCAAAGUAGCCCCAGUAAGCAUGUUAUCUCACAAAACAUUUCAUAAAACAUAAUCAUUAAAUCAUGUUUUUUAUGUAUGUAUUUCUAUUAUUAAAACAUGCUUUUGAAGGGGUCCACUCACCGUACACCGAUGGUGAAAAGCUGUACCAAAAAGGUAUAACGGAAACACCGUUAAUAAUUGCACCUAUUCAUAUAAAGGGGUACCCUUUAGUCAAACUCUAUUCAAACGAUUGAAUUGGGAAAACGGACUUAAAAAACGGGUCCAGGACGUCGAAAUUAGCCUAGGAGAGGUUCUGGAUGAAACCCCGAAAAGUCAACUCAAAACGUCAACGUUGAUCGUUGAUCGGUCAAAGUCAAAGUCAACGCUGACCAUUGACCGAGUCAACGGGGUCAGAGGGGUCAAAUGUCAGACUGGGCUUUGGUUUUGGGUUGGGCCGAAAGGGCGGGCCUAAGGGUUUUGGGUUUAAGGGUUAAUAGGUUAAUAGGUUUGGGAAAGGGCUCAAGCCCCUUAACAGAAAAUGCCCCAAAGGCCCUAAUUAACUAAAUAAAACCUGAAAAGGUUUUGAGUUGAACUAAUGGGCUACAAGCCCUAAACAUAAUGGCCCGAAGGCCUUUGGGUCUAAAACAAUUAAACGAAAUUGGGUGAGGGUUUUGGGCUUGGCUCACUACGGGCCUAAGGCCCCAAUGCCUUGGAACCGGCCUGAAAGGCUUGGCGCACCGGAGGAGAACGCCGGAGCUUCUACAGCUCCGGUCGGCCUGAAACCUAGCUUUUAAGGUCCAAUCUAGGUACCAAAACGAGCACAAGAUGAGGGGAGUGAUUCUAUACCUUUGGUUUGUCGUGAAAUGACCUGUGGUGGUCGGAAAACCCCUCGACAACCACACGGCUCGCCGGAGAUGGGAGUGUCUACACCCGAGUUCGAUUUCGUCUCAAAAACCUUGGAAAAACACGAGAUACAACUCAAUAAAAUCCAUCCACGCAACAACUAAACGGAGAGAAAGAAGAUCGUGACUUACCUGAUUGGAAAAACAGAGAAGCCUCGCCAGAGCUCCUGGGUUUCGCCGAGUUCGCAGAAACGAGAGGGAGAGAGAGAGCAGGACGAGAUUGAUGAUGGUGAUGGGUGUCUUCCUCGAGCAGGUGCAAUGGUGUGCGUGUGUGUGGGUUCACAAUGCAGAGAAGAGAGAGAUGAGGGAGUGAGGGUUUCGAGAGAGAAUGAAUAGACAGAAAGAGGAAGUGAGAGGAGUCUUGGGGUGCUGCCACGUGGCAGUUUGAGGAUAAAAAGGAAUCCCAAAUUUUAGAUCCGGAAAUAGGACAAAAUUGAUAGAUUCAAAACAUUAAGGGGUAAUUACACAAAUAUAUUUUUAUAAAUGGGGGUGGGUGUUACACUUGAAGCAAUGACAAAAGGGAGUGAUCAGAGGUACUUGGGGGGGAUACAGCUAAAGCUAAAAAUUGCACAGGGCGUGGUUGGGGCAGUUGCAGACCAUUUUGCAGACCUUGUGAUUCAUGUCAUCAUUAUUGUUCGUGCUUCAAAUGAGAAUUGAUGUUGUAGCCAAUGCUUCUUUCGAUAACUUACUCUUUCGUAGUCUGUUCUUACUUUAUAGGGAAGAAGUCUGUAAACCUCUCAGGGUCUUCCUUCUCUCCACCUCUUAGAUAAUUUUCCAGCCCCAUCCAUUACCUCAAGGAAAAGCCCACUCCAUGAUUACGUACCUUGUUAUUGCUUAUGGGACCUGAGAUGUUAUGAUGGUUGUAUCAAGAACUAACAUGGUUUCUCAAUCAGUUAGUGUAUUUUACUAAAUAUGCAGGUAAGAACAGGAGCAGCACAAGUAGAAGGUGGAGUUCAUGGUCUGGUUUCGUACGAGAAGAAAUCAUUUUGAUGGUUAUAUCUGGCGACUGCUGUCUCGGGGAAUUGGGAACUCUUCCGUGUUCCAUUAUGCAACCGAUAUAUCGCCAAUUUAGCAUGAGUAACAGGGAUUGAGCCUGUCAAACUGCUACGGGUUUUGCAAGAAGAUUGCUGAACAGCGGAAGUUUUGAUCUCGGACGGUUCUCUGGCGUUUUGUUGGUUGCCAUGACUCAUGAGAGGUUUCCAUAUCUGCCUGCAUUUGUUUGACUCUGCACUUUAAGUGUGACAUAUGACUAGUUAGAACGGGCAAAACAUGUUGACAGAGUGAUAGCAUAACUGACAGAGCGACUUGAGUUUUGGGUUCGCUGAAGAUUGAAAGGAUGUGGAGGAAUUUGGUGGUGAAAUUGAUCAGGAUGAGCAGAUAGGGAUUUAGGGUUUGGAAGGAUUUGGAGAAAUCUCACGGUGAGAUUUCUUGUCUUGAUGGUGUGAACUUUUAGAUGAGCUUUUUUGGGUUUCGAUUCGAAUUGGAGUAAAAAGCAAUCGGUGCAGACCGCAGAGGAAGGAGGUGGUGGAGGAGAGAAAUCUCGCUAGCACACCACGCAUGCAACAGGGCUUUUCGUCUUUUUACUGUAGCAUCAUGAAAUAUAGGAAGGAAAAGAUCAGGUGAAGAGGAAUAUUUUCGUCUUUACACCGUGCUUAGAAACAGUGAAGCUGCGGGAUUGAAAUUGUAUAAAAGAUUAUGUUUGAAUGAUAUAAAAGAUUGGGUUGCAAAACGUUAAUGCUACAUACAAAAGAUAAAGUAUAUAGCAAUCUACUUGACAACGUUAAGUAGAUUGUUAUACAGAUGAUGUUAUUGCUUCCUCUUACACAUAUGUUGAGUGCAAAACGGCAUAACAAUGAUGAUAAAAACAUUAUUAGCUCUCCCAUGGACCAGAACUUAGAGGUCCAAAACUUGAAAACCCCCAUUCAAAGAGACAGUGUAGUCUAAUUUCUUUUCAAUCACAAUCCCAAUAGAGAUAAAACAACGAUUAAAGAACAGGCUAAAAAUACGAUAAAAUUCAAUUACAUUAUUCUAAGGAUUGAAUUGCAAACUACAACAUUGCCAUGUAACAGGUAGAAAAAUUCGUACCCAGUUCAUCCAAUUCAAUUGCAAUCAGUUCCACACCAACCCUUCUGAACAACGGUACAGUUGAGUACCUUCAAACCCAAUUUUCAAAACAAAUAAUUCUAUUUAUGAAAAAUUUGAACUCAUUUCUGCGACACAAAAAUCCAGCACUACUCCUAGCUGAUGAAACAAAACAACCUGCAAAGCUUAUACUUGAUCAUAUUUCACCAAAAACUUCUCCACAACUGUAAAUUUUCCCCCAAGACAAACAGAAACCAGAAACAUUCUGUGAAAGUAAAGUAAGCCUGUUGAGGUGUACAUGAACACCAAAAUAGAAACUGUACCAAGGUCUACCCUAUUGUAUAUGUAUGCAUAAUUCAAGUUCAAACUCUCAUGUGGAAAAAAUUGCAAAGAAUUGUAAUAUGAAAAUUCAACUAAGUUAUGCAAAGCAUACCAAACCAAUCCCAAGUAUCUUGAAACUCAACUUUGCUGAUAUCAUGAUAUGAAGAUGGCAUCACUUUGAAACCCUUAUCCACACCAUAGAGGGGAUUAGACUCCAUAGAAGAACUUGCGAGCUGCCAUUAAUACUAUAUUAUAUUAGCAUAUUUCAAUCUUUUUACACAUAACAACUAUUACUAAGAAGAUUGAAACAUAAACCAUAAGAUAAAAGGAAAAUGCCACUUUUUUUAUUCUAAAAAUCCAUCAACAUGAGCUACUAUUGUCAACCUUUAACGCCAUAAGAUUCAUUCUGUCCAACAUCUUCCCACGUUUUAGAGAAAUUUAAUGAAGUUGUAUUAAAAAGGAGUUCUCAAAUGUACACAAUCUUUCACUUUUUUUUCGUUGUUCACAAAUAUAAGCGAAUUUGUUGAUAAGCUACAAUAUAUUUUAACCUGCCAUUCAAGUUCUUUGGAACAUGAUACGAUGCCUAAUGCCUAACACAUUGUUCAAUAUGUUUUUGAAAAAAAUGAAAAAUACACUCACACAUUGACAUGCUAAAAAACAACACUAAAGAAAAUAUAUUUCACAGAAUUAAUUUCUUCCGCUGCUUCUAAAUCAGAAGAUCAAUUUAAGCAACUAAGGAUAAAAAUUUAUUGAAAAAAGUGCAAUACAGGAACAAACUUUUUUAGUUCUUGAUAAGGAGAAGUUGAGGAACUAAAGCUGCCAAGAAGAAAACAUAAGGCAAAAGAGAAAAAGAAGUUGGAUACCUGAGAUAAUCGAAGAAGAACCCUAAUUUAUUUUUCCACGGAGAGAGUAGUUGACAGUUUCGUGGCAGAGACAAAGAGGGUGCCGUCGAAUUCUCAUUCCGGUGAACGAAUCGCCACUAACUUCUACAAUUCCCAAAUCAAAAAAUUCCAGUAAGGGUAUGCCGAAACACAAAUCAAAGAUUCAAUUUCUUUGUGUACCGAAUGACACAAAGAUUGAGACUUUUUUUUACUUCUAAAAUUCUACACACUUUCGAGCCCUAAAUUUUCCCGGAAACAAAAGAAAGUGAAAGAAGUUGUACCUGGUUUGAGAGGGCGGACGCUAUCGGCAAGUUUGGUGGAGCAGUGAUGACGAAGAUCUCUGGUGAGAAAGCUAAUAAGAUGGACGAAUCCAUUGAACAAAAAAACCACGAUUUUUAAAAGUAAAGUCAACAAAAAUUUGAACAAAGAAAAAAGAACUCUAAAACCCAACCCGAAACAAAUAAGUCGGAGAACUCACCAGGAAACCCAAAGUUUCUGCAGGAUUGGUGACUUCCUGAAAAUCAAGCUUUUGUAGGUCCCUAAGGCAACAGAUCCAACAUUCUCAACUUUAGCUAUUUCAGCUCAUAACAGAAGAAAUUAUUUAAUUUAACUAUAAUUAACUAACCUGAUUUAAGAUUAAUCGAAAAGCUUGGAAAUUUCAGUUUUAAAAUUACGUCUCAGGCUGCAAACCGAAUAAAAAGCGUUUUAAAACUGUUCACCUUAAAUACAGAGGCCUUCGCAUGCUGCAAAGAAAUAUCAUAAACCCAAAAAAUCAGAUCUCCUGAAACCAAAAACACAACCAAAUUAACCACCAUCACUCAGAAUCCGAACCCACAAACAAAAUCCCCAAAAUCACAACCAAAAAAUUUAAACAAAAAACCCAUUUAUAAAUCCAAAUUUACACUCCCAAGUGCAAGAAUCUAAGCUCCAAUUGUUCUUUCUCAACUUUAGCUAUUUCGGCUACAUAACAUAAAAAAAAAAAAUUAAUUUAACUAUAAUUAACUAAUCUGAUUUCAGAUUAAUAAAAAAGCUUGGAAAUUUAAGCUUUAAAAUCACAUCUCAGACUGAAGUCGAAUCAAAAGCGUAGGGUUUCAAAGCUGCUCACCUUAAAUAGAGAGGCAUCCGCAAGCUGCAAAGACACAUCAGAAACCCGAAAAACCGGAUCCCCUAAAACCAAAAACAAAACCAAAUUAACCAAUUUAUUCGAGCAUUUAGCGUGCUUGUCGAUAUUUGAGUAUAACUUGUGGAUUCCUAUUUUCAUUUUCCGAUUAAACUUCAUCGAACAUGCGGUGAUCUCUAUCUUGUUUGUCUAGUAAGUAUCAAUACGGCUAGGUGUCAUGCACCCGCCCACACCCAACCAAUACAUUUGGACGUUUCCCUCCACAUUUACCCACUUCACUCACUAGUCGCAAAAACCCUGAACCCGCCGCCUUCCUCCCCCUCCAUCGUAACCACCUCAAUGUCCGCCUCAAUCUUCGAAGACGGCUUCUCCUCCGAGCGCCUCUUCAACCAGGGCUACUCCUACACCUACGAUGACGUCAUCUUCCUCCCUCACUAUAUCGACUUCCCCACCGACUCCGUCCAUCCAGCCUCCAACCUCAGCCGCCGCGUCCCUCUCUCGAUCCCCUGCGUCUCGUCCCCGAUGGACACCGUCACGGAGUCCCACAUGGCCAUCUCCAUGGCCGCACUCGGCGGCAUUGGCAUCAUCCACUCCAACUCGACGUCGUCCGAGCAAGCGCACAUGGUCCGGUCCGUCAAGUCCCGCCGGGUCCCGCUUCUUUCCAAUCCCGUAUUCAAAUCCCCAAGCGAUCGAAUCCAAUCCGACGACGUUUUCGACGCUGCCAAUCCCUACAUCCUGGUUACCGAGAGUGGUGGCCCCAGUUCGAAGCUUUUGGGGUACGUGACUGGUAAGGAUUGGGUGAAGUUGGGGGACAAGGAGGUGAAGAUAUACGAUUACAUGGUGAACUGUACGGACUUCACGGUGCCGUGGAGUUACGAUUUGGGGGCGAUUGGGGAGUACAUGGAGCAGAAAAAGCGAGAUGUGGUGGCGACUGUGAAGGACAAUGAGGUUGUGGAUGUGGUGGCGAAGGAGGAGGUGGAGAGGAUUAAGGGGUACCCCAAAUUGGGGGUUGGGACGGUGGGGCCCGACGGGACAUGGCGUGUCGGGGCGGCGAUCGGGACUAAGGAGUCGGAUAAGGAGAGAUUGGAGGAGUUGGUGAAGGCAGGGAUUGAUGUAGUGGUGUUGGAUAGCUCUCAGGGGAACUCCAUUUAUCAGAUUGAGAUGAUAAAGUAUGUGAAGAAAAUGUACUCGAAUUUGGAUGUAGUUGGCGGGAAUGUGGUGACGGUGAGUCAGGCGCAGAAUUUGAUUCAGGCUGGUGUUGAUGGGUUGAGGGUUGGAAUGGGAUCUGGCUCAAUCUGUACCACUCAAGAGGUCUGCGCCGUCGGACGCGGACAGGUAUAAAAUGCCUUCUUUUUGUUGACUUGUUUGUUUUUGUGAUUGAUGCUUUAGGUUAUGUUAUCAUUGGUGGUGUCUAAAUUAAGGCUUGUUAGAAUGUGGAGAGUGUUGAAAGUUAUGAUAUUUGUAGUGAUUGGUUUGAUUGGUUAAAUUGCUUAAAUUCUUAGUGUGUGAUAAAUGUUUGAGUAAGGAUUUGUUUAAUCACUGACAGUGUGCCUACUUAACAAUCAUUGUUUUGAUGGGUGCUUUACUCUCUUGUUAUCAGAUACUUGGAAACAUAGAACUUAGAAAACAAAGGUUUUGACUUUACCUUCUGGUAUCAACAACCAUGUAGUCGAUUAACAUGGUGUAAUUUGUAUUAAUACAUUUCAAAAAGUGGUGUGCCUGUGAUUGCUGAUGGUGGAAUUUCCAAUUCUGUAUCAGGCAACUGCUGUUUACAAGGUUGCAUCUAUCGCUUCACAAAGUGGUGUGCCUGUGAUUGCUGAUGGUGGAAUUUCCAAUUCUGGACACAUUGUGAAGGCCUUGGUCCUAGGGGCUUCUACCGUCAUGAUGGGAAGCUUCUUAGCUGGGAGCACUGAGGCUCCCGGGGCUUUUGUGUAUCAGGUAUGUCUGGGAUUUACUCAUGUUUUUAUUGCUAGAACAGAGAUACUGCUCAUACCAUCAGAUAUAAAAUUUACUUUCACACUUCAUCUCUCUUGUUUGAGUGUGUACUUCAAUAUUUCUUUUAUGACUUUUUGAGUGGUUUAAGGAGUUUAUUGGGCAGAUUUACAAAUACUGAAUUACAGCUCUGGUUGGUAAAGAAACAUACCUAGAAGAUGUGUGUUUCUUAAGUUUGUUAGACAUCCUGAAUUAUUUCUUAUCCUUUUCGGACUGCAUCAAUAUUGUUUGACAUAUCAGUUAUACAUUGAUGUGUUAUGGUUUGCUAUCAAUCUUUAUUGCUUUUACAUCAUUAAGAAUGCCAUUUGUUUGUUUGUAUGGACUCUCUUCCUGAUGACCAGAACUUAAUAAGUUUGAAAGCCUACAGACAGUCAGGUGUUUUGGACUCCUUUGGGUUAGCCCAAGUGGUGAGAGUAAGUGACAAAAUGAGUUAGGAUUAGGCUUGGUAAGGGUCCGUUCCCUGAAACUGUGAUUGGAUUUUUCACAGAUGCAUCUCCAAGCUAAACUUAUGGGGUCCUGUAUUGGACAUAGUAUUUCAUUUCUGUGUGUUUCUUUUUUAAAGGUUAUUAUCUUGUUAAGCAAUUGAUUAAAUUUUCUUAAUUUUGAACUAAAAGCAAAAGUUAUAUAUAUAUGUGUGUGUGUGUGUGUGUGUGUGUAUUGUGCAUAAUUGCACUGGAUUUUCAGCAUACUUGUCUUUUACAAGCAACAUGAUGUUUGUUAUUUCUGUGUCAUUGUUGAUUAGCUUUCAGCAUGCUUAACCUGUGCUAAGGAAACAUGUGAUAUAGUGAUUUCAUGUUUUCUAUUAGAAUGGUCGCCGAGUCAAAAAAUAUCGAGGCAUGGGAUCUCUUGAAGCAAUGACAAAAGGGAGUGAUCAGAGGUACUUGGGGGAUACAGCUAAACUGAAAAUUGCACAGGGGGUGGUUGGGGCAGUUGCAGACAAAGGUUCUGUUUUGAAGUUCAUACCAUACACAAUGCAAGCUGUAAAACAAGGCUUCCAAGAUCUUGGUGCUUCCUCACUGGUGUCUGCUCAUGACCUCUUAAAAUCAAGCAUUUUAAGGCUAGAGGUAAGUAGACCAUUUUGCAUACGUUGUUAUUCAUGUCAUCGUUAUGAAGGAUAUCAUUGUAGUUCUGUGCCUUAAAUUAGAAUUGAUGUUUUAGAUGUUUUAGCCAAUGCUUCUUUAGAUAACUUACUCUUUCGUAGACCGUUGCAUUAUCUGUUGUAUUCUGGUUCGUCACUCUCAAGUUAAAGCUUACUGAAACAAGUGGGGAAGAAAUCCCGUAAUCUAGAGUACUGGUAUUGGGUGUACACUACUUUACUUACAGAGAAGAAGCCUGUUGCCUCUCAGGAUCUUCCCUCUCCCCACUUCUCAGAUAGUUUUCCAGCCCCAUCUAUUACCUAAGGGAAAAGCCCACUCAAUGAUUACCUUGUAAAUGCUUCUGGGACCUGAGAUGUGACGACGGUCGUAUGAAGAACUAAUAUGGUUUCUCAAUCAGUUGACAAUGUAUUGACUAUAUAUGCAGGUAAGAACAGGAGCAGCACAAGUAGAAGGUGGAGUUCAUGGUCUGGUUUCGUACGAGAAGAAAUCGUUUUGAUGGUUAUAUCUUUUCAGCUUUUCUCAUUCCUGCUGGUGACUGCUGUCUCGGGGAAUUGGGAACUCUACCAGCUUUUCCAUUCUGCAACCAAUAUCGCCAAUUUAGCAUGAGUAAAAACUGUGCGACUCGAAAUUAGUACAUGAUAUUAAUCUUUGAACUCUUUUAAGUGUUUUGUAGUUAAUUGAGUAUUUCACGUGUCAUAAAAUCAGUGGAGUACAAAAAAAAUAAAAAUAUUAUUUCCUCCGCUUAUACGAUAACAUAUAGAUUACCGUUUGAAUAGCUGGUACUUUGACAAAUAAUGUGUGAAGCAUGCAUUAGUAAUGAGUUGUUGAGGGUUUGGAAGAUUCAAAGUAUGACAUUGACAUGCUCCUUAAUGAGACUUUUUUUCUUCGAUGCUUAAUUACAUAAUACAUUGACAGGUAGUGAUCACUUUGGAAUGGACAUUUCGAAAUUGAAAACCUCAUACAUAUAUAAUAAUAUGAUGAAAUUUGGUUUUGCCAUAAUUUCAUCAAAACAUGAUUUACAGUUGUAUUAUCUCCAAGUUAUGUUUAUGGAAGACUAAAGUUUGUCAUAAAAUGAUAAGGGUAGUAUGGAUGACUUAAUGGGCAUGCAGAAACCUUGACCAAUGACCUAGAAAUAAUUUUGAGAUUAAUUUGCCAAUACUGAAAUCUUAUAUAUAUUGGCGCAAGUGGUUUCAUAGUAACGAAAUGUGUUGAGCCCUUGCAUGCGGCAUGGGUUCGAAUUUGGUCAGUGACUAAUCUAACAACUAUUCUAACAAAAUCUAUCAUUUGACAAAAAAAAAAAAUCUUUUAUAUAUUGGCAGGCAUAAGCAUUAAAGCAUAGCAUACUUGUGGUUACUAAUCGAAUUAGAGUAAUAUUAGAAAGACUAAAUUUUGUAGAUUAAAUUUAAAAACUAAGUAAUGUGUCACCAAUAAUAAAAAAAAUAAAACGUUAAUCAACACUUAAUUAAUAAUUUAAUUAUUAACUUUUAUGCCAUUUAAAUUAUAAAAUUUAGUAUACAAAUUUGAUUUUCCUAAUAACAUUCAAGGUUAUAGGGGGCAUUCCUCACAUCCUCAGAUAUGUCAACACGAUGGGGAUUUUUUAUGGAAAUAACCUAAUACGUUGAUUAAUUUACUUUGACUACACUAUAACAAAAAUUUAAAUUUCGCCAUGAAACUAACCAACAACAAAUCGAUCCAGUAGUCCAAGUUUGACAUGCAAAAUUUAAUAAAAUUCCCGAUGUAGAACAUUCUUCACAUCCUCAAAGUGCAUGCAUUAUUAAUAUUACUGGUCAGUUGGGUUGGGAAGAUUGAAAGUAUGACAAACUCCUAUCUUCGGGUCCAAUCUGACCUUUUCUUCCAUGCUUAAUUAUAUAUAGCAGGCAGGUCUACCUCGCUAUAUGGGCAUGAGUCAUUGAGAAAGUGAUCACUUAGGAGAGAGAUUUUUCAAGAUGUCCAGAAUACAGGUGAUAUACCACGUAUUAUUAUACAAGUGAUGAGAUACUUGUGUUAAAAAAAUUUAAAAAAUAAAACUUCUAUGCACUUACAUGAUAUCAUGUGGUGUACCACUCAUAUUCCGGAUAUUUUGAAAAAUUUCUCCACCUUGGUCGUUCGACACUGAAACCUCAUAACAAGAAAUAUCUUUUUUUUUUCUUCACUUGAGCCAAAAUUUCAUUAACUCGCAACUUUGACAUUUUUAUUAUAAAAUUAUUGUGUGUGACAAAAAUACGAUAUGUACUCUACCACUAAACAAACCACUACGUACGAGUCCCGUUAUGUAUAUACGUGACUCGCAUACUAUAAUGAAGCUCAUUGAGAGAGUAUGUCAAUUUUGAUUGCUUAUUAUCUAUUUGUAAGGAACUUAAUUAGAAUUCUCAUUCUCAUCAAUGAUAAAUCCAUAAAAACUUUGAUAUAUUCUUUGAGAGUAAUGGCUUUGUUCUAUUCAUGGUGCUACCGUAGAAAAUACUUUAUUUGAAGAUGGUGAUGGUGCAAAUACAUUCCGUGCUUUUAACCCAACUCAAGCUGAAGAAACUUAUUCAAUGGUCACCGUUUUGGUCCCAAAUCUAUGGGGUUGCUUUUUCCAAUAGACGUUGGUUACAUACAUUAGUAUGGAACAUUUUCUUUUCCAAGUGAAAUCCCCUAGUAUAUGAAAGAGUGAAAAUGUGCUUUUGUUGUUGUGGAAUAAGAAGCCUUCAUAUCUUAAUGCAUGUAUUUAAUUUAUUCAGAUGGAGUAUUAGAACGAAAAAAUCCAUUAGAUAAUGAACUAUUGGUUCUAAGCCAUCUUUGGCGAUGAAUUAACAAUUCGAAGUACCUUUCUUGUGUAUUCUUGAUAAACCCGACAGCCAACCCAACAACAAUAACAGAAGCGGCAGAAAUUAGUGGAUUCAUGUUAAGUUCCUUGCACCCCCCACAAAAAUAGAAAUCAACUUUUAAAAUCACAUUUGCAAAUUAUGUGAUGUGUCACUAAUAGGAAAUAAGCACGUUAAUUAAUACUUAAGUUUUUGUUCAAAUAAAAAUUAGUACUUUUUUUUUUUGAAUUGGAAGCGAUAUAUUCAUUAAUCAAACUCAUAAAGAGUUACAUAAAUCUUGGAAAAAAAGCUCCUGAAUAAGGAUAGGAGGCUCCUCAAACCAAACUAAAUUAUUGCCAAUAGACAAAGCAAACUUUGCAAGAUGGUGUGCAACACCAUUACAUAAGCGAGAGACAUGGAAAAAGCUCACCAUAGAGAAAGCUGAUGCCAGCUGUAGUACAUCAUCCGCUAUCAUACUAAUCGCCGAUGAGUUUGAAUGAGUCCGAGUCCGAUUAAGAUUUGUAAUGGCCUUCAUGCAGUCACUCUCUACCACGAUCGGUUGGAAAAACCUUGCUGCUGAGCCAUCUGCAAGCCAAACCUAACCGCAUACAGCUCUAAAAUCGAAAUGGAGAUAAUGCCUGGGAACUGUUACACCCCUGCCACCAAGUGGCAUUCCCUUCCUUCCCGUAUCACCACCCCCACACCACUUAGCUUGUCUUGAACAUUUAACACCCCAUCAGUGUUAAUUUUAACCCCCACCCCCCGCCCCCCGUGAGUAAGGGGAGACCCCUCGUCCUUGUUGGUUUCCUAUUAGCCUCCUGAAACGCCGUCAACCAAGAAAAUACCCGUUGCCAAACGACCAUGGGUAGAACACUGGAACCUUUCCACACCCGUGCAUUCCGUUCCUGCCAUAUACCCCACUUCAUCAUGCAUACCAAAUCGAAAUCCACCUCCCGCCAUUUAAGCACCUCUAACAACCACUUCUUAAGCAAAAAGGGGAAUUCCCAGACCCCCUUAGGCCCGAACUAAACCAUACUGCUUUGGCAAAGGAACAAGUAAGAAAGACAUGUUCCACAACCUCAUCCUCUCCCUGACAAAUCCUACACUCCGGCUCCAAUCCCACACCUUUCUUUCUAAGAUUCACUUUAGUAGGAAGAAUGUUGUGACGCACUCUCCAUGUGAAAUUUUUCACUUUAGGUGGGAUGUUAGCCUUCUAAAGGUGCUUCCAUAGUCUCGCAUAAGCAUUAACAUUCGAAGAAGAUGAGACACUACUAUCCGCAGACUGCAGCCAUUGCCGAGCCACCCAAUACCCGCUUCUGAUGGAGAAAAGUCCCCGUUCAUCAUAGUGCCAUACCAAUCAAUCCCGCCCCUCCAAGUUGUUUCUAAGCACUCAACACCUUAUUAAAAUCUCCCACACACAACCAUGGGAGUGAGCAUUGCUGACUUAACAUAGCCAACAACGUCCAUGACAAAUGGCGCUCCGUCAAAUUUGGGUACCCGUAGAACCCCGUAAAUCUCCACCAAGCUGAGGCCCCUCCAACCCUACAUUCUGCAUCAAUGUGAUUCGGGGAUGAAGACCGAACCACCAACUCCACUUCUUCCUUCCAAAGUAAGCAUAAACCCCCUGACCUUCCAUUACUCGCCACUGUAACUGAAUUCUGAAAACCCAAACCACCUCUCUUCAUCUCCAUACCUUGAGAACUAAUUAUCAACAAUUAUAUCAUAAAGUUUACAAAAUAUAAUUUCAAUAAAUAGUCUCUGUUUGGGUUAAAACUUAAAUUUUGGGCUUUGGGGAAGUUGGCCCAAAAAGAGAAAGAAAAGCCCGAAGUUAGCCGAAGUCCAGGAGAUAGGAGAAGCCCGUUUCUGACUAGGUGCAGACCAUGCAGACCACUUGCUUACCUACCCAAAGGCCAAGUGGUAUAGACCAGCCAGCUAUACAGCCCAAAAAGUACUUUUAGAUGGCAGUACAAGUAAAAUAGCUAAUGAUUCACUACCCUUCAAAUUGCAUUCGGGCAAGAUUGUUGCUACAGGAUGCCAAGCCAAUGUGUCUAUAAAAGGAGCAGGAGAGGUCAGAAUCAAGGACACUCAAACAAACAAAUACAAGCACAAACUCUGCUCAAAGCCAGAUUUGCCUUCAAAACGAAGCUGCAGUGAGCCCAAGCCUUCAUCCCUUUCGGGAUAAACCUUUUGUAAUAGCUCUGCUACCCUGCUCAACUCUUGCUGUAGUAUCGAUUCCUCCUGUAAACUCACCUCCCUACCCUUUUUCUAAGCUUUCAAACCUUUUGCAAGACGAUCAGCCUUGCCCGACAAGGUUAAACCUUGCCCGACCCUCUUUGUUUUUGUUUGUGCAUUCAUUAGCCUAGCAAUAUGUUGUAUACUACAAGUUAUAUCCAAGUUAUUUCUAGUAAUAUGGCUAUCAAAAGAUUCUCUCAGUGCUUAGAUCCGAUUUGAAUAUGUCUCCACAGUUCAACUCAGAUCUAAGUUCUAAGCCCUCGGGCAUAUAAGAUUUGAUCACCCUAAAAGUCCUUGCCCUCAAGGCAUAAAAAAGAACAUGAUGUGGACUUAACCCAUCCACUACAAGCUUUGAUAACAAGAAGUCCGAAGUUACUUAGGGCGCAAGUAAUUGACCUGUCACUUAGUUUUAUUACUGUGAUAUUAUGAUUACCAUAUAACGUUCGGGGACGGGAUGAAUUCUGAUGGGAAGCCUCAAGGCCUACACCUAAGGCCCCACAAAGGCACCUAUUUGGAUUCAUCCUGUUUCUCGGGCAAGAACAUUGAGAAUGGAAGGGGUUCUAAUGGGAAGCCUUAAGGCCUAUUCAAGGCCCCGCAAAGGCACCUAUUUGGAUCCAUUCUGCUAUUUAAGUUCAGGUAAUCAGAAGUAUGAUGGUUAUAAGAUCUACAUAACCAAGAAAAGGAACCUUAUAUGUUCAAAUAUUAAGUUAGUUAUUUAUGGGAAGCCUCAAGGCCUAUACCUAAGGCCCCACAAAGGCACCUGUCAAUAACUAACAUAGUCUUUCGAAUAUAUAAUUAAACUCAAACAUCCGUUCUAUAUCUGCCAUACUGAAGAUGGCAGUGGCACGCCUGAACACUUAUAAGUUAAUCUUGAUUGUGAGCCUCAAGGCCUACACCUAAGGCCUCACGAAGGCACCUUUCAAAGUUAACUCUGUCCUUCUCUUUCAGCCUUGCCCGACAAGCCCGCUAGUAAAGCAGGAGCCCGACAGAAAAGCAUCAACCGGCGCCAAACCUCUCGGGGAGCUGUGUGCUCGUCGGACAGGAAGCAUUCCCCACGGGAAAUUUCCACAACGAACAGUCUCUCUCUCUCUCUCUCUCUCUCUCUCUCUCUCUUUCUAUAUAUAUAUAUAUAUAUAUAUAUAAUGAUAGCAUAGCAUGUCACACAUAUGUAAAGUCUCAUAUAUAUUCUUUUACCGGUGUUAAUUUGUAUAUGUUAUAUAUCAGUUUAUUAUUUGUAAUUUCAUUGCAGAAGUGAAGAUUAGGCCACAAAGUUGAAUGUAAUACACACUUAUAGCAGUAUAAAUGUAAAUAUACUGAUAGACAUACAUGUACACAUUUCUAUGUAAAAAAGUACACAUCUAUAUGUAAAAAAGUACACAUCUAGACUACAUGUAAGUUUAAUUUUUCUCAUAUUAAUAAACAUAGAGCUUUCUCGUUUAUGCUUAAAUUUGCUAGGGCUUGUGAAUUUAUCCAUGGAGUUUAUAAAAAAAUAUUUUGUUAUUUUUCAUCAAUGAAGUUCCUUAUAUUUUGUCAUCGCAGAAAAGCGAAUGGUCAGUAGGUCGCAUCUGCAAAUGAAGAAUAUUAUUGUAGCAAAUCCAAGGCCGCCUGGAUCAACCGGCUGAGAUGAUAUACAUGACCAGUUUCUUACGACAGAGAUAGAUUCAUAUAUAUAAGAUCUUAUGUGGAACCACAUUUGUAUGACACAUAUGAUUGUAUCAAUAUAUAGAGAUGUACUCAAUUUUUAUGUUCCAAGUAUAGGACUAUACAUUAUACAUGUGUUGUAUCAAUAUUCGGAUAUUGAAUAUAUAUAUUUUAUCAUCAUAAACAUGCGGCUUAUAUAUAUGCAAUGAAAAGGCAUCGUCCGUUUGAUUAUUAUUAUUAUUAUUAUUUUAAUAAAAUUAUGAAUUUUUCGAAGUCCAUUUAUUUAUGCUUGAGAUUCUUUUAAAGAGGGUUAUUUGAGGAACACGAUAAACUAUAUUUGAUUACAUAGUGUUUACAUACCCCUCAUGAUUUGCAAAAUGUUGGAUAAUUAAAUCGAGAUACGGAAAUAUAAAGAAAUUUCGUAUUGAUGGAAAUUUGUGGAUCGAGGCUCUCAUGUAUAAAACGCGUAAAGACCUUGACUUACUUAUAAUUUAUACACAAUUAGUAAACGCCCUAACAACUACACUUUUUUUUUUUAAUAGAAAACCCUUAGAAAGUCAAAUUUUAUUUGUCUCAUAUUCUCCAAUGAAAUGAGAAAUUAUUCAAGAAAAAGCUAGCUAAUUAUUUUGAGUGGGUCUUUGGUGUUUUAGAAUUAUUAUUAUUAUUAUUAUUUUGUAGUUGAGCUUAGGGUUCUCAAAAGUGUUUUUUUGUUUGUUUGUUUUGGGUGUGGUUUGGUGUUAGAUAUGGGAUUAACUUGAUGCUAUAACUUUUAUAUAUAAAAAGCGGGACAUUUGGAUUGCUUGAAAAUUUAUUUAUAUGUUUGUAACUUUCUAGUCUUUGUAUAGACUAUUAUCAUGUUUGACCCAUUUGAACAGUCAAUUUGAUUUUUGUUUCCCUAAACUUUGUACGCAAGUAAUACAGGUAUAUGAACUUCGUCUACAAAUGCAGUGGGCCCUGUAUUUCGGUAUUACUCUGAAGAAUGGUAUGAAUUAAGUUUGGCAAUUUUUUGUAUGGACAGUUAACACAUCAUGAAAUAAUACGAAAAACAACAAGUUUCAGGUCAAUCUAUUAACGAACCGUGUCGUUAUCUGUCAUCUGUUAAGAACAUGUUAAGAUAACGAGUAUUACAUGAAAACGAACAAGUCAGGUCCAGACAUUAGGAAUGACAAUUUCUUGCAUAACCGAUUAUGCUAACACAGAAAUAAUAGGUUUCGGGUCAAACUAUUAAUGAAUCGAGUUGAGUCGUUAUUUGGUAACAUGUGAAGAACCCGUUAAGUUAACAUAUUUGCCACAAACAAUUCAUUAAAAUAAUGGGUAUAAUACGAAAAUGACAAAGCCUCACAAUGUGCUAGGAGUGGGUUCAUUAAAACCGAAAAUCGGAAAAAAUUGAACCGAAACCAAAAAACCAAAAACCGAGCUGAAAAAGAAAAAAUUGAACCGAGCCGAACUUUAUUGGUUUUGUUUUGGUUUUGGAUGUUCGAAAACCGAACCGAACCAAACCAAACCCCUUUACACUAUAUGAAUGUAUGCUCCUGAUGUUUCUUUUGUCAAACUUUGUUGUCAAAUUUGAAACUAAGCUUAGGGCUUUUUCAAGGAGCAUAUAUACUUUUUGAUUGGUUAUAAAAUAAAGUUUUGGAAGACAUUGGAACUUGGAAGAAUUUCUCUAUUUGUUUGCUUUUGGAAUGGAUACGGUGAUCUUUUUAUUUUUAAUUUUUUUUUUUUUUGCAAUUGAGGUUGUUGACAGUGGCGGAUCUAGAAUUUUAAUAGUGGGUGGUCCCAAUAUAAAAGUUCCAUAAAAUUAAACGAAAGUAACAUUGAAUAAUUAAACAAUGAAUUACAAUUUUUCAUUCAUAAUUUUGUACAAACAAGAUUACAAGGUAUAAAAACUAAAUUUUUCUACGACGAGAUUUUAUACUCUGAAAACAUUUCAUGAUAGUUUCAUUGUCAACGCAAAAAAAAAAAAAAAGUCUUUCUCAAUUGAACAACUAAGCCAUCAUUUAACCAUUGUUCCUCUAUUUUUUUUUUUGCAGAGUGAAUAUUCAUGGCGAAAAAUCUACACCCAUCAAUUAACCAAAAUAAAAAACUAUAUUAAUUGAUAAAGCUAAAAACAUAUAAAAGAACUAACAAACAUAUCAUCAAAUAAUAUUAAAAAAUCAUAACAAAUUAACAAAAACAAAAAUCUAUUAUGGAAUUAACAUUUUAUAGUAUUUUGACAUAAAAAAACAUUUUAUAGUAUUAAUUUAAAAUAAAAUAUAACACUUAAAUUUAGGAAUGAAAUGAUUAAGUGGUGGAGGAGAAAAUAUAUUAGAAUUGAUAGAGUGGAUAGUUAAAUAGGGAAUUAUAAUUAGAAUAGGUAAAGUGAUGAAAAGGACUAUAGCUACACAUUUUGAUAAGUUGAGGGACCAAUGAUAAUGUAUUUUUAGUUGAGGGACCAUUGCUCUAAUUUGAUUAAAGUUGAGGGACCAUUACUAUAAUUGACUCUUUUUGGUUCAAUACGCUACAUUUUUUUCUACCCACUUCCUAAUGAGUCAUUGACAAAGUUAUUAAUUACGUUGGACAUUUGAGGGGAUUUUUUUUUUUUGUAAUAAUAAUAAUUAUUAUUUUUAUAUCUUUAACGAGACAUUCGAGAGUGAAACCUCAUAACACAUUUCUGUUUGGAUUUGUCCCAUAACCGUAACAUGUUAUUUGACAUUUUUAUUAUUUCAUCACGAGCAACAAUACUUAUUAACAAUUUUUUACAUAAGCGAUAUAAUAUACAAACAAAAAAAUUGCAACACUCAAAUAAUGUAACUUGAAAAGAUGAUAUGUUUUUCAAACCGAUAGAAAGAAACAUUGCAACGAAGGACAAAUAUGACACCAAAUAAUGAGUAAAUCUUCUCAACUAACCAAUCACAACAUAAUUUUCGAGACGAAUCUUAACGCAAAGCUCACAUAGAGAAUCAUGCAUGACCAAUAAAAUGUAUAAUCCUGAUUUAGUCAGCAAAAUAACACAGAUGUUCUUGUAAAUUGAGAUCAAUUUAAAAAAAGAUGUUAAAAAGACCAUUUUUUAGAUCAUAUUUUAUGGAUCAUAUGAUGUGACGAUUGAUGAUUGAAUUAUUUCUUCAAAGUUUAAAGAAAAACUUCAACCAUUAACUGCCACAUCAUAUAAUUUAUAAAAUAUAAUAAAAAAGGGGAAUACAUGAGGUUGUGGUCGACCCUCAAACCAAAGCCAUGAGUCGGGGGCUAUGGUGUAGGACUUGUUAGAUUAAAUGUAGAAUUAUGGAGAAUAAUCCGAAUAAUGACUUUGAGGUACGACUUGAAUCGUUUCCUUAAAGUGUUAUUUGCCCCCACUCGAAUGAGUUUGCUAAAGGGUUCUUGGCAAAUCACUUCCAGGAUACAACAAAGUAUGAAAUAUUCGAUUAGCAAAACCGAAUUAUAUUCCCUUAGAAAUAACUAGAAAGAAAUUGUAUGAAUGUGAUGAAGAGAGUAGAGAGAAAUGAAUGUAGAAAUAAAUCUCUGAAUUGUGUAUGAAACAUUAUGCCACAAUAGGUAUUUAUAGGCAUUAAGGCACCCAUUCAUCGAGUCCUUUCAUUUUAAUUGAAGAUAUACAACUCUUCUUAAAAGUGUUGAUCUAAAAGACAUGUCCUCUAUUUAGAAUUUUCAGAAAAUAAAUAUUUACUAAUUAUAUCUUUUAAUUUUACUCAUACAAUUUGAGUAAGCAUCAUAUCUUUUAACUAAAAGUUGUAACCAUUCAACUAAUUACAUUCUGCGUACUGCAGCACCCUUACAUUUGCUGCGCACUGCAACAUCCUUUCAUAAUACACACACGCUGCACAAUGCAGCACCAAGUCAUUAUAUAUAUAUAUAUAUAUGUAUGUAUGUAUAAAUAUAAUAUAAUAUAUAUCAUAAUAAUUUAUAUAUUUAUUAUUGAAAUCUCUAACAAGGACUUUCUCAUUUCUCUCUAGCUAGGGUUUUCUUUCACUCUAAUGUCACUAAAAUUCUUACUAACAAUAUUUGUAACAAAAUAAUGUGUGUAAUGUGUAAUACUAAACAAAUUAAACUCUAUCGUUUCUUACAAAAGAAAAAAAAAGAAAAAAAGAAAACCUCUACGAGUCCCACUGUGUACGGGUCCGGAUUUGUUGCAUCAAUUUCUUAAACAAUAGUGGAUAUAGGUUAGUUUUUAAGGAACAGGGUGGAAUUGAUAAAUGAUGAAUGCGCAAGACUUUGACUAGCAUGCAAUAUUUAGGUAUCGUUUGAGGAUUUGGAUCAUAUCCGGAUCCAAAUUGUGGGGAUUCUAAGAAUCUUCACAUCUUAGGUAUUCAUCAUACAUCGUGCGAUCAUAAAUAAUUUGAAUUUUAUUAAUUAAAAUUAAACACAAAUAGUAACUAACGAAAAUUGUCCAUUAAAAAGAAUCCCUAGGAUCUCCAUAAAAAGAAUCCGAAAAGGAUCUUCAUCCAUCGUUUGACAUGUCAUUUUAGACAUCCAAUUGUAAGGAGUAAUCAAUCUAAGGGCUAUACUCUUGACAAGUGUCAUAAGCUUAGACAAGUAGUUAGUAGUUUGUUAAACAGUUAGGCAACAUGAGUUGUAUAUAAGAACUAUAAGGAUGAUGUAAACAUAACAUUGAAAAAUAUAAUCAAAGUCAAACAUAUUACUUCCUCUCUAAGUAUUCUCUCUCUCUCUCUCUCUCUCUCUCUCUCUCUCUAUUUCUCUCUCUAAGUCUGAUAUAAUCUUCUUCUCCCUCUUCUGUAUAAGAUCAAGAUUGGUUAACAUGGUAUCAAUCGCCGUUCCAGCUUCAUCAGUGUUCAUUUUGAUGCAAGUCUAACGACUUGGCUGUUCUUCGAUCUUGGAUUCUUGAAUUGGAUUGGAUUCUUGGUUUUUUCUGUUUUAGGGCUUCUUCUAUUUCAUCUUGGGAUCGCAUUCUUCGUUUUUGGUAGUGCACGCCAACUGUUUGUGUUUUGCUCCCUGAGAAUUGUCUUCUUGUUGAUCAACAAUGGUGACCGCCAUUCAGUUACAUAUAUUGCAGUUUCCUAUAACCUCUCUCAUUUCAUCGGUUUCAACCUCUGUAACGAUGAAAUUGGAUGAUACCAAUUACCUAACUUGGCAUUUCCAAAUGCAACUCUUAUUGGAAGGCCAUGGAAUUAUGGGUUUUGUUGAUGGGUCUACGCCAUGUCCUCCUCGGUUUCUUGCUUCUAAAUUUGGAGAUUCAGAACCUUCAUCUGGGCAACCAUCUGAUCCGUCCUGUGUUCAUAAGGAAUCAGAUGACUACUUGGUUUGGAGGAUGCAUGAUCGAGCAUUGAUGCAACUCAUCACUGCUACUUUAUCUCCACCAGCGAUUUCUUGUGCAAUUGGAAGUACAAGUGCUCGAGACUUAUGGACUCGACUCAAAGAACAGUUCUCCACUGUUACUCGGACAAGUAUUUUUCAGAUGAAGUCUGAGUUGCAAAUUAUCAAAAAGGGAACUGAUUCUGUCACUGUGUAUCUUCAACGAAUUAAAGAAGCUAAGGAUUAUUUGUCAGUUGUUGGGUUUAUUUUGAGGAUGAUGAUAUUGUGAUUCUUACCCUCAAUGACCUAUCUUUUGAGUACAACACAAUUCGGUUUGUGAUACUGGGGCGUGAAUCAGUUAUUUCAUUGAAGGAUCUUAGGUCACAGUUGCUUGUAGAAGAAGCCAUGAUUGAGACUCUUAAUACUGCUCCUAUGAUUAAUGCCUUAGUGGCUCAAUCUCCAAAACCCUCCACUUUUCAGUCACAGUCUCAAUCUGGGAGGCCAUAUCCUUCAUAUAACACUAAUCCUGGCUAUAAAUCUUUUACCAAUAAGAAUAAGGGCAUAUUCAAUUCGACUACCAGGUUCAAUAACUCUAAACCGUUCUUCAACAAUGGUAAUUUUGGUUCGGGUAUUCUUGGCUUGGCUCCACAGUUUGGAACAACUCCACUCAUUCCUUGUCAAAUCUGUGGCAAGACAAAUCAUUUGGUUGACACAUGUAGGUUUCAGUCUUCUCAAGGAUGUCAGAUUUGUGGCAAACCUAAUCAUAUGGCUAUUACUUGCAGAUUUCGAAAUGUUGCUCAGUCUAAUGGUUGUCAAAUCUGUGGUAACCCAAAUCAUAGUGCCGAGUUCUAUUUUCAGAAAGGUUCUUCCUCUCCAAUGACUGCCAUGUAUGUCAAUCACAAGUCUGAUAAUUCAACUGCACCUCCAUUGCCUUUUGCAUUGCCUCAACAAGUUUGGAUCACAGAUACUGGAGCUACAAAUCAUAUGACCACUGAUUUGUCCAAUUUGUCACUUGCUACACCAUAUCAUUCUCAUGAAUCUAUUCAAAUAGCUAAUGGUGCAGCUUUACCUAUUUCUCAUAUUGGUCAUUCCACUCUUCAUACUCCAUUGCAGUCUUUUCAACUAAAGUCUGUUCUAUAUGUUCUGAAAUUAACACAGAAUCUGUUAUCUGUCCAUCGUAUCUGUUUGGACAAUAAUUGCUGGUUAAUUUUUGAUGCAUUUUGUUUUUGGAUUUAGGACAAAACCACAUGGAGGAUUUUAUACAAAGAGCAGUGCAGUAAUGAGUUAUAUCCAAUCAUUUCUCCAUCAACACCUGUUUCAGUAAAGAAGGCUUAUGCAGCUGCCUAUCUUGGACAACAAGUUACCUCACGACUUUGGCACCACAGAUUAGGUCAUCCAUCUAAUUCCAUAGUCUCUCAAAUUCUUCUAAAGUCAAAUGUUCCUCAUACUCUUAAUUCUUUACCUAGUGUUUGUUCUACAUGCUUAGAGGGCAAGUUUAGUAGACUACCAUUCCCUAUGUCUUCAUCCAAAUCUGUAAAACCUUUUGAGAUUGUGCAUAGUGAUGUUUGGGGCCUGGCUUCUUGUAUUUCUGUUGAAGGUUUCAAUUACUAUGUUACUUUCAUUGAUGAGUGUACUAGGUUUUGUUGGAUUUUCCCAAUUUGCAAUAAAAGUGAUGUUGGUACUACCUUUGUCUCCUUUUAUAAUUUCAUUGUCAAUCAAUUCAAUGCUUCAGUUAAAGUGUUGCAAUCUGAUGGUGGGGGUGAAUAUAUAGGCAAAUCCUUUCAAAAAAUUUUGGUAACCAAAGGCAUUAGUCAUCACAUGUCUUGUCCACAUACCCCAGAGCAAAACGGGCUUGCCGAGAGAAAACAUAGACAUAUUAUAGAGACAUCCAUUACUCUUUUACAAACAGCUUCCUUACCACCUUCUUUUUGGUCAUUUGCCUAUCAUACUUCAGUAUACCUAAUCAAUCGCAUGCCUUCUUCCACUUUACAUAAUAAAUCUCCUUUUGAGGUCUUGUUUAAUUUUAUUCCUGAGAUUCAUCAUCUCAGAAUAUUUGGUUGUUCAUGCUACCCUUUACUUAGGCCAUAUACACAUAACAAACUACAACCUCGGACCACCAAGUGUAUCUUCCUAGGGUAUGCGUCCAAGUAUAAGGGUUACAUUUGUUUUGAGGUCAAUACCAAGAGGGUUUAUAUAUCUCGGCAUGUUCUGUAUGAUGAAACUGAGUUCCCAUAUUCUACUUUAGUCCCUAAAUCCUUAUCAGUGUCUACUAUAUUGCCUCCUAUGCAAACCUCUAUACCUGUACCAAUCCCAAACCUUCAUAAUGUCAUAGUUCAUCCUAGUUUUGAAUCUGUGCCUAUUUCCUCAUCACUGUCAGUGUCCUCAGCACCCAUUACUGAAUUUGUGUCCACUACGACUGCACCCCUGAAUGCUUCCAGCUCCAGUUCUUCCAUUCUUCCAUCACCCAUUACUGCCACUGCUCAACAAUCCUCUACUUCACUCUCUGUGGUUCCUGAUUUCCAAGGGGACCAACUUCAGGUGGUUUUGUCCAUACCACCAUUAAAUUUGCAUCCUAUGCAGACUCGGUCCAAGAGUGGGAUCUCUAAAAAGAUUGCUUUAUUAGCUUCUGUUCAUGAACAUGGUGGUGCUGAUCUAACUAAAAUUGAACCUGCCACAUACAAAUCUGCUCUCAAGUCUCCAAUAUGAUUGGCUGCAAUGAAGGAUGAGUUGAGUGCUCUCCAUAGUCAUGGCACUUGGUCUCUUGUCCUUUUUCCUCUUCACAAAAAUCUAGUCGGCUGCAAGUGGGUCUUCAAGAUUAAAAAGAAUGCAGAUGGUUCUAUAGGGAGGUAUAAGGCUCGUUUGGUGGCAAAGGGUUAUAAUCAAGAAGAAGGAAUUAAUUAUGGUGAGACGUUUAGUCCCGUUUUUAAACCCACUACAGUCAGGUUAUUACUUGCUUUGGCUGCUUAAUUUAAUUGGACCCUUCGCCAACUAGAUGUGAAAAAUGCUUUUCUGCAUGGUGUGUUACAAGAGGAAGUUUUUAUGGAGCAACCUCCAGGUUUUCUGGACUCUACUCACAGUGAUUAUGUUUGUAAGUUGCACAAGUCCUUAUAUGGUUUCAAACAAGCCCCAAGGGCAUGGAAUGAGAGGUUUACUAGUUUCUUACCAUCUUUGGGGUUUCAAUCUACCAAUAGUGAUUCAUCUCUGUUUGUUAAAGUUGAGAAUGGUUGUGUUGUGAUCCUAUUAUUGUACGUUGAUGAUAUUAUCAUCACGGGCAGUGCUUCUCAAGCUAUUUCAGAUGUCAUUCAUGCCCUUGCUCGAGAAUUUGAUAUUAAGGAUCUCAGGAUGUUACAUUACUUUCUUGGGAUUCAGGUUAUUCAUAAGCAGGAUGGAUUAUUUCUGUCUCAAGGUAAGUAUGUUACUGAUUUGCUUCUUAAAUCUGGAAUGAAGAUGUCUAAGCCAUGUGCUACUCCAUGUUUACCCUAUAAUCGAUUGCUCAAAGAUGAUGGGAAGCCAUAUAAUAAUCCAGCUUUGUAUAGAAGUCUUGUGGGACCCCUUCACUAUCUUACUUUCACUCGGCCAGAUAUUGCAUUUGCAGUACAUCAAGUAUCUCAGUUUAUGCAGUGCCCUAUGGAAGCUCAUUUUGUGGCAGUAAAAAGAAUUUUGCGCUAUUUGAAAGCAACUAAAGGUUGUGGUUUGCAUUAUACCAAAGGAGGGUUCGAUUUACAAGCUUUCAACAAUGCUGAUUGGGCAGGGGAUCCCAAUGAUCGUCUAUCCACUACAGGCAUGGUUGUAUUUCUUGGUUCUAAUCCUAUUUCCUGGUCCUCAAAGAAACAGAAUAUUGUAUCUCGAUCCUCCACUAAGGCCAAGUAUCGAGCACUAGCUUCCACAGCUGCUGAGAUAGAUUGGAUUACUUAAUUGUUAAGGUUCCUGCAAGUUUCUAUUUCUGGUAUCCUUACCCUUUAUUGUGAUAAUCUUUUUGCAAUUGCUCUUACAUGUAAUCAUGUUCAGCAUCAGCGCACAAAACACAUUGAAAUCGAUGUUCAUUUUGUGAGAGAAAGGGUGGCUAAAAGCUUGUUGCUGGUUCAAUUUGUCUCUUCCCUUGAGCAGUUUGCAGAUAUCUUAACUAAAGAAUUGUCUGCUCCAUUAUUCAAGACUCAUUGUUCCAAUCUCAGACUCAGUGUUGCUGCCCCUGAGAUUGAGGGGGGAUGUAAGGAGUAAUCAAUCUAAGGGCUAUACUCUUGACAAGUGUCAUAAGAUUAGACAAGUAGUUAGUAGUUUGUUAAACAGUUAGGCAACAUGAGUUGUAUAUAAGAACUAUAAGGAUGACGUAAACAUAACAUUGAAAAAUAUAAUCAAAGUCAAACAUAUUACUUCCUCUCUAAGUACUCUCUCUCUCUCUCUCUAUCUCUAAUUCUCUCUCUAAGUCUGAUAUAAUUUUCUUCUCCCUCUUCUGUAUAUGAUCAAGAUUGGUUAACACCAAUAAAUUUAACUAUUUAAUAAAAAUCCGAUGUUUGGUGUGCUUAUGUAUAAAAUUAGAACCGAUUUAACUGCCCACCUAUUUUAAGCAUAUACGUCAACUAAUUAUUUUCUUUUGGCAAAAAUGAUCUUUAAAUUACUGUAGUGAGAUUACAUUGCAAGAUGAGACGGAAUAAAAAUAAGCUAGAAGGAGCAGGUACUUGCUUCAUUCCGCAAGUCUAAUACCAACAUUUGUAUACGAGCUUGAUAUAAUUGCAUUACUUGCGUACACAAAAACUAAUCAUCUCCUUAAACUGGCUAGGGUUUUCAUGCAUAACUGGAAGCUGGUUCAUAGUCCAGCUUUGUACCUUAGUUAUUAUUAUUUUCUUAUUUAUAACGGAUUUGGAUUCCAUCCAGAUUCUCUUUGUGAGGAUCCAAUCCUCACAUCUCAUCCAUUUAUCUUACAUCGUGCGGCUAUAAAUCAUUUUGAAUUUUUUAAUUAAACACAAACAGUAUCUUACGAAAAUUGAUUGCACGAUGUACGAUAAACGGAUAGGAAUCCUCACAAAGAAAAUUUGGAGAGGAUCCUCAUCCAUUUAUAGCUUUUAAUAUACGUCAAUAUAUUAUUAAUUAUCUCAAACUUAUGUCCAAGUCAUUUGGUUUUAAAUUUGACUGGGGUUGGGAUCCGAAUCACGUACAUAUACGAUCUCCAUUGUAUGAAAGAUUGAACUAGUCCAUUAAUUUGACUUAGCAUGCAGUAGUCAGUCCGAUGCCAAAUAAGUACUAAUAAUUAAAAAAAAAAAAAAAAAGGCUAAAACGCGUUUAGAUAUGUGGUGUCGCCUAGAUCGCAUAAUAUAUAAAGGGCUAGCUUUAGCUGAUAGCUAGCAACGGGAAGGAAGGAGCCAAACUUUUGUAUCUCCAGCUAGUAAUUAAAAUGGUUCACAAUCACAAGGCCUGCGGUGUUUACAUGAUUCCCUUCUUUCUAUUGCUAUUGUUCUCAUCAAAAUUAGUCUUUGCCAAUGUUUCUGAACAUCCAGUACACAGUUACUCUCUCUCUCUCUCUCUCCCCCAUAUUAAAUUCUUGUCUAGGGUUGAUAACUAUUUCGUCUGCAAUUUUUUUAAAUGAAAAUUAAACGCUAUAUAUAUUUUUUUAAAUCUGUCUUGAUUUCUAUUUUUUGUUUUCAGUUUCUAGUUCUCAAACAAAUGAAAAAUAAAAUUUAAAAAAAAAACCAGAAAAUUGGAAAGGUUGCCAGCCUUCAACAUCUAUAUGUUAACUAAUUAUGAAAGUUUCUUCUUGUCAUUGCGUAUGAUGCAGGGAAGCUGAUGAUUAGCAGGUCGCAUCUGCAAAUGGAGAUCAGUUUAGCAAGGAAAGUGCAGUCAAUAGACGUACCAAUAGGUUCUAAGCCACCUGGAAUAGGAAGGGAAGCCCCAUGAGCCGGCCAUCUAGGACCCAUCAGGGAUCGCCCCUGAUUGCAAAUAAUUUUUUUUUAUUAUUGAAUAAAAUAUUAUUCAAAGUUAAAUUACGGAAAAUUCUUCCAUGUUACAUAGCAUUAAAUGCUAAUAGUAUUGAAUGAUCUGGAGUGGUCUUGUAGAGAAAUUUUUCAGUGUACCGGAAAACAUGGUCUUACUCCGAUACACCAAAUGUCAUUACAUAAAUAAUUAGAAAUUUCUUUUCAACUUUCCAUCCAACACUAUUAUUACAUUUUAUGUAUCAGACCUUGAUCCAAAUAGACUGAAAAAUCUCUCAGUUUCGUGCAUCCAUACCAUCUGUAGCAUAGAAAUGGAACCCUUACAUUAUAUCAUAACAAUUAUACCAGUUAUUUCGUCCUCAUAAACUUGAUACACAAACUACUUUUGUAUUCAGUACAUGCGUGUUAGGGUUGUUCUCAUGUUUAUGCCCUGUACUUUGUAUUCAAGCAAUUGCUCAUUUACUUCAUCUUUUCGUUAAGUACUUCAGAUGUUUUCAACUUUUUAUGCUUCAAAUAUUUUUAACACUUUCUAGACAGCAGCAACUAAUUACUAAAAGGUUUCUUAUUUUUUUCGGCUAAAUAGCCAAAAUGGUCCUUGAGAUUUGCAUAAUCAAUAGAAAUGGUCUCUGAGAUUGAAAAUCAAUAGAAAUGGUCCCUGAGAUUGUCCAUCAUCCAUGAUUUUGGUCAUUCCAUUAAAAAACUCUUUAGACAAUUUUCAAAGCUUCGUAACUCAAUCGAUUCUUAACCAAAUUCGACCCAUAAUAUAUCAAAAUGAAGAUAGGAAAGUGUAGAACAAGAUUAUACCUAUUUGGAAGCCCAAUGGUUGCCGGAGAUGGCCGGAAAAUAACCUGAAAGGUGACUGGUUCGCGGGAAAACUAGAAAACUCUCUAGAAACUGGGUAAACUUUAAACGUUCAUAACUUCUUCAAUACUCAACGAAAUUGAGUUAUUCAACUAAAAUCAUACUUCUCGAUGGCUAACUCGCUAUGGUUUGGCUGGAAAACAGCUAGAAAGUGGCUAACUAGUUAGUAUAAAAAUUAUAAAUAAAAAAAAACUUGGAUUAUCUCCUACCUCCCCCGACCCUCCUUCCCUUCUCCCUCCCUUCUCUCCUCUGCACCCUCACUCCUCUGAUCCCUCCCUCCACCUUACUGCCACCUAUAACCGGUUUCUGCGCCCUUUGCCUCACCAAGAACCCUCGAUCCAUAACCCCCAUUAUGGGUAUGAGCUCCGAAGAAGCAAGUUGUGUUCCAGAACGAGACCCGAAUCGUCAUCGACCAACGCCCCGGACCCAACCCGGCGCAAGUUGUGCAAUGUCAAGGCCUGGAACACUCUGUCCGAGCUCUUUAACAUCGACGACGACCGCAAAUGAGUGCUGAGAAAGUUCCAUGUUGAAUUGAGAUAUGGGGAUAAGAACGAUGGUGGAGACGAAGCUAGGGUUUUGGAUUUAGAUGCAGAUGCAUAUUUGGAGUUCAAGACGGGCGAGGGUAGGGAUUCAAAGAAAAUUGCAGGGAAGAUGAAGAAGGCUGAGCAAAAAGGUGAAGCAAUGGCGGCGGAAGCAGAAGACGAAGAAGGCUGAGAACGAGGGUUUCGUGGCGGAGAAGAUGAGGGAGACCCAGUCUAAAGUGGGAGAGUGCGCAUUCUCCGGCGGUCAAGCCCAACAACCCUUCCGCCUUCCAAUCCUUCAAAAUGAAAAUUUGGGCGUUGAGUUGGGGUUUUGCUUUUAGGUAGAAGACGGUUGUAGAAGGAAGAAGGGACUGAGGGGGUUGGGG
rnacentral:lncRNA from 1 species